AGAUCAGCUGUGAAGAGGCCUUCUCCUUCAUAAUUCGGUCCUGCUAGAAUUUCGCCAUGGGGCGAAAUGAUGACACUACCUCCAGCCCAAACAAUAGAAUCUGGAGUGACAUCUUCUUCUGUAGGACUGUAAAGAUACUCAGGUGGAGGUGGGUAAUCUUUCCUCCGACAGAACUGGAUGGGUGAAAGAACAUAGCAUCCACCCUCAAUAGCGACGUGUCUCAUUGUAGCUACCCAUGUAUCCCCGGAAUCGGCAGUAGGAGCACAAUAUAUCUCAAUACCUAUAGAGAUGUACAUUCGUAUUUUGUGAUCAAUCAAUCCCAUAUCAAAGCCAUAAUGUAUUUCAAGCCUAUUUAUAGGCUAAAACCCUAACAACUUAAAAAAGAGUACUGAAGUAUUUCAAGCCAAACCAUAUUAGUUAGUGAAGAAAAAGACAUACCUUUGCCAUACAUUGAUGUCCUGAAAAGCGGCAUUCUAUUUUCCCAACAAAUGACCGAACCAAGUUUUCCAUAUGGAGUAUCAUAAACUGGAGUAGUCGAGCAAUCUCCGAAACCCCAGAACAGCCGCUCCCAAUAUGUUGGCAUGAGUUUCCUAUGUUUUCCAAGGUAAUUACCUUCAGGAUCAAAGAAGAGAACAGUGCAAUACAAUGUGUAUCCAUCUCUCUCAACAACACCUGUCACUAAGUAGACUUUGUAUUUCGCAGCCAUUGAUGCCAAUCUAUCCACUUCAGGUCCUGAAAAUACAUUAAUAUGAGAUCAAAGAUGAAAUAUGUAAGCUGAUGGCUCAUCACAAAGCAUAAGUAGAUUUUUUUUUUCUUGGUUCAUUCAUCAAACGUGUCUUGUUUCAAUAACUAAUUAAGUGGUUCAGUUCUUUGGCUAUUUAAGGGAGAAAGAGAGAGGUAACUGACCCGGCACAUUAAUGGCAGAAGCAUGGUACUUGCGGAAACUUUCUUUCCCUCUUGGCGACUGGUCGGCGAAAUUGUAUCCCCGGGGAUACCCACCGAUAAAUGCUUCAGGAAACACAACCAGUUGGGAUCCUAGUGCAGCUGCUUCUUUCAAAAACCUCUCAGCCUUAUCUGCUCUCAAAAUCACAUUGCAAGAAUUAAUAAUCCACGACUUAGUAAAUUAAUUGGUUGAAUGGACAGAAUGAAAAUUAACUUCAAGAGAUCCCGAAUGACUUUUUGGUUGCUGAGAAAACUCAAGGAAAAAGAGACCUAGAUGAAACUUGAAACUCUCAUAUUUUCAGCUGUUUUGUAACUAAGAAAAGAGAAACCACCUCAACCCAACUCAUUAAAAUAAUUGUAAAAGCAGUAAUUCCUUGAUUGGCAGCUGAAAAUAUGAUCAGGGUUCAAUCAUCCUUUUCUUUUUUUCAGUCUCUGAGCAACCAAUUAGAUCACAUAUUCCAUUACACAAGUUGAACAAUUGAAAGAAAUGGUACGUUACCUAGAGUGGCAGGAGUAUCAUAAAAGAUACUAGAAGCUUGAACAACGGUGGCUCUAACAGUUGAAGACAUUGCAGAAAUCGUAUGCUUUUUCGUUUCCCUUUUGUUUGAGGAUUCCUUACACAACGUUCAGUAUAUAUAUUGCCCAUGAACAUGAGGUUCUUCUGCCAUUACUUGAACGAGACGAAGAGGCUGUGAAAAGUCUACCUUGGUUUUCUAUAUUCAUUGUGAGCUUUUCUCCUCAUCACAAAUUUUGAAGUUAUCCGCAGACAUUGUGGACCAGCCACAUGACUUGUACAAAUUGAAAAUGACUGUAAGAAAAUGACUCAGCCAAUUCAAGAUAUUUGUCAUUAAAAGAAUAGUCAUUAAAAGCACAAGAUAUUUGUCAUUUUUUUUUUUACAAAAACGACUGAGUCGUACAUAGUGUUAUGGUUAUAGACGCCCAAAAGAAGUCUUUUUGUGCCUUGUAAGAAAACCUUAGCCAAUUCAAGAUGACCACAGAAUCAAAAUAAGUUUUAUCGCUUUCUUUUUUUUCUACAGGUACGAUGAUUAUCUUUGAACGAAAAGAGGGAGCCGCCCACAUGCACAUAAAAAGGGAGUAAUGAGUGAUUCAAUGGCAGCUAUGGUAGAAAAAUAAAAAGGGAACUAUGCUUACCCUCACGUUGAUUCAAGCAAAUAUAUUUUUUAGGAAUUCUAAUUUUCAUAUUUCACCCCAAACACAUAAUCAAUAAAUUUAUUCUUCAAAUAUGUAUUUUAAUAACAACCAAAAUGAGAAUUCUAUAGUUAUCCCUUUUAAAAUCUUUAAUAUGACAAGUCAUCAUUUGAUCUGUUUGAUAUCCUCUCCAUAUCAUGUCUUUGAUAUCCUAACUUUGACAUUUUUUUAUUUAUAUACGCUGAAGUGAAUACACUUUCAUAUUUCUUUUUAUUCUUUUAAUAUUUUCAUAUUUAUUAACUUAGUCAUUUUUUUGAAACAUUAACAUAAAAUUAUAAUAUAUGAUCAAUAACUAAUAAGAACAAAUUAAACAUAAAUAUAAGUACGGAAUGGACAGAAAAUAAAAAAUUUAUCCUACAAAUAAUACACUAUAUAGUUUAAAAUAUUAAUUAUAAUAAUAUAUUUGAUACUUUAGGGUUUAGAUUAAAAAAUUAUGUUUUAUUUUUUAGAGGCUAGGAUAUAGGAUUUCCAUUAACCAAAGAUUUUUUGUAUGAAUCCUAAAUAAAAUGUGUAUUUAUUUUGCAAAUUCUUAUCAUAUAUAAAUAAAAUAAAAUAAAUAUAUUUUUAUCAUAUUAUUUUUAAUUUUUAUUAUUUUGUGUCAAAAUCACAGUCAAUGAUGGUGGUUUUUGUUAUGAUAUAGCUCUUAAAAGGAUGUUAUGAUGCAAUAAAUAUGAAGUUUAUUAUUUAUUUAAUGGUAUUUUGAUUUUACUUUUAUUAAUCUUUAUUUCAUGCAUUUUACCUUAUGAGUAUUCUAGCUUGACAUUUCUUGCACUAUACAUAACUUGGGUGCAUUAAAAAUUGCAUGAAAGAUCCAAGUUAUAGGUUCCUUGCAAGUAAAUGAUUUGUUCACAACCGCUUUGUGAACUUAAGCAAUCCAUUUGAUGUCGUAGUUCACUACCUCUUCAUUAGAGGAAUGAUUUAUCUUGACUACCAAGAUAGAGUUCUCAUGGUGAGUACACUAGUAUGAUGAGUUAUAAUUUAUAAUGUAAGGUUGUUGGGUAGUCAUAACUCACUAAGUUGUUAUAUUGUAUUAUCUUCUCAACCUUGAGAGGAUACUGAACUUGUGCCAAAGUCUAUAAUUGUUUGACCUAUGGGUGAGAUUCUAAAGUGAUUAUAUAUUCCUUACAGAUUGGUCACAGUAGAUAGAAGUCAGUAGUAAUAAGUAUUCUCAAUACAAACAUCACGAUAUCUCAUGGAAUUUGAGAUAGUGUUGGGUCAUAAUAAGGACAUGUGAUCAUGAAAUCUAUGGUCGCAUUAAUUCUUUAAAUGAAAUUUGAUAUAUGCUUUUGUGAGUUAGAGUAUGCUAGUUGAUCAUAUAAUAAGAGAAUAUGUGACUCAAGAAUGGUAUAGGUAAUCUUGAAAGGCAAAUAUCUUUCACCUUAUUAGAUUAUAAACACUAAUUCCUGGGGAGACUAUAUGCAAUAGAUAGCAGGUCACGAACUUAAGCACUUUGUGUCUUGUUGUAAUACACAUAGGGUAUUGAAGUGUAGUUGACUUUCUAUAGUAAGAUGUUGAGUCAAUUUUAAAAUUUGAUUAUAAGGGAGCUAGUACUAUCCUAUGGGUCUUAGCAGUCCUUGCUCAAGUUCAUAUAUCUCAAUGGCAUGGUUUAUGAGGGUUGGAUUAACUCAUGAUUCACUUAUGUGCAUAAGGCUGUUUUGGCAAGUAUGCAUGAUUACAUAGGAGUUUGUUGGGACAAAACCUUAUAAAGUAUGACAUGAUGUAAUAGAUUUAGUUUCAUUAAUAAAUUUAUUUAUUUACUAUUCUAGUUCCCUUGUAUUAUCCCAUUGGCAUUAAUUGGUUAUCAAAGUAUUUACACCCAUAUCACUUGCAUUGUACAUGACUUAGGUGUAUUUAGAGUUGACCAAAAAAUCCAAGUCAUGGGUUCUUUGCAAGGUAAUAAAUAGUUUAUAGUAGGUUCAUGGAUUUGAGCAAUUUAAUAGAGACUAUAGUGUACUACUUCCCAAUUGGAGAGAUGACUAGUCUUAGUCACCGAGAUGACUUUCCCAUGAUGAGUGCAAUAAUGUGUAUAGUUACACAUUGGACAUGACCUAUGGUGAAUCAUGACAUUAAUUGUUGGGUAGUCAUGAUUCACCAUGAUACUAGAUUGUAUAAACUCUCAACCUUGAGAAAAUAUUGAGUUUAUGCUAAAAUCAACAAGAAGCUUUUAUCUAUGGGUGAGAUCCUAAUGUGGUCAUAUAUUCCUUACAAAUUAGGUUACAGUUGAUGAAGGUUGGUGGCAACAGGUAUUCUUAAUAGAGACAACAUAAUAUCUUAUGAGAUUAAGACAACGUGUCUCUUGGGUGAUCCUAAAGACAUGUGAUCAAGAUGACUAUGACCAUAGUAAUUCCUUUAGUAGAAUUUGACAUAUGCUCUUUGUAAGCUAAAGUAUGUAAAUUGAUCAUUAAUAAGAGGAUUUGUAACUCAAGGAUUGGAGAGAUAAUUUUGAAAGGUUGCCAUCACUACCUUGUUAGAUUACAGACACCAGUUCACGGGGAGUUUACAUGCAGUAGAUAGUAGGUCAUAGACCUAAACUUUUCCUUAUUGUAAUUAUAUAGGAUAUUGGAGUGUAGUUGACUUUCUUUAGUAAGGUGUUAAGUUAACCUUAGAAUUGGAUUCAAAGCGAGCUAGCAUUUUCCUAUAGGUUCCAAUGGUCCCUGCUCAAUCUCUCAUUUAAUGGUGUCACAUUUGUUUAAGGUAUUUUAGGUUUGUAGUUAACAAGUGUGCAUUAGGGGGAAUUUAAUAAAAAUACAAGGUUGGACUAGAUAUUGUGAAUAGACUUUCUAGAUUGGCCUAAUUUAUUAAUGGAUUCCAAUAUGGCUAAUUAAUUAAUUAGGAUCUAAGUGAGUUAAAUUAGGUAACCUAAGCCCACUUUAGGCUUAAGUCACUAAAGUUCACAAGGAAGCUUAUAAAUAACUAUUUAAAGCUUAUUGGGUUUUAUGAGUAACUUAAGCUUGCCUUGGGUUUGGGUAAGUUAUCAUAACCUAAAAAAGUUCUUAAUUGAGCGCUUAGAUUAAUCAAUUAGCUUAGUCCAGAAAUACCUUUCACCAACUCUAUUGGAAACUUUGAAUUACUCCAUUUCAUGAUCUAGGAUCAAAUAGGGUGCAUGCAACUAUCUUUAGGUUUUUCUAGAUCUAAUGCACUAGAAAAAUAUGGAUAUAAAAUCCAUAAAAUGUACUAGAUUUAUAGAUUAAAACUCAUACCUAUGAUUUCAAUGUUUCUAAAUUAAAUCCAAUCCCUAAAAGAUAUCAAAGAUGUUUUAAAAGUCAUCUAUCAAACAAUUUUCCACCCAAUCUCUCCCUCCACAAAUAGACCCUAGCACAAAAAAAGGUGAAUGCUGGAAUUUUCGUCAAUUAUUGGAUCAAAACAAAAUUUAUAACCUAAUUCACUAUUCUAUAGCAGCUUGUACCCGAUCAAAAAGUGGUUUUAGUACAAACUAUUGUAGUAUAGUGGUUUUUAGGUGUCGUCCACUAGGAUGGAUUGUUCUCGGUAAUUAAGGCUUGAAUGAGAUGAUAAGAAAUUAUUGCAAUCAAGUGAAAAUGAUUUGACAAUUCAUGAUAAAAGUUCAACAUAACAAUGAUUUCAAAUUUAGAGGAAAAUGAAGGGUAAAAGAGAAGAAAAUUAAUAGAAGAUGAAAUUCUUGGAGGUAGGAUUUUCUAGAAAAAAAUUUCCACGGUGAAUAGAUGUUGAGAUCUAAUUUUCAUCAAGUUAGAUUGAAAACCUAAAUUUUCAUCUAAACCAAUUUUUGAUUUAGCUUUAGGUCUAGAUCUAAUUUCUCUUCAAAUUAGGUCAUUUAAUCCAAGAGAUCAAUUCAAAUUAUAUAUUCAAUUCAUCUUAAACUAUCUUCCAAUGAUUCACAUAAUGCAACUAUUCAAUCUCAUCAAAUCUAGCUUUAAGAAUUUGAUGAAUCUACCUAGCUUGCAUUGUAGUAAUCAUCCAAGACAAUUUGAAGAGAAAAAUCCUCAAAUUUCAAUUAAUCAAUCAAUUGGAUCAAAUUACCUUUUCAAUUCAAGCUCAUUUCUCUAAUUCACCAUAGAUUUUGCCUCUAGAUCCUCCCUCCUUUGAGAAAAAUGAGAUUUAGCCACUCAUGCUUGGAGAUUUUGCCUCACAAAACAUUUUUGGCUAGCGAGAAAAUGAAGGAAAGUGGAAAAUUCUAGAGAAAGAGAAAAUAUGGAAAAUUCUACAAUUAGAAAAUGUCUAAUUUUUUUUGAAAAUGAGUAAAUCAAGUUUCUAUUUAUAGGCCAAGGUCAAGAGGACACUUGGCAUCAUCUAAGAGGUCUUUUAAAGGCUUCUUCAUCAAGAAAUUUGGAGUUUAGUAAUAAAAUGUCCAUUUCGCAAGAGAUCCAGCACUUUCACACGAGCUCCAUCAAUUUCGCAUGAGUGUGCGAAGUGGAAAAUGCAUCAGCACCAAUUUCGCCUUCUUAGAGCAUUUCGCAUGACUGUGCGAAAUUUUCGCAUGGUCGUGCAAAAUCAGCUUCAAGAUUUCCCUUUGAGCUGUAGCCAAAAUUGCCUUCUGGUCCAUUUCAAUUUUAUACUCUGUGUUUUUGGGAUGAAUGACAUGUGAAAGUUGGAAUUUGCUAAAAAAAUAUACAUAUAUUUUUUUGAGUUAAUGUUUGUAAGCAUAAUUCUCCCAAAAACCGGUCAUGCUUCAUCAUAUUGUAUGUUUGUUUUUUUUUAUAAUGUGUGGUUAUUCAUCUUUAUAUUUGUGUAAUGGAUUGAUAUCUAUAAAUUAAGAGUAUCAAUUGAUAGGUAGAUGAAUCAAUUGAUUGGGCAUCUAAGAGUCUUAUGUGUAGAAGACUAAAAUUAUAAAUGGGGAGUUAGAAAACUUUUCAUUUAUAUGAAUAGGGUGUUACAAUUUUUGUAAUCCUAUCAUUAUGAGAUUUAAUUUGUAUAUAAAGUUUAUGAGUAAUGGAGGAAGAUGGAAAAGUAUAACCUAUGCAAUUAUAUAAAUGCAUUCAAGUUGGUAACCCACAAUUAUCCAUUAAUUUGUACAUAAUGUUUGUAAAUAAUGAAUAUAACUCCCGUGUAGUCUUUGAUGCAUGAGAAGACUAAGAGAUAUAAAUCUCUUUUAUAAGAUCAAGAUCCUAAGUCAUACUCUCAUUCUUAUGUCUUUUUGUUAUUUUACUUAUAACAACAUAUAACACACAAGUGACCCGUCUACUAUAUGAGAGUAGUGAGUUGAAGAUCUUGAGCAAAACAAUUCACAAGAUGACUCAAGCUCACUUCAAAAGUAUUAUCAAUAUCAUGGAUGAAGGUAAAAAUAUGAUCAUUAUAUUAUCAUUGCUUUAGCAUUUAUAUCUAUUAUGUUUUAUGCAUCCAAAAUUGAUUUUCCAAAAUAAUUGUUUUCACAUAAAGUUUAGUUAACAUGUACUUCUAUUUUAAAAUUUUAAAAUUUUAAAAUAAAUUUGCAGAAAUCACUUUUAAAUGUUUUUUUAUAAAAAAAAAUUUAAAAUAUGAAAGAAUCACAUAUUUUUUCAACUUUGAAAAAUAGACCUAAUAAACAUAUUUAACAUUUAUAGCAAUUAAAAAUUAAUUAAUAUUUUUUAAAAAAAAAUUAAAUAAAAGCAAUGGUGUAUCCAAAUAAUACCUUAUUCACCCAAUUUAGUUAUCAUAUGCCUUUAGUACCGAAGUGGCUGACUAAAUUUUUUCUCAAGGUAUAAUAAUGCUAAAAGAUCUUUAACCAAAACAUGGACUUCACUCUUAUUUCUUCCUACCACUUUAAUUUCACCCAACUUCACCUAUAGAAGCUCAUUCAUGUCUUAUCUUGUUUGUCUAGUUUGAACCUCAUGUUGCUCAAGUCCCAAAAGGAAUAAAAUUUCAUUCAGAAUAUAAUUAUGCACAAAAUCCUCAUUAGGGUUAGAGUUUGCUCCUUCAUUAAUUAAUUAUAAUGGUUUAGGGUCAGAAUAACAUACUUUAUUAUGUUAAAGUAUCCUAAACUUUGUUAGCAAACACAUAUGGCUGAAAGCGAAGAAUGAUCAAGAGUCCAAGUACUAACAAAGGGCACUUAUGAACCAUAGGUUGAGGAAAGUGGCUUGAGCCCAAGCUUGGGGCUUAGGUUAUUUUUUGUUUAUGCAAUACUUAAAUCCAAACUUAAAGGUGACAUUAGAAACAUAUUUCAAUCUCAUAUUUUAUCCUCUUAACUAUUGGACCUAAUUGCACUCGACAUGGAACUUGUUUAUGCAUUUUGGGAAUCACAUGCAUUUUAGUCCCAAAAUAGCUAUGCAACUUUUUUUUCCACCUAAUUAAGUUCAAAAUUAAGGGGGUGUUUGGUAAAACUUAAUACCUUUUACUAAUGACUUAAAUUGACUUUAAGUUAAAUUAUAUUUAACUUGCUAACUUAAAACUUAUUAUUUAAUUCUUACUUCAAGUAUUAAGGUUGUUUAAUAAAAUUAAUUUAAAACAUAUUUUAAAUCAUCAAAUUGAUAUAUUAUCCUCAUAAAUUAUAACUAGAGUAUAAGAGGUUGAGUGACAAUGAAGGUCGUGGAGUAGUAAAGAAAAUUGUGGAGGUAACUAGGAUAAAUGAGAAUAAAAAAGUAGAAUGAAAAUAUAAAUUUUAAAAUAAGUUAAUUGGUUUUACUUUUUCUUAAAAUUAUUUUUGAUUUUAAGUCAUACCAUUAAAUUAUUUUAAUAAACAUAAUUUACUUAAUAACUUAAAUUAAAUUAUUAAGUUGUUAAUUUACCAAACACCUACUAAUUUUCAAAUUCUAAGUUUAGCUUUGCUUUGCAGUGAAUGCAUUUAGGAUUAUCAAAGAGGUCAUCAAGGGUUUCAAACAUAUUUUAUUGCUCAACUUCUCGAAGAGGGACUUCAGAAGAGAAGAUUCCAUAAUUCUAGUUUUGUAUGCGAUUGUAUGUAUCCUACCACAUGGAGACGAUUCCUCAGCAUGCUGAUUUAUUAUUAAGUUCAUGUGAAUUACGUAUGGAAUUCCAAUUGAUGUGAACAUAAAAUUAAUUGAAUUAUGUGACAUUUUUUUUACGCAGAAUAAAACAUAUACAGUUGGAAGAUAUCUCGAGAUUCUGAUUUUAUAUCUGGCCCUCAAAAUUCUAUUUCACUGUCAGGUUGUGGACGUUCCACCCAGCUGGAGCAGAUCCCUUGGCAUGCUGAUAUGCCAACUAUUGAAAAGUCUGCACCCAUUUUCUAUAUUCAUGAGCUUUUCUCCUGUUCGAAUUAGUUUUGAAGUUAUCUACAGACAUGACUUGUACAAAUUGAAAAGUUUUAAUUAGGGCAGCAAAAGUAAUCCCUUCAAUUUUAUUAUUAUUGUUAUUAUUAUUACCUUAUAAAAAGAAUUUACCCAAUCAAAAGUGAUCGCAUAGUCAAAAUAGAUUUUAUUUUUUCUUAUCUUACAAUAAUAUAAAAAAAUAUAUAUAUACUUUCAAUCAAUGUCUCAUAUUUCUAACACGUACGCGCUCUAGAAUUUCUCGAAUUGUAGUCUAGAGUGUCAACUUUUAGUGUUUGAUCAAAAAGGCCAUAAACAAAUAUAUGAAAAAAGUAAUCAACAAGCAGAGGAUUCUUUUUGAAUAAAAAAGACCCACUUACAAGCAUGGAUUAUAAAUUGUCUUCAGUUGCGGCUGAAACUUUCUAUAUGACUUUAAAGAAAAAAGAGGUCAUAAAUAGAUAGCUGAGAACAAGUUGAGGGAUUCAAAGGCAGCUAUGGUAUAAAUAUUGUUUUAUAAAUUAAACCUUUUGUACCGCCUCUACAAAGGAACACAAAAUUGAGAGAUUCAAAGGCAGCUAUGGUAUAAAUAUUGUUUCAUAAAUUACUUUUCAAAUUUAAUUUGAUAGCAAAAAUUUAAAAUAUAAAAGUAUAAAAAAUUUGUUUCAUUCCCAAAAUUUUUGCAAAUAAAAUUUAAAGUAAUAAAUUAACACCAUGACUCUUUUCACAUCUUAUUCUCAUUUCUAUCAAAGCAAUGAUAGUAAUUGUCUUAUCUAUAAAUUUUAAAUGAUGUAAGAUCAUUGAAUUUUUAUUUUCUUUUAAACUUCUUGUUAUGUAAUUAUCAAACAUAUUUUUUUAAGACAAGAAAAAAAUUACACCGAACAAAUAGAUUUGAUACUUAGAAUAAUUGAAAACAUAAUUCGUAUUUUCCAUUUUUAAAAAUAAUAAAAGCAAAGGUGUUUCAAAACAAUACCUCAUUUGCUCAAUUAAUUAUCACAUUUCCUAAGUACAAAAGUAGGCAAGUAAAUUUUUGCUCAAGUUACAAUAGUGCUCCAAAUCCUUAUCCAAGAUUUUGAUCCUAUUUCACAAUUGUUUUUUAAAACAGUUUUUUUCUUCUCUACAACAAAAAAAAAAAAAAAACAAGAAAAUGUGUUUGAGAAUUGGAAAAUAAAGUGUUUUCAAAAAAACAUAUGUUAGUUGUUUUUAGUUUUUCUUCAUUAGCUUUUUUGAAGGUUGUUUUUAAAAAUAAUUAUACAAAUAUGAAGAAUUAUUAAAAAUAUAAUUUUAUAGACAAAAGUUAUUUUAAAAUUAUAUGCACGAGUUUUGGAAAGUCUUGCAAAAUAAGCAAAACUAUAGGAAAAAUAUGCAAAUAAAAUUUGUAUUAAAAUCAUUGGGGGCCCCCGCAUUUCGGCUCAUGCGCUUCCACUCGAUGGUGAGCUCGAUUUUUAUUUUGAAAAAUGAUUUAUUAUUUGAAAAAUGACUUGAAGUCGCCACUUAUUUUUGUUUUAUUUUUAAAGGGUAAACAAAAUAAGAAAGAAAACUCUAAAUGUGACUCCUUAUUUGGAAAAGGUGGUCUGUGAAAAACCGGAUCGGGCUCGGGGGUUAGGUUACUUAUUGGGAAGGUACGGUAAAAACCGUAGCACCCCUCUAAGUCCCCAAAAACGGGUCUUUACUAAUGAAAUGAAGCAAUCAUGACAAUUGAUAAGUAAAUCAAUGGAUACCGAAUGAAAAUCGAAACAAAAUACCCAAAUGAAUUUGAGAGACAAAGAACGUACCUGAGUGACGAGCUGAUUUAUUUCAUUGGAAACAAAGGUUAGUGAACAAACACAAAUGAUCGUGUGCAUAUCAUAGAAUAGAACAAAUCAAUCACAUAUAGCAAUCAAAUCAAUCAAUCAUAAAAUCGCAUAUGUUGGGCCCCCACUAAAACCCAUUUAUUUUUGCAUGAAUUAAUUCUGUAAAUUCCAUCACUCGGAAUUAUAGAAUUUAAUUCAUGCUUAUUUUAAAACAUUUAAAAAACAGAGGAGAUGUGAGUAUUGCUCAUCAGAAAAGAAGAUGGCAACAAAGUUUUAUUAAAAAUGGGAUUUUUGGUACCUAAAACUCUAAGGAUGAAAAUUUUGGAGUUGAGAUUAUUUAAAAAGUUAGAAUCUGAAAAAUUAUUUUUAAAAAAAGAUUUAGAAAGUUAUUUUCAAAACCAAAAGGGAGAAAUAGGAGGUGGCAUGUGGCCCAAAGGUGGCCAUGCGGAGGUGGCCAUGCAAAAACAUUUUCUUCUGGGCCAAGGGAGAGACUGCGCUAUAGGGAUCAAUGGUAUUGUUGGGCUUGUCAUAACUCUAACCAGGAUAGGAUCCCAGCCACAUAUAGCUGUAACUAGGUUGCUACAUUGAAAGAGUACCAAGAGAGGCACCCUAGCUUAACGGAGGUCAGGCCUGGUAGCCUUGCGGAGGAUAUCUCUAACCAUUGCCAGAUUUCUGAUAUGAUUCUCACUGAUGACUUCGUUGACCAACUGUUCAGCAAACUCAAUCUGUUCACUGGUACUGCCUAUGUGUGCAAUUCUCUCCAUUGAUAUGUCACCAGAAAGGAAAUGCAAAAGUAUAAACUAGAUACGAGCUCCUGUCUUGGCUUGCAUAUUUCUAAUGAUCUCACCGCCCUUACCAACUAUCAGACCAACCUUGUUGUUUGGUACUUUCAUCACGAGCUGUCCAAACCCAGUCCAACCAAUUAACCUUCAAGAAAUUAUGCCAAACCUCUUUGCUUAUAUCUGUUGUGUCAUUCCAUAAGAAUUGAACGCACCCAUAUGUAAGCACCCGUGAUGUGUCGUCACACUCCAACUGCAAAUUAAAUCGAACAAGACCUUUCAUGGAAGCAUCUCUGACAUCUAAAUGAGACCCUGUCAAACCUUGAAUUAUCUGGAGUUCAUCAAGUGCAUCAUCAAAUGCUCUUCAUUCAGAGUGUCCAACUUAGCAAUAGCUUCAUCAAAAACCUAUUUAUCCAGAUUACAAGCAUGAUCCAGGGGAUUCAGAAUCUUAUAGUAAAAGACGGAGAAGUUAAGUGCAAGCCUCAAGCAGAUAAGACGGGUUGAAGCCAAUUCCACAGCUGCAAUAUCCUACGCUGAUUUUAUAAGCUACGAGAGUGCUCUCCGUCGCCUCUCUCAUCUCGGCUCCGGUCUUGAAUGCUGAUAGAUAACAACGAUAAUCGCUCUUCAUCUUUAAACAAAGCGACUUUGGGUCACUAGCCAUAGCCGAAUGAAUAAGCUACGAAUCCAGCAGACGAAGAGUAUCGUCACAGAUGGAGGAUUGUUGAAACAUAACACGCAUAUAAUGGAAACAGACUCGUGUUGGCUCCUGCCCGCUCCCAAUGGGUAUGGCCCUCAUGCUCAUUGACAUGUUCGAAGACGUCAACAAGCGCACCAUAGACCUUCUGUAGGCAGAGGAUUGGGUUUAAUGGGUUUAGAAAGAAUUUGUGGCAUGUAUGGGUAUGGAAAUAGGUGUGAAUGAUAGCCUUGCAUGCAUGAGGAGUGGUGAAUAGGUUGAAGAGAGUGGGUUUAGAGGAUAGAAAUAUGGGUAUAGUUGUGGGUUUAGAAAAUGGGUACAGUAUUAGUGGGACGGGUAGUGGAAAAAUGGAUUGGAAGGCAUUGGAAAAUGAGGUCUCUAUGGUGGCCAUGCAUGCGUCAAAAAAUAGAAAGGAGUGCAUGGAGGUUAAAUGGAAGGAUGAAUGAUGGAAGUAGCAGCUUGGGUAGGUGUAAGCUUUGGAUUUGGGUAGGUAAAAAAAAUGAGAGAUAGGUAUGAGAUAGCCAAUGAGAGAUCUGCACCAUUUGGCAUUGUGAUCGCUCGGUUUUUGUCGUUUAUUGGAUCAAAACAAAAUUUAUAACCUAAUUCACUAUUCUAUAGCAAUUUGUACUCGAUCAAAAAAUGGUUUUAGUACAAACUACUAUAGUAUAGUGGUAUUUAGGUAUCGUCCACAAGGAUGGAUUAUUCUCGGUAAUUAAGGCUUGAAUGAGAUGAUAAGAAAUGAUUGUGAUCAAGUGAAAUUGACUUGAAAUUGCAUGAUAAAAUUCCAAAAUAACAAUGUAUUCAAAUUGAGAGAAAAAUGAAGUGUAAAAGAGAAGAAAAUUAAUAAGAGGUGAGAUUCUCGGAGUUAGGAUUUUCUAGAAAGCAAUUUCCAUGGCGAAUAAGUGUUGAGAUCUAAUUUUCAUCAAGUUAAAUUGAAAACCUAAAUUUUCAUCUAAACCGAUUUUUGAUUUAGCUUUAGGUCUAGAUAUAAUUUCUCUUCAAAUUAGGUAAUCUAAUCCAAGAGAUCAAUUUGAAUCAUAUAUUCAAUUCAUCUUAAAUUAUCUCCUUAUGAUUCACACGAUGCAACUAUUCAAUCUCAUUAAAUUUAGCAUUAAGAAUUUAAUGAAUCUACCUAGCUUGCAUUGUAGUAAUCAUCCAAGACAAUUUAAAGAGAAGAAUCCCCAAAUUUCAAUUAAUCAAUCAAUUGGAUCAAAUUACCUUUGCAAUUCAAGCUCAAUUCUCUCAUUCACCAUAGAUCUUGUCUCUAGAUUCUCCCUCCUCUGAGAAAAACAAGAUUUAGCCACUCAUGCUUGGAGAUUUGAUCUCAUAAGACAUGUUUGGCUACCAAGAAAAUGAGAGAAAAUGAAGGAAAGUAGAGAAUUAUAUAGAGAAAAGAAAUCUGAAAAGUUCUACAAUUAGAAAAUGUAUCAAAAGUCUUUAAAUGAGUCAAUCACAUUUUUAUUUAUAGGCCAAGGUCAAGAUGACACUUGGCAACAUCUAAGAGGUCUUUCGGAUGCUUCUUCAUCAAGGAAUUUGGAGAAAAUACAUUUUCGCACGAGCCUUAGCAAUUUCGCAUGAUGGUGCGAAGUGGAAAACCAUCAGCUUCAUUUUUGUCUUUCUGGAGCGUUUCGCAUGACUGUACAAAAUUUUCGCAUGGUUGUGCGAAAUUGCUUUUCACUUUUCCCUUAGUAUGCUACAGCCAAACCUAUUCUGUUUCAUUUCACAUGGUCAUGCGAAAUUGAAAAACAUGUUUUUUCGACUCCUCUUUGCAAUUCUUUCCAUUUCUUCAUUUUUAAUCCACCUCUACCACUUUCAAUUCAACUCCAAAUCCCAAUCCAAACCGAUUGCAUUGCUUAUUUCAUUAUGCAUUUGGAUCAUCAUCAACUUUAUUUGUUUUCUUCAAUUUGGUUCAUCUCUUUUGUCACCAAUUUAUCAAAAUCAUACCUUAAAAUGACUUUAAAACUUCAUAAAACUUGUUAGUAACUAUUGCAAGGGCAAAAACAUGUUAAUUGAGUGUUUUAGGCAUAAUUACUACUCAAAAGAUGUGAAAAUCAUGAGAAUUAUUAUCUAAAAUAUGCUCUUUUUGAGUAGUAAUCAUUCCCCCCAACCAACACAUUGCUAGUCCCUUAGCAAUUGUAUGACAAAAAGAAAGAAAAAUAAGGCCAAAGAAAAGAAAUCAUAACUCACAUAAGCAAAUCAUUUGAAAAAAAAAAUGUUUGAAAUUUCCAUAGCAUAAAUGGUUGAUAAACAAGCACACCCUACUAUCCAUAGGUAUCAACAAAAUCCCAACUUAUUUACUAUCUCUAAUAGAAAUAAUAUCAUGCUAAUCAAGGUAUCAAAAACAUAUCCAUCUUCAUUUCCCAAACAAUCUUUGUAAACAAGUCUUGAGUGUAAUUAAGCUAGCUCCCGAAUAUAGUACUCAAAACUAAUCCUCCCCCCAACCUAGCUCAAUUUAUCUCAAACAACAAAAAUCACUCUCUCAUAGGUUAAGAACACACCUAUCUUUAUUUUAUUAUUAUUUUUUUUACAAAUGACUUAUUGUAGGAGUGCAAUGCUAAAGGUAUCUCCAAGUAUAUGGUCCAUGUAGCGGGGAUUCAUCGAUGACUCCCAAUCAUAAGGCAUAGGGCACCAAGUUUAUAGGACUAUUUAACUAGCCACUAACUCCUCAGACUUCACCCCGGACUCCUCAAAUUAGGAUCCAAUACAUUAACACCUACAAUUGAGUUCAUACCCCACCUAUCCACCCAUGUAACAAGCAUUGAGGUCGGUGGCUCCCAACCAAAAUGGCUUAGGGCACCAGGCUUUAAAGACCUUUGGGCCAUAUACCCCUCGGACCUUGCUCAGGUUUCAAGGCAAGCAUAACUCAACAUUUUUAUUCAUCAACUCUUUUUUUUUUUUUUUUUUCAAUUGGGCACAUUGGCCUCUUUUUAAGGUGUCUCAACUCAGUUCAAGAGUAAUCAAUGUUACAAGAUAAUUAAGUCUAAGUCUUAAGGUUAGAAUAGUUUUUCAUCUUAUAUCUGGGGUCUAGAGUGCAUAGUAUGUGUCAAGACUCAAAUAGAAAUGACAAUUUGGAAAAUGAAGACUUUAAAGUCAAAUCAACUUUAAUUCACAUAACCAAUCUUCUAAGAUCAAGCAAAUAAGCUAGUAUUCUAAAUCAACUUUUUUUAAGUUAGGUUUGCUCAUUCAUCAAUCACAAAUGCUAUAGUCAUCUCAAAAAAAUCUCACCAAAUAAGUCACAAAUGUGAUUUAUGAAAAAAAAAAAUUAUAGAAAAACUAAUAACAUAUUUCCUUCUCUUCAUUUUUAACCCUCCCCCAACCUAACUUGUACAUUGUCCUCAAUGUGUAAUGAAAAUAUACAAAGAAAGGAAGGAAAGAUACCUCAAUCUCUCAUGAAUUUCAGUUUCAAUAGCUAAAACAAAAAUAAGAUCACACAUGAGAAUUGUUGGAUAUGAAUGACAUAAGAGAAGAAAAUAUGAAAACAAAUCUAUUAAAAACCAAAAAAAAAAAACUAUGUUAGAGACACAAUGUAUGGAGUAAAAUCAAGGUAUAGAUGAUGACAAUGUCCAAAGAAAACAUGAUUUCAAUGAUAAGUCAAUGAUUCUCAUGGAGUUUUUGAAAAUUUCAGACAAGUGUGCAAACUAGACAAGAAGGUGGUGUGUGUUGCAACCACUUUUUCUUUUGAAAUAAUUUGGCACAAUCAUGCGGAAAUUCGCAUGUACAUGCGAAUUGGUCAAGAGAGCUUUAUCUUAUUAUAGUCUUCAGCAUAAUUUUCGCAUAGUCAUGUGAAAAUUCGCAUGUUGAUGCGAAAUGGAUCUGAGGCUUAAAACUGUUGUAGUCAUCCACAUUAGUUUCGCACAGUCAUGCGAAAACUUCACAUGAGUGUGUGAAGUGGUCCAGAUGGCUCAUUUUACUACAGUCUUUAAGAUGGAUUUCGCAUAGUCAUGCGAAAUGCUCUAGAGGGUUCAUUUUUACAACUAUCAUUUUCAGUUUUGCACAGUCAUGCGAAAAUUUUGCAUGACCAUGCGAAUUGUGACAAAGACUCAUUUUGUACAUUUCCGAAGAUAUGAAAACUCCCCUAUUUUGGCAUGACUGUGUUAUUUUGGCAUGACCUCCCUGUUUUGGCAUGACUAUGCAAAAUGGUGAUGGGCCAUUAAAACUCUUUUUUCCUUUGCUUCAUGCAUUCCAUCCAUCCAGAAAGUCCUUCAAAACACAAGUCAAAGAAUUGAGAUGGAUUUAUUUAAUGGAAACUAAAAAAAAAAUCAAAAUCCAAAGGAAAUGAUAAACCAUUGGGCUAGCUAGCCAUUGACAUGACUAAGCCCAUUAACCUUUGCAUCAAUACUCAAUUUGGAUAUGGCUUGCAAACAAUGAAUGGACCAACUCCUUGGUACUUAAGCUUUCCCAGAAAAAUAUGUGGCUUGAAAUAACCUUCUUUGAACUUGUUCUUUUGAAUAAGUUGGUCAUGCCAUUCCUUGAGUUUCUUUUUCAUGGUCUUUGGAUUAUUUUUCAUACCAUGCUUCAUUUUUUUCACUUUCUUGAAGCUGAAAGACCAUUUCAUUAACUUCAAAGGUUGAAUUUCUUUAUUGAUCCUCCAAACUUCAAUCCGUUCAUUGGAAAUUGCUUCACUAAGUUUUGAAAAAUUAUCUUCAACCUUUUCUUUCACUAGCACUUUCAUAGGCAAUUCAAUCAAAUAAGCCUCCUUAAGUUCCUCCUCCUCCUUGGUACCAUGCUUCUUAUAUGAAUGAAAAAUGUUUAGCUCAAUUGUCAUGUUACCAAAGGUAAGUUGCAUCACCCCACUUCGACAAUUAAUUAAUGCAUUUGCUGUGGCAAGGAAAGGUCGGCCAAGUAUAAUAGGAACAUGGUUGAGUCCACUAGUUCCUUGUUUCAUAUCAAGCACCACAAAAUCAACCGGAUAAUAGAAGAUAUCGAUUUGGAUCAACAUAUCCUCAAUAAUUCCUCUUGGAAACUUAACCGAUCUAUCCGCCAAUGAAAGUGUGAUGGAAGUAGACUUUAGUUCUCCAAACCCCAAUUGCUUAUAUACCGAGUAGGGAAGAAGAUUCACACUUGCCCCCAAGUCUAAAAGUGCUCUUUUCACAAAAGUGUUGUCAAUCUUCACCGAGAUAGUUGGACAUCCCGGAUCCUUAUACUUGAUUGGGGUUUUACAUUGGAUGAUUGCACUAACUUGUUCAGUCAAGAAAGUUUUCUUUUUCAAAUGCAUCCCUCUCUUUAUGGUACACAAAUCCUUAAGAAACUUGGCAUAGGUUGGAAGUCUUAUCAUGUCAAGGAGUGGUAUAUUGACUUUGACUUGCUUGAGAACUUCAAAAAUUUCUAGAGCAUUAUUUACCACUUUCUUGGAUUGAAGAGCCAUAGGAAAAGGUGGAGCUAAGAGCAUAUCUUUCUUCUUAACCUCUUCUUUAACAAUCUCAUCUUCCUUUGAUCUAUCAUCCUCAUUCACCUCUUUCCAUUUUUCUUGUUCUUUCACAUUUUCCUUUUGUUCCCCUCUUUUAUUCUCUUUUGGUUUUGGCAUAGGUUGAUCAACUUGCUUACCACCUCUUAAGGUAAUGACUGCUUUGACUUCAUCCUUCUCAAUAGAACUUUCACUUGUCUCUCCAAUUUCAUGGACUCCACUUGGAUUUUGUUGGGGUUAUGAAGAGAAUUUUCCUUUUUCUUACACUGUAUGCAUGCUUGUGAGUUUAGAAAUAGCAAGCUGCAUAUUAUCAAUCUUUUGUGUGAGAUUGGUUUGCAAGCUAUCAAAUUUCUGAUUGAAAGAUGUCUCCACAUGAUCUAUUCUUUGGUUUACUUGAAUAUUGAUAUUCUUUUGAUCACCAAUAAAAUCACCCAAAAUUUUACUCAAGCUUACAAUAGCUUGCUCAACCAAAGAAAUUUGUUGUGGAGAGUCUUCCAUGACUUGUUGGCUUUGUGAGUAUUGACUUGAAGAAAAUUGUUCUUGUCCACAAUUCCAUGACAUGUUUAGAUGAUUCUCAACAAGUCUUUCCCCCAUAGCUAGUAUUGUAGGACAAUCACUCACUUCAUGUUCUAUAGAUUGACAAUUAGAACAUUGCUCCUUGUAAAUUGGAUUAUCAUAUAUUGCAUUCACCACAUGAAAUCCCUUAGCUUCAAGUUCCUCUAGCCUUUUUGUCAAAGCUACCAUUUUAGCUUGUAGAUCAACAUCUUCAUUCAACAUAUACAUUCCUCCAUUUGAAUUGCUUUGAGACUUGGACUUGUGUAAAUCCCUUUCAUGUGGCUCAUUCCAUGACCUUAAUAUUUUAGCCACAUAAUUCAAGAAUUCAAAAGCUUCAUCGGGACUUUUGCUCAUAAAGCCACCUCCACACAUGGUUUCUAGCAAUUGCUUCAUAGUUGGCGACAUGCCCUCAAGAAGUAACUCACCAACAUCCAUGUGUCAAAACCAUGAUGAGGACAAACAUUGAUUACUUCCAUAUAUCUUUCCCAACAAGCAUAAAAUUUUUCAUUGUCCAAUGCCACAAAGUUGGUAAUUUGCCUCUUCAAGCCACUUGUGCGAUGUAUGGGGAAAAUUUUCUUUAAGAAGGUUGUUUGUAGUUCCAACCAUGACCUUAUGGUUUGGGGCCCCAAUGAGUUGAACCACAACUUAGCCUUAUCCUUCAAUGUGAAUGGAAAAAGCUUCAAUCUCAUAAGCUCAAUGGAUGUGUUUCCCUCAUGAAAUGUAUGAAAAACCUCUUCAAAAUCCUUGAUGUGAGUAUAAAGAUUCUCAUUCUCCAUUCCAUGAAAUUGAGGUAGAAGGGGUACCAAGUGAGUUUUUAUCACAAUAGCCUCAUUAGGAAGAACUAUACAUGAUCCCAUGCCUAUCCUUUGAGGAUGCAUAUAUUCUCUCAUUGAUCUAGACAUGUGAGAAUUGCCAUUGUUUGGUCCUUGUUGAGUUUGUUGAUUUUCCCCUUGAUUUUCCAUUUCCUCAACAAUUGGAUCACAAAACAAAGAUGAUUAGCAAUAUAAGUUUUUUUUCAAUCUCUCCCUUGAAUUUUAUUCUCAAUGUAGUAUGCAAUGGAGAGCCUACAAAACAAGCUUAGAAAAACCAAAACAAACCAAGAAGAACAAAAAGAGAAAUAAAAGAUAAAAAUGGAAAAAAAAAUAAUAAUAAGAAAAAUGGAGAAUCGAUAAAGAGAACUUCACCAAUCUUGUGAUGUGGAUCACAAGGGCUAAUCCUCACCAAAAAAAAAAAUGCCUCAAUCACCUAGGCACCAUCCCCGGCAACAGUGCCAUUUUUGAUUGCUCGGUUUUUGUCGUUUAUUAGAUCAAAACAAAAUUUAUAACCUAAUUCACUAUUCUAUAGAAAUUUGUACCCAAUCAAAAAAUGGUUUUAGUACAAACUACUGUAGUAUAGUGGUAUUUAGGUAUCAUCCACAAGGAUGAAUAUUCUUGGUAAUUAAGGAUUGAAUGAGAUGAUAAGAAAUGAUUGUGAUCAAGUGAAAUUGACUUGAAAUUGCAUGAUAAAAUUCCAAAAUAACAAUGUAUUCAAAUUGAGAGAAAAAUAAAGUGUAAAAGAGAAGAAAAUUAAUAAGAGGUGAGAUUCUCGAAGUUAGGAUUUUCUAGAAAGCAAUUUCCAUGGUGAAUAGGUGUUGAGAUAUAAUUUUCAUCAAGUUAGAUUGAAAACCUAAAUUUUCAUCUAAACCGAUUUUUUAUUUAGCUUUAGGUCUAGAUCUAAUUUCUCUUCAAAUUAGGUAAUCUAAUCUAAGAGAUCAAUUUGAAUCAUAUAUUCAAUUCAUCUUAAAUUAUCUUCCUAUUAUUCACAUGACGCAACUAUUCAAUCUCAUUAAAUCUAGCAUUAAGAAUUUAAUGAAUCUACCUAGCUUGCAUUGUAGUAAUCAUCCAAGACAAUUUGAAGAGAAAAAUCCCCAAAUUUCAAUUAAUCAAUCAAUUGGAUCAAAUUACAUUUGCAAUUCAAGCUCAAUUCUCUCAUUCACCAUAGAUCUUGUCUCUAGAUUCUCCCUUCUCCGAGAAAAACGAGAUUUAGCCACUCAUUCUUGGAGAUUUGAUCUCACAAGACAUGUUUGGCUACCGAGAAAAUGAGGGAAAAUGAAGGAAAUUAGAGAAUUAUAUGAGAAAAGAAAUCUGAAAAGUUCUACAAUUAGAAAAUGUAUCAAAAGUCUUUAAAUGAGUCAAUCACGUUUCUAUUUAUAGGCCAAGGUCAAGAUGACACUUGGCAACAUCUAAGAGGUCUUCCGAAUGCUUCUUCAUUAAGGAAUCUGGAGAAAAUACAUUUUCGCACGAGCCUUAGCAAUUUCGCAUGAUGGUGCGAAGUGGAAAAUCCAUCAGCUUAUUUUUUGUCUUUCUGGAGCGUUUUGCAUGACUGUGCGAAAUUUUUGCAUGGUCAUACAAAAUUGCUUUUUACUUUUCCCUUAGUAUGCUGCAGCCAAGCCUAUUCUAUUUCAUUUCGCAUGACUAUGCGAAAUUGAAAAACAUGUUUUUUCGACUCCUCUUUGCAAUUCUUCCCAUUUCUUCAUUUUUAAUCCACCUCUACCACCUUCAAUUUAGCUCCAAAUCCCAAUCCAAACUAAUUGCAUUGCUUCUUUCAUUAUGCAUUUGGAUCAUCAUUAACUUUAUUUGUUUUCUUCAAUUUGAUUCAUCUCUUUUGUCACCAAUUUAUCAAAAUCAUACCUUAAAAUGACUCCAAAACUUCAUAAAACUUGUUAGUAACUAUUGCAAGGGCAAAAACAUGUUAAUUGAGUGUUUUAGGCAUAAUUACUACUCAAAAGAUGUGAAACUCAUGAGAAUUAUUAUCUAAAAUAUGCUCUUUUUGAGUAGUAAUCACAUUGCAACACCCUUAUUUUGUUAUACCCAUUUGUAUGCUUAUCCUUUACAUAAGGAGCUUGUCUGACACCUUUAUAGAAGCGGACAAAAAGCAUGGCUUGCUUGUAGAUCCAGUGCAACUUUCAGUAACACCCAACCCCUAUCAUUUUGACCCAAAAGGAUCUAUACCUAUGAUCAUUGAACUCAUUCCAUUUUGAGAACAAUCUUCAUGAACUCAUAAACGAAAUAACUUAUUGAAACUGAAGGUAGCACCUGUGGUAAGCCGAUUUCAAUAUAUCAUGCACACCAUAGAAAAUUGCACCUGAAGGUGCCAUACUUAUAGUGGAAGGCACCAAACCCUUGUAAAUGGAGAAGAAUCCUUCAGUUCGGAUCAUAUGGAGGAAAUGCCAAUAACACUACCCAAGGCUUUACCACCCGGUGCCACCAUCUUGGUCUGGAUUUAACAUGGUACCCAAUAGUAAGCGGAGUAUGGUAGUAGUAAUUCUAGCUGCAUCACCAGCAAUUGUCUUAAUUAGCUCAAAUAUAUGCUUCUGUUCACCAUGAACUAUAUAUUCCAGCUUUAGUCUCCUUUGAUUGCAUAUCAUUUCCUCCACAAAACUUUCGUUUACUAUCAUCAAACUGCCAUCCUAUACCACAAUGGUCCCAUCAACCCUACUGACCAUCCAAAUGUCAUUAAAUGAGCUAGAAGCUGGGGACUCUCAACAGCAAGAGCACCUUGAGGUUGAAUGAAUUUAGAAUAACCCACUGAAAACUCUUAUAUAGCUUCUUUAGGUGGAGAUGAGGAAGGAGAAUAGCCAAAAUAGAGCACAACAGAGUGAGCAAAGCAUUAAGUGGGAUCCCCCUUUCAUAUUGAAAUCAAGGGGUUCCAGCCAGUGGUGCAACAGGAGAGUUUAAAACAAAGAUCCAAAUGAGAGCAUCAAUAAACUCCCACCAUGGGAGUGAGCCAUAUUCAAAAAAACAAAUAUAAGAGAAAAGUAAUGCAUCAUCACAUACCCAGACAAUCGUCCAAUGCUUAGAAAAAAAAAAAAACCAAAACAACCAGAGAAGAUGGAAGAUAAAGAAAACAGAGUGAUGAGUGAAAAUAAUCCAAAAAGCUAUAUCAAAUGUACCUAGAAAUGCUCUUUCCAAUUUUCUUUUCUUCCCAACUACCUUCAGCAAACUAGAUUUGCUUUCUCUCCUCUGCUCCUAAUCAAACUACACCCUCAAGCAAUCUGAAAAAUGCAAUCCUCUCUCUCACAACCUCAGCGCACCAACCAUCUCUACUUCUCUCAUUGUUGCUCCAACUCCUUACAAAAAUAUCCCCUCUUUGUCUCUCCUCCCAAGCUCUUUCUCUCUCUCUCUCUCUCACUUCUCCUCAGCUAUGCUCUCUCAAUCCCUCUAAAAAAAAACAUCCUUCUCUCGCUCCUCUGUAACCUCAAACUUUUCUCUCAAGCUAAAGGAAACUUCUCCCCCCGAUAUCUCCUCUCCUCCCUAGCAACCAAAAAUACCCCUCCUCUGCCAGAAUGCCUCACCUUCUCUCUCCUACGCUCCUCCAUAACGGCCUGAAGAUUCUUAUGCCAUGCAUCAGCCGCUGAUUGCCUUCAGAAAAGAUCACUGCCUAUCCAUCCUCUCAUGCACAUGUUGCCAAAAAUAAAAAAAGGUGGUAAAGAAUGCUCCCUAAAAUGCCCUUACCUAUAAACCAAAACGAGGGUUUUACAGGCGCACAAUAUUUGUGGAAAAAUAUUCUUUGCUGAAGAAUAUUUUUUAAAGAUCAAUUGAAAGCCUAAAGCAGCUUGUUCCCAAAUGAAUUUAUUGAAUGGUGAAAAACACGUGUGUUGCGAUUUUUUGGAUUUGUAGGGGGUAUUUUAUAAAGCUUUUUUCUCUUUGUGAAACUCCUUUUCAUAUGUGAAAUUGUUUUAUUUUUAUUUUAUCAUUUUCAUUGAAGGAAGUUGCAAAUAUUUAUAGAUAAAAUUUUAAAAAAUAAAUUUAGAAUUUCUAAGAUUUGAUUACUUAAUUAAAAAAAAAAAUUGGUUUCUUGAUUUUAGCAACUUGUCUUCUUCAUUAAGGAAGUUUGCUAACAAGAGAAUAUUUACUUCUCAUUUUAUUUUGACUUCAAUUGGAAGACUUGUUUCAUUUGUUUACAAAAUUUUCCAACAAGAAAAUAUUUAUUUCUAAUUCUCUUUUGAUUUCAAUUGUUUGAUUUGAUUUGAUUUUGCAAGACUUUAUUUUAUAGCCUUCCAAAUUUCACUACGUGUCAUUUUUUGAAUUGAAUGCCACAUGCUCAAUAUAUAUGACUCAUCACUUAUUAAGCCUGAGUUUUGUUGAGCUAAAGAGUUACAAUUUUGAAGACUAAUUUGGUAGUAUUUUAAUCCACUAAAAUUUUUUGUCUACAAAUGCCCCCUCUUCAAAAUAGAUCACACACAUGCAUUGUAAUGUAUAAGAGGUGAGUCUUGAAGUUAGCCUUUUGAAUCUUCAAUAUCCUUCUUUGAUUUUUUUUUUCGAAGAAAUAUUUUAAUAGGAAUUUCCUAUUCAAAAUACUUUUCUUCAACUUUUUUCGAACAUUGCUUUAUUUAUUUAUUUUUUUUCUACCUCGUAUCAAAGAAAAACCUUGUGUUAAUGGGAAAGCUUCUUAUUUGAACAUCUAUUGUCUUUUCUCAUGGUAUUUCACUUCCAAUUUGUCAACCUAGAAGAAGUCCUUCACCCUAGCUUGUUCAAUUGCAUCUUAGACUUGGUCACAUGCCUUUAACUUGCAAUUCUUCCUCCACUUUGUCUUUUUCUUUUUUAUUUGUUUAAAAAAUAGUACAAAAUAUUUGAGCAAGACCAUAAGCAAGAGAAGAGAGGUGGUGAAUGGAGCACCAACUAACCUUAGGUCAAGAUCUUGAGCAAGAGAAGUAAGGUGGAGCGUAGAGCACAAACUUCUCUAGAGCAUGGUAGGCAUACCAUCAUGGAGUUGUCUUCUGCAUGGAGCAUGGUAGGGCAUUAUAUAUAUGAUAGGGUGGGCCAUUAUGUAACAAUGAAGAACAAAAAUCCAUGGUGUACAAUUGGGAACAACAAUUCAUGCUAUCAAGCUUCAACCUUUUUUUUUUUGUUUUUUUUUUAAUCCCUAUCUCCACCCCCCGACCCAAUAUUUUUUCAAGUUUCCAGAUUCCUUUUGAUUCUUUCUCAUUUUAUUUUUUUCAACUCUUUUUUUUCCUCCCUUUUUAACCAUUGUUUUUAAGGAAGAAAUAGAUUCACCAUCCCUUACCACAAGGUCAAUCUCCAUUGCUUGCAAAGACAAAUUUGCUUUUUGGUGUUUUUUUUCUUCAAAAAUUAUCUUAACAUUUUAAGAUAUAUAUAUAUAGAUAUAGAUAUUUAAAAAACUUAAAUAUCCAUAAUAAAAAUAAAUAUUUAAGGCUCUUGACUUGUUUAAAUUGGCUUGACUUGGAUACUUAGCGGGACCAUACUUAACACCCAUGUAGAUGAGCUAUAAUCUUGAUGGUAGGUUGUGUUGUAUUUUUUGACAUUUAAUGUGGCUUAAGAGUUAAAGUCUUCACUCAUGCAAAUUAGCUUGGUUUGGAUGCACAAUGGUCUCUAACUUCUUAAUGCUUAAUUAAACUUGGAACCAUAUUUAACACCCAUGUAGACAAGUCAUAAUCAUGACAUGGAGCACUAUUUUAUUUUAACUCUUAAUGCAACUUAAAUAUUAAAGUCUUCACUCAUACAAAUUAACUUGGGUUAGAUGCACAAUGGUGUUCAACUUGGUAAAAUUAAUUAAAAUUGAAACAUUUAACACCCAUGUAAACAAGUCAUAACUUUCACAUGGAACAGUGUUGUAUUUUUAGCUUAAUGUCGCUUAAGUGUUAAAGUCUUCACUGAUGUAAAUUAGCUUGGCUUAGAUGCAUAGUAGCAUUCAACUUUUUAACACUUAAUUUAAAUUCAUACCAUAUUGAAAACCCAUGUGGACAAGACAUAAUGAGAAAAUAAAUGGCUAAUCUAAAUAGAUAAAAAUACCUAACAAGGAAGGAGGGGGGUGAAUUGGAGUUUAAAAAAAAAAUAUAUUUUUAAACACAAUAAAAUUAAGUACAAGAAGCACAAAUAUAAAGAGAUAAGUUAUAGAAAUCAAACUCAGAUUUAUAGUGGUUCGACACUUCCUUGCCUACAUCCACUCUCCUCAAACUCCUAACCGAGUGAGGGUUCCACAUAUACUUGAAGCUUCAACCAAGCUUCUAAUCACUUUUUACACUUGGAUUUUAGCUCCAAUGGGCUCUUACACAUUCUCUUCAAGUCUCUACUCACUUGAAGAUUUUAACACACAAUUAACAGUUUGAAACUCUCAACCUAGCUCAACAAUGGCUCAAAUACAACUCAAGGCUAGGAUGAAUCACAAAGGUGCAUUAAAUAAUAUGCAAAUGAAGAUUUAAUGCACUGAGAAAAGAAUGAGAGCUUUUAUGGCAAGAACAAGUAGGUAAACAAAUCAAUGGAGGUGUUCUCUUACUCAUAAAUGAAGUGGAACUCUCAAUUUAUAGGUUUCUAAUCUCGGAAGCUAAAAAACCAAAAAGUAACCUCGAUUGGUCGAGUUAGGGGUCGACAGGUUCACUAGUCGUUAGAGCAUUAAAUGCGUGGCAGGUGAUCGUUACCCUCGACCGGACCUUGACUGGGAAGGCAAAUCUCUCAACUGGGAAAGAAAGGCUAUUGGAAGAGAGAAGGCUUUUUGCAUCUUUUGACUAGACCUCAACCGAGAAGGAGCAACUGAUCGACCAGUACCCUAGCCGGUUGAGCCGGUUGGCCAGUGCCUCAACCAAUUCACCAUUUUUUGGCCCUAAAACCUAUCUUUUUGUGGUCUUUUUUGCUUCUAACACUUAAACAAGGUCUUUAGGUAAAAUAAUAUGUCAAUUUUGAAACGCUUUGCCUAAGGUUCAUUUGAUAGAACUCGGAUUUUGAUGGAAAUGUGACUUUAAUGCGUAAACCGAGUUUUAAAAGAUGUAUGAAAUGAUAUGAAAAUUCUAAGUACACUCAUGCAUUCAUUUUACAUAGUUUUCUAUAAUUAAAAAGUCUUUCAAAAGUCUUGAUCUUGCAUCCAUUAGAUCAUUUGAUUAAUUUCCAAAUUAAUAUUUGAAAUUCUUUAUAAUUCAAACCAAUUAGUAACUUAACCAUGGUUUGUUAUCAUCAAAACAUGAUUAGGAGAACCCUUGGGCUAACACAUAACAUUGUAGCAAUGUUAUAUUUUUUACACUUAAUGCAGUUUAAGUUCUAAAAUCUUCAUUUCUAUGAAUUGGUUCACCUUGGAUGCAUAGUGGUGUCUAAAUUAUAAUACUUAAUUAAAAUUGAAACCAUAUUUAACACCCAUGUAGACAAGUCAUAACUUUGACAUGGAGUGGCAUUGCAUUUUUGACACUUAAUGCAACUUAGGUGCUAAACUUUUCACUCAUGAGAAUUGGUAUGGGUUGGAUGCAUGUGGUGUCGAACUUUUUAACACUUAAUUAAAAUUGGAACCAUAUUUAACACUAUCUAGAUAAGUCAUAACCUUGAUGUGAAGCGACAUUGUAUUUUCAACACUUAAAGCAACUUAGGUGCUAAAGUCUUCACCCAUGCAAAUUAGUUCAUCUUGGAUGUACAAUGGUGUCCCAUUUUUUAACAUAUAAUUAAAAUUGGAACCAUAUUUGACACUCAUGUAGACAAGUCUAGCCAUGAUGUAAAGUAGUGUUGUAUUUUUAAAACUUAAUGCAGCUUCAAUGGUAAAGUUUUUACUCAUGUGAAUUGGCUUGAUUUGGAUGCACAAUGAUGCCUAACUUUUUAACAUUUUAUUAAAUUUGGUAUCAUAUUUAACACCUAUGUAGACAAGUCAUAACCUUAAUGUAGAGGUGCUGUAAUAUUUUUGGUACUUAAUGCCGCUCAAGUGCUAAAGUCUUCACUCAUGUGAAUUUUUUUGGUUGAGAUGGACGUCUCUAACAUUUUAACAUUUAAUUAAAAUCAGAAUCAUAUUUAACACUCAUGUAAAAAAGUCAUAACCUUGACACAUAGUAAUAUGCAAUGUUUUAACAUUUAAUAUGACUUAAGUGCUAAAGUUUUCACUCAUGUGAAUUGGCUUGGCUUGGAUGCAUAAUGGUGUCUAACAUUUUAACACUGAAAUUAAAAUUAGAGUUAUAUUUAAUAAUCAUGUAGACAAGUCAUAACCUUGACGAGAAGCAAUAUUGUCAUUUUGACACUUAAUAUUGCUUAAAUGCUAAAGGCUUCACUCAUGCAUAUUGACUUAGCUUGGAUGAACAAUGGUAGCUAACUUUUUAACACUUCAUUAAAUUUGGAUUAUGGUUAACAUCCAUGUAGAAGAGUGAUAAACUUGAUGCAAAGUGAUGUUAUAUUUUUGGUACUUAAUAUAGCUUAAAUACGAAAAUCUUCACUUCUAAUAAUUAACUUGGCUUGGAUGCAUAGUGGUGUCCUACUUUUUAACUCUUAAUUGAAAGUGAAAUCAUAUUUAACAUCCAUUUUAUGCUAGUCAUAAACUUGAUAUAGAGCAAUGUGCAACUUUUUAACAUUUAAUGCAACUUAGGUGCUAAAGUCUUUACUCAUAUGAAUUAACUAAACUUAGAUGCAUAUUCGUUUCCAACUUUUUUAAUACCUAAUUAAAAUUAAAACCAUAUUUAAAAACCAUGUAGACAAAGGCAUAAUCUUAACAUGGAGCAGUGUAUAACUUUUAGCACUUAAUUAAAAUUGGGAUUAUACUUCACAACCACAUAUUCCUCCUCCUAUUUUUCAAUUUUUUCUUGUGGUGAUGAUUGAACUCAACUAGUUUGUCCAAGUUACCUGCAUACCUUAACAGAGAGGGGAUCAAGUCAAACUUAGUUCAAAGUAUUUUUUUAAUAUCUAACUUUUGCCAAGGCUAAUGAUUUUAAUCUUGAAAGCUUGUCUUAACUUUUGACUAUAUAUGUAGUGUUUUCAAGUUUCAAUUUAGCGACCUAUGAAUUGUACAAAUUGAAAAUGACUUCACUCAUGUGUAAAAAUAAAAGAUAUUCAUUCAUAGUUUUAGGGCAACGAAAAGUAAUCGACCCUUUUUUGCAUUAUUAUUAUUAUUGUUGUUGUUAUUAUUAUAAUUAUUAUAUUACCUUAAAAAAAAGACCUUCUCCAAAAAAUUUAAUCUACAAGUACUUGGAUUCUAUUUGAAUAUAAAAAGAGCCACUCAUAUGCAUGAAUUAAAUAUAUGUCCCAUGGAUAAGUUGUACUUAGCCACGGCUGAAGCUUUCCAUUAUGACUUGAAGGGAAAAAAAAAGAGAGGAGAAUAAUGUCAUUAAAAAACUGAUUGCCAUGUGCCUAUGCCUGCCAGUAGAUGGCUGAAAACUAGUUCUAUUCUUUUGUUUUUGCCUCUACUAAUGAACCAUAAUUGAGAGAUUCAUUGGCAACUAUCGUAUAAACAAUGGUUCAUAAAUUACUUUUAAAUUUUGAUAGCAAAGACUCAAAAUGUAAAACCAUAAAAAAUUUGUUCUAUUCCCAAAUUUUUUUAAAUAAUAAAUUAAUGCACAUGACUGUUUUCACAUCUUAUUCUCAUUUCUAUCAAUGCAAUAAUUGUAAUCAUCUUAUCUAUUAACAUGGCCUAGAGCCAUAGAGCUUCCUUUUCUUUAGUCCUAGAGCCAUUUCAGCUAAGAGUAGUCUUUCCUUAGCAUUUCCGGUCCAAAGCUUCCAUUUCUUUAGGCCUAGAGGCAUUUUCAGUCCAGAGCUGCUGUUUCUUUCGGCCUACAACCAUUUUCAGCCUGAAGCUGCCUUUCUUUAGCAUUUUCAGCCCAGAGCUACCUUUCCUUGGCAUAUCAGCCCAAAGCUUCUAUUUCUUUAGGCCUGGAGCCAUUUCAACAUACAACAUUGGUUUCUUUGGCCGGGCCUUGAGCCCUUUUCAACCCAGAACUGUCAUUUCUUCUAAAUAACUUCUCUUUUAAAAAACUUCAAUUUGUCUUUCCAAUAAAAAAAUUUAAGGCUUUGUUCUAGGUUUCAAGAAGCUGGCAUAGAAAAAAAAAAGGAAAAAAAAAAUUCUUGAUGGCAUAAAGUAGGACAUGGCCGGGAUAGUUUGAAAUACAUAAUUUUCCCCAUUCAAAUGCAAAACAUAUUAAAAGAACAUUUGGCAUGAUUUUAUGAAGUGAUUCUAUCUUUUCUAAUACUUCAAAGUUAUGAAGUGAUUCUAUCUUUUCUAAUACUUCAAAGAUAAAUUUUUUUGAAGUAUUAGAAAAAUUAGAAACAUUUCUUAAAAUCACUACCCUUAACUAUAUUUAGAUACUUUAACCAUUUCAAAUGCUACAUGUUGUUUCCUUCUACAUUUCCUCUUUAUUUUGUUUUUCUCUUACAUUUUUCCUCAAAUUUUCUAAAAACCAAACAUAACCUAAAAGAAAAGAUAAUUUGACUUAUUUUGAAAGUUCUUUAUAUAUAUAGUUUAUAUGGAAAAUUGUUUCAUGUUAAUUUAAUAAAGCAUUUAUAAUAUUGAGAUCGCUCUUUCAUAAUCAUAAAUUAACCUUUAGUUUCAACUUCUACAAGAGGCUAAAUGAAAAAAGCUAUCACAGAGGAGGCCUCAGCCAAUGAGUAAGAUGCACUGUUGUACCAAACAAUAGGUGGAAAAUACAAUUUUAUUAAGACUCUGAGACAAAAAAAAAAAAAAAAAGGAUGAUUUUACACUCAAAACAAGGAUUUAUUUAUAAUGAAGUGCAGUCUCCAUAUGCACAUGUGACUGCAUUUACAGCAUAAAGAAAGACAAGGAAAUUAACAAAUGUUGGACUCAUUGGAAAAUCAUACAAAUUAUUGAAGGAGGACCUUAGCUAAGCUAACUGUCUCCUAAAUUGCCCAUCUUUUAUAUAUAUUUGCAUUCAUCCGUCUCAUCAUCGUCUUUGAUUUUAGAUGGUGAGGAUGUGAAAGUAACAGGAAGCAGUGGACGAUUGUUCACUGUGAGGCUUAGCACAUCAGCUCUCGAAUAAUGUCCUACCACAUCGAACUGGAACUUUGCUUUAGGAAUCUCUCCACGAACAUCUGCAUAUCAAGUGAUCAUCAAAAUAUUUGAUCAGCCCUUUUAAAUAUCAGAGAGUAUCAAGUCUUCCAUAAAACCGUGUUUGCAGUCCUUUUAAACCUAAAGAAUUCACUCAUUUGCCUUAUCUGCAUACUGAAAUAUUUGGAUAUACAAUUGGAGAAGUUAGGGCCAUACCAAGAUCAGCUGUGAAGAGGCCUUCUCCUUCAUAAUUCGGUCCUGCUAGAAUUUCGCCAUGGGGCGAAAUGAUGACACUACCUCCUGCCCAAACAAUGGAAUCUGGAGUGACAUCUUCUUCUGUAGGACUGUAAAGAUACUCAGGUGGAGGUGGGUAAUCUUUCCUCCGACAGAACUGGAUGGGUGAAAGAACAUAGCAUCCACCCUCAAUAGCAACGUGUCUCAUUGUAGCUACCCAUGUAUCCCCGGAAUCGGCAGUAGGAGCACAAUAUAUCUCAAUACCUAUAGAGAUGUACAUUCGUAUUUUGUGAUCAAUCAAUCCCAUAUCAAAGCCAUAAUGUAUUUCAAGCCUAUUUAUAGGCUAAAACCCUAACAACUUAAAAAAGAGUACUGAAGUAUUUCAAGCCAAACCAUAUUAGUUAGUGAAGAAAAAGACAUACCUUUGCCAUACAUUGCUGUCCUUAGAAGCGGCAUUCUAUUUUCCCAACAAAUGACCGAACCAAGUUUUCCAUAUGGAGUGUCAUAAACUGGAGUUGUCGAGCAAUCUCCGAAACCCCAGACGAGCCGCUCCCAAUAUGUUGGCAUGAGUUUCCUAUGUUUUCCAAGGUAAUUACCUUUAGGAUCAAAGAAGAGAACAGUGCAAUACAAUGUGUAUCCCUCUCUCUCAAUAACACCUGUCACUAAGUAGACUCUGUAUUUCGCAGCCAUUGAUGCCAAUCUAUCAACUUCAGGUCCUGAAAAUACAUUAAUUUGAGAUUAAAGAUGAAACAUGUCAGCUGAAGGUUCAUCACAAAGCAGCAUAAGUAGAUUUUGUUUCAACAACUUAUUAAGUGGCUCAGUUCUUUAGCUAUUUAAGGGAGAAAAAGAGAGGUAAUUGACCCGGAACAUUAAUGGCAGAAGCAUGGUACUUGCGGAAACUUUCUUUCCCUCUUGGCGACCGGUCAGCGAAGUUAUAUCCUCGGGGAUACCCACCGAUAAAUGCUUCAGGAAACACAACCAGUUGGGAUCCCAGUGCAGCUGCUUCUUUCAAAAACCUCUCAGCCUUAUCUGCUCUCAAAAUCACAUUGCAAGAAGUAAAUUAAUUGGUUGAAUGGAGAGAAUGAAAAUUAACUUUUAAGAGAUCCCGAAUGACUUUUUGGUUGCUGAGAAAACUCAAGGAAAAACAGACCUAGAUGAAACUUGAAACUCUCAUAUUUUCAGCUGUUUUGUAACUAAGAAAAGAGAAACCACCUCAACUCAACUCAUCAAAAUAAUUGUAAAAGCAGUAAUUCCUUGAUUGGCAGCUGAAAAUAUGAUCAGGGUUCAAUCAUCCUUUUCUUUUUUUCAGUCUCUGAGAAACCAAUUAGAUCACAUAUUCCAUUACACAAGUUGCACAAUUGAAAGAAAUGGUACGUUACCUAGAGUGGCAGGAGUAUCAUAAAAGAUACUAGAAGCUUGAACAACGGUGGCUCUAACAGUUGAAGACAUUGCAGAAAAUUGUAUGUUUUUUCGUUUCCCCUUUGUUUGAGGAUUCCUCACACUGCGUUCAGUAUAUAUAUUGCCCAUGACAUUGUGGACCAGCCACUUGACUUAUACAAAUUGAAAAUGACUGAGUCAUCUGUGAAAAGCAAUUUAAGAUAACAUUCAAAAUUAAUAAGCUUUAAUUUUUAUUUAUAUAUAUAUAUACAUAAUCUACAAGUUGUUAUCAUUAUAUUUGAAUAAAAAGAGGGACCCGCCCACAUGCAUGGAUUCCAUCCAUCUAGCACACAGAUAAAUUGUCUUUAGUGGCGGCUGAGGCUUUCUAUGACUUAUACCAUAUAUCUAUACACCCCAGUAUAUAGCUAAAAACUGGGUAAUGUAUUGGCCCCUACCUAAAAUUAUUGAUUGAUUCAAUGACAGCUAUCUGAGAAAAAUAAAAAAGGGAGAACUAUUCUUACGCUUGCCUUGAUUUAAGCAAAUAUACUUUUAAUUAGGAAUUCUAAUUUUCAUAUUUUACCCCAAACAGAUAAUCAAUAAAAUUAUUCUCCAAAUAUGUAUUUUAAUAGCAACAAAAAUGAGAAUUCCAUAAUUAUCCCUUUUAAAAUCUUUAAUAUGACAAGUCGUAAUUUAAUGUGUUUGGUAGCUCUCCUUUUUCUUUUUUUCUCCUCUACAUCACUUUCUCCAUAUAAUGUCUUUGAUAUCCUCUCCAUAUCAUGUUGUUGAUAUCCUACCUUUGACAUUUUUUUUUAUCUAUGUGUUGAAGUGACUACACUUUUAGAUUUCUUUUCACUCUUUUAAUAUUUUCAUAUAUAUUUAUUAACUUUAAUAAAUUUUUGAAAACAUUAAACAUAAAAUUAUAAUAUAUGAUAAAUAAUUAAUGAUAACAAAUUAAAUAUAAAUAUAAGUAUGAAAUGGACAAAAAAUAAAAAAUUUAUCCUACAAAUAAUAGACUAUAUAGUUUAAAAUAUUAGUUAUAAUAAUAUAUUUGAUACUUUAGAGUUUAGAUUAAAAAAUUAUGUUUUAUUUUUUAGAGGUUAGCAUAUAAUAUUUCCAUUAAACAAAGAUUUUUUUAUAUGAAUCCUAAAUAAAAUGUUUAUUUAUUUUGCAAAUUCUUAUCAUAUGCGAUAUAUAUAUAUAUAUAUAUCAUGUUAUUUAUAAUUUUUAUUAUUUUGUGUCAAAAUCACAGUCAAUGAUGAUAAUUUUAGUUAGUAUAGAGCUCUUAAAAGGAUGAUAUGAUGUAACAAAUAUGAAGUUAUUAAUUAUUUACUGAUAUUCUGGUUUUACUUUUAUUAAUCCUUAUUCCAUACAUUAUAUUUUAUGAGCAUCCUAGUUUGACAUUUCUUAUACUAUACAUGGCUUAGGUGCAUUAGAAGUUGCACGGAAGAUCCAAGUUAUAGAUUCCUUUUUUAAUUCAAUAUUUUAAAAAAAAAAUUAUACUUUCAGUCAAUGUCUCAUAUUUCAAACACGUACACACUCUAGAAUUUCUCGAAUUGUAGUCUAGAAUGUCAACUUAGUGUUUGAUGAAAAAAGGUAUAAACAAAUAUAUGAAAAAAGUAAUCAACAAGCAUAGGAUUCUAUUUGAAUAAAAAAGAGCCACUUACAUGCAUUGAUAAAGGAAACUCCAACUCAGCUAGCAUACAAUCCAUGCCAAAGCAGAAUCUUUACGUAAGAAGUUGAUAAUGCAAUUUGCCAGGAAGGAAAACUACUCUCCAUAUUUGUAAUGUGGAAAAUCAAGGUUGGAAGGAAAUUUUCACUUACUUAUUCUGUAUAAUAUUCCCUUUUUUUUUUUUUUUUGUAAAGAAAGUAUGUAUUGUUUAUUUAUUUUUUAGAAAACAAUUAGUAAAGUGUGGUGCGAAUUCAACCUUUCAAAAAUAGUUUCUAUUCUUCAUGGUAUCGGAGCUAGUUAAUCUAAAACAAUCCAAAGCUUCCAUGGAAACCCCAGAAAAUGUUCUUAGCAUUCAGGCUUUUCAUCAAUGCUCGAGCCUCAUCUCCAUCAAACUGAAUAUGUCCAAUCUCCUUUUGUGGCACUCACAAGUUCUUCCUCUUGUGCGAAGCCUUGGAUUAGUCCAUCAUCUCUCUGAAAAUAGACACGCAUAAGAGGGGAUAAUGGAUAGUGAAACAAAGGAGACCUAUGAUUAGUCAAUAGAGACAUGGUCUCACAAUGAUGAUCUACUUACCUCCUGGCUUCUUGGACCCAUGACAGAAGAAGUGAUUCUUUUAUUGGAUGGAACAGAGAUUGCCUAUGAUGUUUGGAACUCUCUGGAAGAAAAACUCCUUCCAAUGACCAAAGAGAAGGAUAUGCAAUUGACCAAUAGACUCCGAGGGCUGAAGAAAGGCACAAGGUCCCUUGAUGAAUAUCUAAGGGAGUUCAAAGAAAUUUUUGAUGCAUUAGCUACAGUUAGAAAACCAGUAAGUGACCUAGACAAAGUUUUUCAACUAGCUCAAGGUCUCAUAACUAAAUACAUGGAUUUUCGGGUGGCCAUGUUAUCAAAGCCACCAUAUCCCUCUUACAAUCAAUUUGUUCUGGCUCUACAAGGGCAUGAACAAAUGAUUAUGAUAGAAAAUGAAGAGAACAAAGAGUCAAUAAACCAUGAACAAGCCUAUUUUACCCAAUGAGGAAGACGAAGAAAUCAAGGAGGAAGAUUUCUUUCUAGAGGUCAUGACUUCAUUCUAGCAAGACGAUUCAAUCACAAUGCUACCAAUGACCAAAGGCAGAAUGUUCAUCCCAACACCAGAAAUCCAAGAAAUAGCUUCAACAACCAGCUUCCACCAGAACAAAAACUCCAAAAAUCUAAAGGUACUCUUAUUUACCAAAUUUUUAAUAAAGCUAACCAUUCAGCUUUGGAUUGCUAGAACAGAUUCAACUAUUUGUAUCAAUCAGAAGAGAUUCCUCAAGCUUUGGCUGCUAUGGCUCUAAAUGAAGAAGAUAAGGAUCCUAAUUUUUAUGUGGACUCGAGAGCAAAAACCCAUAUAACAAAUGACCUAGGUAAGAUUACCCAAGUAAUUCCAUAUAAAGGGCAUGAUGCAAUUUUUGUUGGAAAUAGAGAAGCUGUAAGAAUCUCACAAAUUGGUGAAGCUAGACUAAAAACUAAACAUAUAGAUCUAAAGCUUAAAAAAUUAUUGGUUAUUCCAAAAAUUAAGAAAAAAUUGUUAUCCAUUGGACAACGUACCUCUGAUAACCCAUGCUCCAUAGAAUUCUCAUCAACUAGUUUUGUCAUUAAGGAUCAACUUCAACAAGUGCUAGCUAGAGGAACUAAGAAGAGAGGUCUCUAUGCAUUGGAGGAAAAUGUGAUUCAAGCCAUGAUAGUUACUAGGUCUAGCAAGGCACCAUAAGAAGUGUGGCAUCAACGCAUGGGGAAUCUGCAAACAAAAUCUAUAAAGCUUCUACAAGAUAAGAAUUUCAUUGAAGUAUCUAGUUGGAUGAAAUCAACAAUAGUUUGUGUUAGUUUUCAAUUAGGAAAAAGUUGUAAAGUUUCUUUUGGCUUAAAAAAUAAAAUUUCCAGCAAUCUUCUUGAAAAAAUUCAUUGUGACUUAUGGGGACUUGCACCAAAUAAUUCAACUCAAGGAUACAAGUAUUAUGUUGUCUUUAUUGAUGAUCAUACUCACUAUACAUGGCUUUAUCCCUUGAGAAGAAAAUCAAAUUUCUAUGAAUGUUUUUUGAAGUUUCAAAAUCUGGUUGAGAAUCAACUUGAAAGAUAGAUAAAAAUCUUCCAAAGUGAUGGUGGAGGUGAGUUUCAAUCAAUUAAAUUUCAAAAUCACCUAAGCAAGUGUGGAAUUUUGCAACGAGUCUCAUGCCCAUGAACUCCAGAACAAAAUGGGGUUGUAGAGAGAAAGCAUAAACACAUUGUUGAAAUGGGUUUAACAAUGCUUUUCAAUGCCAAAUUACCAUUGAGUCUAUGGGUAGAUGCAUUCCAUACUGUCGUAUACCUUAUUAAUCGACUGCCUUCCAUGGUGUUGAAAAUGUAGAGUCCAUUCUUUAUGUUUUUCAAACAAUAUCCAGAAUAUAGGAGCUUGAGAAUUUUUUGUUGUCGAUGUUUUCCAUACCUUUGAGACUACGGGAAGAAUAAAUUCUCACCUAAGAUAUCUCCAUGUGUUUUUAUUGGAUAUAGCUCUCUACACAAGGGUUAUAGAUGCUUGCAUCCUUCAACUAAAAGAGUUUACAUAUCUCAUCAUGUCAUCUUCAAUGAAAAUUGCUUUCCUUAUGCUAACUCUCUUGUUAAGAAAAAUCAUUUACAGAUUCCUAUAGAAAUGGUAUCAUUCUCAACUUCAGAUGUUUUUUGUGAGACUUAAAAAAUGGAUCACCAAACUAAGUCUUGGAAGGAGAACACUGCUAACCAAUCAAGCAACUCCAAGAAGUUCAACCAUUGGUCAUGCACUACUAGGUAAAGAAACUGGUUUAGUGUUGACGGAAGAAUUUCUACUAGUUGUAUUACUAACCAAAAUACAAAAGCAUCAUGUGUUAAUCCGACUGGAACUCCCACUACUAUUACUGUUGAAAUUUCCACUAUUGUUACUAGUAAAAAUGACCAUAAUACCGUCAUUACUACUGAAACUCCCACUGAUGUUGCUCUUGGUUCUAGUGGCCACAAUUUCAACACUGCAACUACUAUUGGAACACUCUCCUAGAUUGAGUCUACUAGUAGCUACAAGCCUGCCAAUGUUAGUAAUUUUCCUUAUAUCAGUAAGCACCUAGUAGUUGAUCUCUCUUUCCCUUAAAAAUGGCAGAAAAAUGAGCAUGUUGGUUCAUCUCCGCAAAACAAAUCCACCAGUCACAGUGUUGAUGAUGAAGUUCCUGAUAUUAGCAAGCAAAUUGUUGUUGACAUCUCUUCUCCUCAGGGCUAACACAUAGAUAACAAAGAAACUCAUAUGAUCACCAGAAGUAAACUCAAGAAUGAUCCCAGUUUAAAGUCUCAAAUGGUUACUUUUGUUGCCAUAAGAAGUAAUAUUAGUGAGCCAAAAACAUAUUGUACAACAUUGAAAAUUCCCUAUUGGUUCAAACAAUGCAAGAGGAAAUUAAGGAUUUAAUCCAAAAUCGAACAUGGGAUUUGGUUCCUAGGCCUCCAACUGCAAAUAUUGUGGGUUCUAAAUGGGUGUUUAAAACAAAGCUAAAGGAAGAUGGAACCAUAGAUAGAUACAAAGCACAAUUAGUUGCUAGAGAUUUUUCUCAAAUACCGGGUUUGGACUUUGGAGAGACCUUCAGCCUAGUUAUAAAGCAUACUAUAAUCAGAUUGAUCCUUUCAUUAUCAGUAACCUUGGGGUGGACAAUGAGGCAAUCAGAUGUUAAGAAUGCCUUCAUACAUGGGUUUCUAAAGGAAAAAGUACUCAUGGAACAACCUCCAGGAUUUAUAAACAAGGACUUUCUGAAUCAUGUCUACAAAUUGAAUUGUUCUCUUUAUAGCCUUAAGCAAGCUCCAAGGGCCUAGUUAAAUAAACUAUUUCAAUGUCUUCUUCAUCUGGGGUUUUACUGUGGUAAAAUAGACUCGUCUUUAUUUAUUCUUCGCAAAGGUCAGUCUAUUGUUUUGCUACUUAUCUAUGUUGAUGAUAUUAUAGUCACAGGCAAUGAUAACAACAUCAUUAGUGACCUCAUCAGCACCCUGAGUAGUGAAUUUUCUCUCAAGGACUUAGGAUUUUUGCAUUAUUUUUUGGGAUUGGAGGUUAAAUAUCUUCUUAAUGGGUUGUUUCUUUCUCAAACAAAGUACACUAGAGAUCUCCUAGAGCACACAAAAAUGAUGGAGUGUACUCAUAUCAACACAUCCAUGGCUCUUAAGUCCAUCAUCACACCUUCUGAUGAACAACCUAUUGAUCCUACAUGAUAUAGGUAACUUGUUGGAUUCCCCUAAUAUUUAACCUUCACAAGGCUUGAUUUUGUGCAUGCAGUAAACAAGGCCUACCAACAUUUCCAAGCACCCACUAAAGUUGACUUGCAAGCUGUCAAACGCAUCCUUAGAUAUUUGAAGGAAACAAUGGAGCAUGGAAUCAGGUUUUUCAAGCAAAGUUCGCUUCGUCUCACUGGUUUUUGUGAUGCUGAUUGGGCAGGAUGCACAAACACAAGAAGAAGCACAUCUAGGUAUUAUAUUUUUCUAGGAGCCAAUUGUAUCUCAUGGUCCUCAAAGCGACAACCUACAAUUUCUAGAUCAAGCACCGAGGCCAAAUAUCGAUCCCUUGCGUCCAGUGCUGCAGAAAUAACUCGGCUUACUUUCCUUCUCCAUGAUAUUGGCAUUCAACUAUGUGAACCUUCUCAAUUUCUAUGCGAUAACCUCAGUGCCCUUCACAUGACAGUACAUCUCGUCUUCCAUGCAUGGUCCAAGCAUAUUGAGUUGGACUAUCAUUUUAUUCGGAAAAAAAGUUGCAAGUGGAGUUUUGAUUACUUGUUUCCUUCCAUCGUCCUUACAAGUAGCUGAUAUAUUCACAAAGACACUCCCUAAGACUUCAUUCCAAGUCUUUCGAUUCAAGCUAGGAGUGCACAAGUUACCACUCACUAGCUUGCAGGGGGCUAAUAAAGGAAAGUCAAACUCAACUAGCAUACAAUCCAUGCCAAAGCAAUCUUUACGUGAGAAGUUAGUAAUGCAAUCUGCUAGGUAGGAAAACUACUCUCAAUAUUUGUAAUGUGGAAAAUCAAGGCUGGAAGGAAAUCUUCACUUACCUGUUCUGUAUAAUAUUCCCUUUUCUAUGCAAAUAAAGUAUGUAUUGUUUAUUUAUUUUUUAGAAAAAAUCAGUAAAGCGUGGUACAAAUUCAAUCUUUCAAAAAUAGUUUAUGUUCUUCAUGCAUGGAUAAUAAAUCCCAUGGAUAAAUUGUAUUUAGCAGCGGCUGAAGCUUUCUAUAUGACUAAAGAGAAAAAAAGUCAUUAAAAAACUAAUUGCCAUGUGACUACGUCUACCAGUAGAUAGUUGAGAACAAGGUCUAACUCUUAACCUUUUGUACUACCUUUACAAAGGAACACAAAAUUGAGAGAUUCAAAGGCAACUAUAGUAUAAAUAUUGUUUCAUAAAUUACUUUUCAAAUUUAAUUUGAUAACAAAAAUUUAGAAUACAAAAGUAUGAAAAAUUUGUUCCAUUCCCAAAAUUUUUGCAAAUAAAAUUUUAAAGUAAUAAAUUAACACCAUGACUCUUUUCACAUCUUAUUCUCCUUUCUAUCAAAGAAAUGAUAGUAAUAAUCUUAUCUAUAAAUUUUAAAUGAGGCAAGAUCAUUGAAUUUUUAUUUUCUUUUAUUUUCUUGUUAUGUAAUUAUCAAACACAUUUUUUUUUUAAGACAAAAAAAAAUUAGACUGAAGAAAUAUAUUUUUGCCCUGAUUUAGUCACUUGGAUUGCAAUUCGAAGGAUGGAAAUAAAAGUGUAUUCUUGGAGUUAAAGAUCAAUUGAAAGCUUAAAGCGGCUUGUUCUCGAAUGAAUUUAAUGAAUGACGAAGAAUACAUGUGUUGUAAUUUUUUGGAUUUGUAGGGGAAUUUUAUGAAGCUCUUUUCUCUUUGUCAGGCUUCUUUUUUUGUAUGAUUUUUUUUCUUCAUCAUUUUCAUUCAAGGAAGUCGCAUAUAUUUAGAGAUGAAAUUAAAAAAUUAAAUUUAGAAUUCCUAAGAUUUGAUUACUUAAUUAAAAAAAAUUGGUUUCUUGAUUUUAGCAACUUGUCUCCUCUAUUAAGGAAGUUUGCUAAUAAGAGAAUAUUUAAUUAUCAUUUUCUUUUGACUUCAAUUAGAAGAUUUGAUUCGUUUGUUCAUAAAAUUUGAAAACAAAAAAAAAAAUUAUUUCUAUUUUUUUAUUUCAAUUGUUUAAUUUAAUUUGAUUUUGGAAGACUUUAUUUUAUAGUUUUCCAAAUUUUGUUACAUGUCAUUUUUUGAAUUGCAUGUUACAUAUUCAAUAUACAUGACCCAUCACUUAUUAAGCAUAAAUUUCGUUGAGCUAAGGAGUUACAAUUUUGAAGACUAAUUUGAUAGUAUUUUAAUCCACUAAAAUUUUUUAUGUCUACAAAUGCCCCGUCUUCAAGACAAACACACACAUGCAUUGUCAUGUAUAAAAGAUGAGUCUUGAAGUUAGCAUUUUGAAUCUUUAAUAUCCUUCUUUGAUAUUUUUUUUUUCAAAGAAAUAUUUUAAUAGGAAAUUUCCUAUUUCAAAAUACCUUUCUUCAACUUUUUCCAAAAACGACUUUAUUUUCUUCCUUUUUUUCUACCUGGUAUCAAGGAAAGACUUUGUGUUAAUGGGAAAGUUUCUUAUUUGAACAUAUAUUUGCUUUUCUCAUGGUAUUUUCACUUCCAAUUUAUCAUCCUACAAGAAGUCCUUCACCCUUGGUCGAUUGUAUCUUAGACUUGAUCACAUGCCUUUAACUUGUAAUUCUUGCUCCACUUUAUUUAUUUUAUUUUAUUUUAUUUUAUUUUUAAAAAAGAAUACAAUGUAUAUGAGCAAGACCUUGAGCAAGAGGAGCAAGGUGGAGGGUGGAGCAUGAGCUAGCCUUAGGGUAAGACCUUGAGCAAGAGAAGUAAUGUGGAGUGUAGAUCACAAACUUCUCUGGAGCAUGGUAGGCAUACCGUCACAGAAUUGUCUUCCACAUGGAGCAUGGUAGGGUUUAUACAUAUGAUAGGGUGUGCCAUCAUGUAACAAUGAAGAACAACAAUCCAUGGUGUACAAUUGGGAACAACAAUUCAUGCUAUCAAGCUUCAACAUUUUUUUUUACCCCCAUCUCCAUUUUUUCAACUUCUUUUUUUUUUUUUUGUCCUUUUUUUUUCCCUUUUUUUAAGCAUUGUUUUUAAGGAAGAAAUAGGUUUGCCAUCCCUUACUAUGAGGUCAAUAUCCAUCACUUGCAAAGACAAAUUUGCUUUUUGAUAUUUUUUCUUCUUCAAUAAUUAACUUAACAUUUUAAUAUAUAUAUAUAUAUUUUAACAAACUUGAAUAUUCAUAAUAAAAUAAAUAUUUAAUGUCUUUACUCAUCCAAAUUAGCUUGACUUGAAUACUUAGUAGAUCCAUACUUAACACCCAUGUAGACGAGCUGUAACCUUGAUGGCAGGUUGUGUUGUAUUUUCGACACUUAAUGUGCCUUAAGAGUUAAAGUCUUCUCUCAUACAAAUUAGCUUGGUUUGGAUGCACAAUGGUGUGUAACUUUUUAACACUUUAUUAAACUUGGAACCAUAUUUAACACCCACGUAGACAAGUCAUAAUCAUGACAUGGAUCACUGUUUUAUUUUUAGCUCUUAAUGUGGCUUAAAUAUUAAAUUCUUCACUCAUACAAAUUAAAUUGGGUUAGAUGCACAAUGGUGUUCAACUUGUUAACAGUUAAUUAAAAUUAGAACCAUAUUUAACACCCAUACAAACAAGUCAUAACUUUGACGUGGAGCAGUGUUGUAUCUUUGGCUUAAUGCCGCUUAAGUGUUAAAGUCUUCACUCAUAUGAAUUAGCUUCACUUAGAUGCAUAGUUGUAUUAUACUUUUUAACACUUAAUUUAAAUUUGGACCAUAUUGAAAACCCAUGUGAACAAGACAUAACCUUGUAGUGGUGUUAUAUUUUUGACACUUAAUGUAGCUUAAAUGCUAAAGUCUUCACUUCUAUGAAUUGGUUCACCUUGGAUGAAUAGUGAUGUCUAAAUUGUAAUAAUUAAAAUUGAAACCAUAUUUAACACUCAUGUAGAUAAUCAUAACUUUGACGUAAUGGCAUUGUAUUUUUGACACUUAAUGCAGCUUAGGUGCUAAAGUUUUCACUCAUGAGAAUUGGUAUGAGUUAGAUGCAUUGUGGUGUCCAACUUUUUAACACUCAAUUAAAAUUGGAACCAUAUUUAACACCAAUGUAGAUAAGUCAUAACCUUGACGUGAAGCGAUAUUGUAUUUUUGACACUAAAUGCAACUUAGGUGCUAAAGUCUUCACCCACGCAAAUUGGUUCAUCUUGGAUGCACAAUGGUGUCGAAUUUUUUUAACAUAUAAUUAAAAUUUGAACCAUAUUUGACACUCAUGUAGACAAGUCAUAACCAUGAUGUAGAGUAGUGUUGUAUUUUUAACACUUAAUAUGACUUUACUGGUAAAUUCUUUACUCAUGUGAAUUGCCUUGAUUUGGAUGCACAACUAACUUUUUAACAUUUUAUUAAAUUGGGUAUCAUAUGUGUUGUUUUUUUAACACUUAAUACGACUUUAGUGGUAAAUUCUUUACUCAUGUGAAUUGUCUUGAUUUGGAUGCACAAUGAUGCCUAACUUUUUAACAUUUUAUUAAAUUGGUAUCAUAUUUAACACCAAUGUAGACAAGUCAUAACUUUAAUGUAGAUGCGGUGUAGUAUUUUUGGCACUUAAUAUUGUUUAAGUGCUAAAGUCUUCACUCAUGUGAAUUUUCUUGGUUGAGAUGCACAAUGGUGUGUAACAUUUUAACAUUUAAUUAAAAUUGGAACCAUAUUUAACACUCGUGUAGAGAAGUCAUAACCUUGACAUGGAGUAAUAUGCAAUUUUUUUAUAUUUAAUAUGACUUAAGUGCUAAAGUUUUCACUCAUGCGAAUUGACUUGACUUGGAUGCAUAGUGAUGUCUAACAUUUUAACACUUAAUUAAAAUUAGAGCUAUAUUUAAUAAUCAUGUGGACAAGAAAUAACUUUGACGUGAAACAAUAUUGUAAUUUUGACACUUAAUGUUGCUUAAAUGCCAAAGUCUUCACUCAUACAUAUUGACUUAGCUUGGAUGAAAAGUGGUAUCCAACUUUUUGACACUUUCUUAAAUUUGGAAUUAUGUUUAACAUCAAUAUAGACAAGUAAUAACCUUGACGCAGAGUGAUGUUAUAUUUUUAGCACUUAAUAUAGCUUAAGUGCUAAAAUAUCCACUUCUAAGAAUUGACUUGGCUUGGAUGCAUAAUGGUGUCCUACUUUUUAACACUUAAUUGAAAGUGAAAUCAUAUUUAACACCCAUUGUAUGCUAGUCGUAAACUUGAUAUAGAGCAUUGUGCAACUUUUUAACACUUAAUGCGACUUAAAGUGCUAAAGCCUUUACUCAUAUGAAUUAAUUGAACUUAGAUGCACAUUUGUUUCCAACUUUUUAAUACAUAAUUAAAAUUAAAACCAUAUUUAAAAACCAUGUAGACAAAGACAUAAUCUUAACAUGGAGCUAUGUAUAACUCUUAACACUUAAUUAAAAUUGAGAUUACACUUAACAACCACAUAUUCCUCCUAUUUUUCAAUUUUUUCUUGUGGUGAUGAUUGAACUUAACUAGUUUGUCCAAGUUGCCUAUAUACCCUUAACAGAGAGGGAAUCAAGUCAAACUUAGUUCAAAGUAUUUCUUUUAAUCUCUAACUUUUGCCAAGGCUAAUGAUUUUAAUCUUACAAGCUUGUCUUAACUUUUGACCAUAUAUGUAGUCUUUUUAGGUUUCAAUUUAACGGCCUAUAUAUGACUUGUACAAAUUGAAAAUGACUUCAAUCAUGUGUAAAAAAUAAUAAAAGAUAUUCAUUCCUAGUUUUAGGGCAACGAAAAAUAGUUGAUCCUUUUUUAUAUUAUUAUUAUUGUUGUUGUUAUUAUAAUUAUUAUUUCACCUUACAAAAAGACCUUCUGCAAUUAAUAUUUUAUACAUAUAUAUAUAUAUAUAUUUUAUCUUUUAUAUAUUUAGUUUUCAUAGUAUUUUUUAAUUCAAUAUAUAUAUUUUUUAAAUAUCUAUACUUUCGGUCAAUGUCUCAAAUUUAAAGCACGUGCAUGCUCUAGAAAUUCUCAAGUUGUAGGCUUGUGGCCUACAAUGUCAACUUAGAGUUUGAUGAAAAAGCGCAUAAACAAAGACAAAAAAAUUAAUCUACAAGUACUUGGAUUCUAUUUGAAUAAAAAAGAGCCACCCACAUGCAUGGAAUAAAUAUAUAUCCCAUGGAUUAGUUGUAUUUAGCCACGGCUGAAGCUUUCCACUAUGACUUAAAAAAAAAAAAAAAGAGGAUAAUGCCAUUAAAAAACUGAUUGCUACGUGGGUAUGCCUGCCAGUAGAUGGCUGAAAACUAAGUUCUAUUCUUUUCAAUAGUUGAGAGAUUCAAUGGCAACUAUCGUAUAAACAAUGUUUCAUAAAUUACUUUUAAAUUUUGACAGCAAAGACUAAAAAUGUAAAACCAUAAAAAAUUUGUUCCAUUCCCAAAUUUUUAAAAAUAAAAUUGAAAAUAAUAUAUUAACGCCCAUGACUGUUUUCACAUCUUAUUCUCAUUUCUAUCAAUGCAAUCAUCGUAAGCAUCUUAUCUAGAAAUAUGGCCUAGAGCCAUAGAGCUGCCUUUUCUUUAGUCCUAGAGCCAUUUCAUGAGCUAAUAGUAGUCUUUCCUUAGCAUUUCCAGCCCAAAGCUCCCAUUUCCUUAGGCCUAGAGACGUUUUCAGCCCAGAGCCGCUGUUUCUUUCGGCCUAUAACCAUUUUCAGCCUGAAGCUGCCUUUCUCUAGCAUUUUCAGCCCAAAGCUUCCUUUCCUUGGCAUAUUAGCCCGAAGCUUCUAUUUCUUUAGGCCUGGAGCCAUUUCAACCCAGAACUGUCAUUUCUUCUAAAUAGCUUCUCUUUUAAAAGACUUCAGUUUGUCUUUCUAGUCACAAAAUUUAAGGCUUUGUUCCAGGUUUGAAGAAGCUGGUAAAAAUCUGGCUGUUGACUAAGCUCAACUAAAAAACAGUAAAGCUUGCUGACCUGGGUAAUAAAUAACAGCUAUCUUGGCAGUAUUGUUAGUUAGUUAGAGGUUUUUUUUUUACUAUUAUAAAAGGUGCAGACUUGGGAAAACUGAAAUAAGGUAUUCAAUUGUACAGAAUAGAGAGCAAGAAAAGCAGAGAGCUUUGAAAUCCAUAACCACAGGUCUGUUUCGGUUUUCCUAUAGAGAAAAGAAAGAAACAGAGGUGAGGAGGGUUCUUGGGGAAAGCCUAUAAGUUCUUUGUUUUUUAUUCUUGUGUAAAUUCUGGUUGGUACAAUUUAAUAAAGGCUUCAGGAAAUCAGUGUGAAUGUAGAUCAAGUUGAUCGAACCACGAUAAUUCUCUUGUGUUCUUGAUCUUGGUUGAUUGUCUACAAGCUGUUUGAUUUUAUUCCUAAGAGAAGUUCUUGCAAACUGGUUGUCUUUUUCUGGUUUAGUUUCUGCUCUAAUAGUCCCUAAUUCAAGACUGGCUUUUCUCAACAGCAUGGUUUGAAACACAUAAUUUUCACCAUUCAAAUGCAAAACAAUUAACUAAUUUCAAAUGCUAUGUGUUGUUUCCUUCUAAUUUCCCCUUUAUUUUUUUUUCUCUCCUAUUUUCCUUCAAAUUUUUGGAAAACCAAACAGAGCCUAAAAGAAAAGAUAAUUUUACUUAUUUUGAAAGUUGUUUCAUGUUAAUUUAAUGAAGCAUUUAUAAUAUUAAGAUCGCCCUUUCAUAAUCAUGAGGUAACCUUAGUUUCAACUUCUACAAGAGGCUAAAUGAAAAAAGCUAUCACAGAGAAGAAGGCCUCAGCCAAUGAGUGGAAAAUACAAUUUUAUUAAUACUUGAUAUCAAAAAAAAGAAAAAAAAAAAAAAGGAUGAUUUUACUUUCAAACCAAGGAUUUAUUUAUGUUGAAGUGCAGUCUCCAUAUGCACAUGUGACUGCAUUUACAGGAUAAAGAAAGACAAGGAAAUUAACAAUGUUGGACUUACUGGAAAAUCAUACAAAUUAUUGAAGGAGGACCUUAGCUAGGCUAACUGUCUCCUAAAUUGCCCAUCUUUUAUAUAUCUUUGCAAUCAUCCAUCUCAUCAUCAGCUUUGAUUUUAGAUGGUGAGGAUGUGAAAGUAACAGGAAGCAGUGGACGAUUGUUCACAGUGAGGCUUAGCACAUCAGCUCUCGAAUAAUGUCCUACCACAUCGAACUGGAACUUUGCUUUAGGAAUCUCUCCACGAACAUCUGCAUAUCAAGUGAUCAUCAAAAUAUUUGAUCAGCCCGUGAUAAAUAUCAUAGAGUAUCAAGUCUUCCAUGAAACCAUGUUUGCAGUCCUUUUAAACCUAAAGAAUUGACUCAUUUGCCUUAUCUGCAUACUGAAAUAUUUGGAUAUACAAUUGGAGAAGUUAGGGCCAUACCAAGAUCAGCUGUGAAGAGGCCUUCUCCUUCAUAAUUUGGUCCUGCUAGAAUUUCGCCAUGGGGCGAAAUGAUGACACUACCUCCAGCCCAAACAAUAGAAUCUGGAGUGACAUCUUCUUCUGUAGGACUGUAAAGAUACUCAGGUGGAGGUGGGUAAUCUUUCCUCCGACAGAACUGGAUGGGUGAAAGAACAUAGCAUCCACCCUCAAUAGCGAUGUGUCUCAUUGUGGCUACCCAUUUAUCCCCGGAAUCGGCAGUAGGAGCACAAUAUAUCUCAAUACCUAUAUAUAUGAACAUUGGUAUUCUGUGAUCAAUCAAUCCCAUAUCAAAGCCACAAUGUAUUUCAAGACUGCUUAGAUUAAAACCCUAAUAAUGUAAAAGGGUGCUGGAGGUCCUAUUUGGUAAUUGUCUUCGGAACAGUUUUGAGAAAUAGUUUUUGAAAGUUGUUCUUUAAUAGUUUAUAAAACAUAAGAAUAUUUGAAACCUAAAAUAUAUUCAACUUAUUAAAAAUAAUUUUUAUAUUUAAUACUUUAUUUUUAAAUAUUCUUCAUAUUUAUAUAAUUAUUUUUUAAAACAACCUUAAAAACAAAUGAAAACAAUGAAGAAAAAAGUUUAAAAAAUAUUAUCUGAAAACAUUUUGUUUUAUGUUUCUAAGAAAAAACAAAAAGCGGUAUUCUAAUUGUCAAUUGUGUUUUCCUAAAUUUUUUUUGGAUAACAAAAGAUUCCUCUAAAAUAUAAUUGUGAAACAAAGCCAAACUAUUUCAAGCCAAACCAUACUAGUUAAUGAAGAAAAAAAAAUGGUAAAAGAUGUACCUUUGCCAUACAUUGAUGUCCUGAAAAGAGGCAUUCUAUUUUCCCAACAAAUGACCGAACCAAGUUUUCCAUAUGGAGUGUCAUAAAUUGGAGUUGUCGAGCAAUCUCCGAAACCCCAGAAGAGCCGCUCCCAAUAUGUUGGCAUGAGUUUCCUAUGUUUUCCAAGGUAAUUGCCUUCAGGAUCAAAGAAGAGAACAGUGCAAUACAAUGUGUAUCCAUCUCUCUCAACAACACCUGUCACUAAGUAGACUUUGUAUUUCGCAGCCAUUGAUGCCAAUCUAUCAACUUCAGGUCCUGAAAAUACAUUAAUAUGAGAUCAAAGAUGAGACAUGUAAGCUGAUGGUUCAUCACAAAGCAGCAUAAGUAGAUUUUGUUUCAAUAACUUAUUUAAGUGGUUCAGUCCUCUAGCUAUUUAAGGGAGAAAGAGAGGGGUAACUGACCCGGCACAUUAAUGGCAGAAGCAUGGUACUUGCGGAAGCUUUCUUUCCCUCUAGGAGACUGGUCCGCGAAGUUGUACCCACGGGGAUACCCACCGAUAAAUGCCUCAGGAAACACAACCAGUUGGGAUCCCAAUGCAGCUGCCUCUUUCAGAAACCUCUCAGCCUUAUCUGCUCCCAAAAUCACAUUGCAAGAAUUAACAAUUCAUGACUUAGGAAGUAAAUUAAUUGGUUGAAUAGAGAAUGAAAAUUCACCUCAAGAUAUCCCAAAUGACUUUUUGGUUGCUGAGAAAACUUAAGGAAAAGGAGACCUAAAUAAAACUCGAAACUCACAUAUUUUCAGCUGUUUUGUAACUAAGAAAAAAGAAACCACCUCAACCAACUCAUCCAAAUAAUUAUUGUACAAGCAGUAAUUCCUUGAUUGGCAGCUGAAAAUAUGAUCAGGGUUCAAUCAUCCCUUUCUUUCUUUCAGUUUCCCAGCAACCAAUCAGCUCACUGAUUCUCUUACAGAAGUUGCAGAAUUGAGAGAAAUGGCACGUUACCUAGAGUGGCAGGAGUAUCAUAAAAGAUACUAGAAGCUUGAACAACGGUGGCUCUAACAGUUGAAGACAUUGCAGAAAUCGUAUGUUUUUUCGUUUCCCCUUUGUUUGAGGAUUCCUCACACUGCGUUCAGUAUAUAUAUAUCGCCCAUGAACAAGAGGUUCCUCUGCCAUUACUUGAACAAGACGGAAAGGCUUUGAAAAGUCUGACUUGGUUUUCUAUACUCAUGGUGAGGUUUUAUCCUCAUCACAAAUUUUUAAGUUAUCCGCAGACAUAGUGGACCAGCCACAUGACUUGUACAAAUUGAAAAUGACUGUCACAUGGGAUUUUUUGUAAUUUUUAAAAAUAAUUCCCAAAUGUAGUGGAAAAAAUAAUUCUAAAUCUAACAUAGUUUUUGCAAGAUAGAAAAGAAAAAAAUAAAAAUCUUUAUUUCCUUUAAAAAAAAAUUAUAAUGAAAGAAUCGUCUUUUGAAAAGACAAUUUCUCAAAUUUUUUUUUAAAAAAUAAAAUCUAUCGGUUAGAAAUUGUCUCUUGAAAAUCGUCAGAGAUGAUUUUCAAAAAUUCAUUUUUUCAUUUUCUCUUUUUUUUUUUCAAUAAUAUUUUACUAAAUAAUAUAUUUAUACAAUUAUGAUUUUUUUCCUUUUAAAAAAUUAUAAUGAAAAAUUCUCUUUGGAAAAGAUGAUUUCUUAAAUUUCUAAAAAAUAAAAAUAAAAAUCUAUAGGCUAGAAAUCAUCUCUUGAAAAGACGAUUUUCGGAAAAAAAAAAAAAUUAGGGAGAAAUUGUCUCUUUCUCCAUUGAUUAAAAAAACUGGAGAAAUCUUCUCAAGAUGAUUUCUUAAAAAUAAAAAGAAACAUAGAAAAAAAAGUCAGUCAAUUUUCAAAAAUUUUGUUUUCUAUUAGGAAAUAUAUAUUUUACCAAAUAAUAUAUUUAUACAAUAAUAUAUAUAUAUAUAUAUAUAUAAAUUGAUUAAUUUUAUUUACUAAAUUUAAUAUGUAAAAAUAAUUAUAAUUAUUGAUAUAUUUAUCAACAAUAAUAUUUAUAAAAAUAUAAAUUAUGUUUAGCAUCCGAUAUUUAAAAAUAUUAUUUUAUAUUAAGUUAGACAUUAAUUUUAAAAAUAUUUUGUUCUUUAUCUUCAGUUUUAUCUUUAAAUUAAUUCCAUUAAUUGUAACUAAUAAAUUAAUUUAGUUUUAUAUUUUUAUUAUUUAUAAUAUAAAUAAUAUUUUAUCUCAUUCUCUUUUUUACUAUCUCACCUUUCUCUCACCUAUUUAUUAAUGGAAUCAAAUUGAAUAAUUUUUCAAUCAUUUUUCUCCAACAAAUUGAACAUGAGAGAUAAAUGAUUAAAAAUUAUUAAUGUCAAAUGCAUUUUUAAAGUAAAUAAUUUUUAAAUACCUCAUCAAAUAUUAUUCUUUUAUUAAAACUUACAUAAUAUAUAAUAAAUAUUUUUUAAAUACCUUGGAAACUUACAUAAUAUAUAAUAAAUAUUAUUCUUUAUUUCAAACUUAUGUUAUUUAUCAUAUAUAUUAAACAAUUUUUAAACACCUUAUAAAAUAUUAGUAUUCUUUAUUUGUUCUAACUUGCAAAUUAGACAUAAUCAAAUAUUAUAUAUUUUUUUUCAAACUUAAGAAUAUAUAAUAAAUAUUUUUUAAAUACAUUGGCAAAUAUUUUUUUUUCUUACUUACAAAAUUAAAAAUAUGUUGUACAUUAUUUCUUAUAGGUCUUAACGACAUAGUUUGGUUAAAAAAAAAAAAAAAAACUAUCAAUAAUCGUCCUAAUGUCAAGCUCAAGUUGUUUAAAAAUCGCACAAAACCUAUUAGGAGCCUUGUACACCCUUGUAUACUUGACACAUUUCUCUUGUAUAAUUAGUGUAACAUUGUACAAUGGUGCAAAUUUCAUAUCCCUCCUAAGUUGUGUCUAUAUAGGUGUGUUAACCAUGUUUCCAAUGGUUUGGUUGAGAAAAAAAUGACUUAUGGUCAAAUUUUUUUCUCCAAACAUCAUUAUUGGGAAAAUCAUUGGAAUUUCCAUGUGGAAGUUAAAUAAAGUGCAUGACAUGGGUAUACAAUCCUUGGGUGACAAGGAAAAUAAAAAAGUGGUUUAGAAUCAAUUGAAAUCUUUCACAAAUGGUAGUCUUGUAUACCCUUGUACACUUAGUAUAUUUCCCAUCUUUAAUACCUUUGUAUAGUGGCACAAAUUUCAUAUCCCUCCUAAGUUAUGUUCACAUAAGUGUGUUAGCCAUGUUUCCAAUUAUUUGGUUGAGAAAAUGUUGGAUGAAUUAGGGUCAAUUUUUUUUUCCCUAAACAUCAUUAUUGGGGAAAAUAUUGGAAGUUCCAUGUGAGAGUUAAAUAAAGUGUAUGACAUGAAUGUAUAAUCUGUGGGUAACAAGGCAAAAAAAAAAAGAAAAAAAAAGGGGUUCAUAAUUGAUUGAAAUCUUUCACAAAUGGUAGCCUUAUACACUCUUUUGCACUUAGUACAUUUCUCUUGUACAAUUAGUGUAAUACUUUUGUACAAUGGCACAAAUUUCAUCUCCUUCAUAAAUAAUGUAUCCACAUAGGUAUGUUAACCAUUUUCUCAAUGGUUUGGUUGAUAAAAUGUUGGAUGACUUAGGGUUAAAUUUUUUUCCCUAACAUCAUUGUUAGGGAAAACAUUGGAAUUUUCAUAUGAGAGUUAAAUAAAGUGUAUGACAUGAGUGUACGAUCCGUGGGUGACAAGGAAAAUAAAAAGAAGUGGUUCAAAAUUGAUUAAAAUCUAUCACAAAGGGUAGUCUUGUACACCGUUAUACACCCUUGUACACUUAGUACAUUUCCCUUGUACAGUUAAUGUAAUACCCUUAUAUAGUGGCAUAAAUUAUAUAUCCCUCCUAACUUAUGUAUUCACAUAGAUGUGUUAACUAUGUUUCCAAUGGUUUAGUUGAGAAAAUGGUGGAUGACUUAGGGUCAAAUUUUUUUCGCCAAACAUCAUUACUGUGGAAAGUAUUAAAAUUUUCAUGUAGGAGUUACAUAAAGUGUAUGACUUAGGGUCAAACUCUUUUAAAUAUUUUUAUUAUUUUCAUAUAAAAAAAUAGUACUAAACAAGGUUUUCAAUUUUCAUUUUUAAAAAUAUUUUUCAUUUUUAAUUAAAUGUAUUUUUAAAAAGAGACAAUAUAGAAAAUAAAAAUUAUUUUAAGAAAUAAAAAAAUAGAAAUAAAAACUAGAAAAAUAUUUUUAAACCAGACUUAAACAUAAUCUAUUUAAUUUUUAACUACUUGUUUUCAUCUAAAAUGAGUAAAUAUACUUUUCAACCCUUUUAUAUAAUAAAAAUUCAAUCUUUACUAUGUAUUGAUAUAAUCCACUUCCAAAAUUAAGUCAUAUGAAAACAUUUUAAUUGGAUAUUUAAAAUAAAAACUCUCCAUCCAUCCUUUUUUUUUUUUUUUCUUAUUUUGAUAAAUUUUUAAUUAAUACAAAUCAUAAAAAAAAAAAAAAAUACUUAGUAAACAAAUUUGCAACAUUUUAUAUCACUUAUUAUUAAAAGUCAUGUUCAAAUAGUUAUUAAAAUAAGGAAGGAAGAAGAUUAAAAAAAAAAUUGAACUUUUUAUUUUAUAAUAGUAAAAAAAAAAAAAAAAACUUUAAAAUACUUUUUAGUAUAAAAAAAAGAAAAGAAAAAAGAAAAUAGUGAAUAGAUUUAUUUUAAAUAGCGUUUUAAUCAUUAAAUGAUUUACUUCUAAAAAGUAAAGGAUAAUUUUUAUUUAUUUAAAUUAACAGUUUUAGAAAGUAUUUUCCAUAAUAGUUUUUGAAUUAUUAAUAUAAUUUUUGUUUAUUUAUAAUUUAAAAAUAGAAAAUAAUGUUGAUUUUUCAAUUAUUUAUAAAAGAGUUUUAAAAAACAAUGAAAAAUCCAAAAAUGGUUAAGUAAGAAAGAAUUUGUUGGUAGUGGCAUGUUAAUAGUGGUAGAAUAAUAAUAAAAAAAAAGAGUCAAAUGAUUAUUUUUGUCCAUUACUAUCUCAUAUCCUUGUAAUCAAUUAUGGGUGACAGGAGGACCUUAGCUCAAUUAUCAAGUAGAGCUAGGUCGGAAACACAAUUCUCCCAAUAAUUUCCGGGCAUGAUAAUCAUAUUUAAAUAAAAAAGAGGGAGCUGCCUACAUGCAUGGAUUCCAUUGUCUUUAGUGGUGAGUAAGGCUUUCCAAGAUCAAUACACACACACACACACACACACACACACACACACACACACACACACACACACAUAUAUAUAUAUAUAUAUAUAUAUAUAUAUAUAUAUAGAGAGAGAGAGAGGUAAAAACUAAGUCUAACCCAGGGAGGAAAAUAUCGAGUAUCGGUGGACCUUGACAUGAUAUAUGAGGGAGAAAUAUCGGUCCCUUGAUUUUUUGACAAUUUAUCGUGAAUCUUGCUGACUUUUUGGAAUUUAUCAACAUUUUACCUAUUUAUCACGAUAUUUUGGACCGGUCAAUGCGACCUCUACAGUCAAAUAAAUUCAUUUAUUUGAAUACCAAAAAUAUAAAAAUUAUCAUGAUAAUUUUCUUCAUAGUAUUUUUAAUAUCAUUAAUAUAUUAAUUAAGUAUAAAAAAUUAUACAUAUAUUAUCAUUUAUUUUAUAUCAUUUAAUACAAUGAAAUUAAAUGAAUUAUAAUUUUAAUAUUAAAUAUAUUUUUAAGUUGGACAUAUUAUAAUCAAAUAUCACAAUGUUAUUAUCAAAUAAUAUUUGAUAUAAUUUAAUAAUAAAUGUAUACUUAUGAAAUUCAUAUUUUUUAUUAGCAUAUACAAUAUUAUUAUCAAAUAUAAUAAAUUAUAUUAUAUAUAUCAAUUACAAUUCUAUUAUACUUUUAAUUUUAUUUUUAAGAGUUUUUUCUUACAUUUUUAUAAUUUCUGAUCAAUUUUAGGUUCAUCGAUAUUUUAUGUCAAAAUAUCCGUCGAUGUAUCUGUAAAAUGAAAGUACCGAUAUAUCCGUAAUUACCGAUAUUUUCAUCCUUGGUCUAACCUUGUGUAUUGGCCCUUCCAAAAUUUGAGUGAUUCAAUGGCAGCUCUAGUAAAACAUAAAAAGGAAGAACUAUGUUUACCCUCAUGUUCAUUCAAACAAAUAUAUUGUAUAGGAAUUCUAAUUUUCAUAUUUGAUCACCCCAAACACACAACCAAUAAAAUUAUUCUUUAAAUAUGUAUUUUAAUAGAAACUAAAAUGAGAAUUCUAUAAUUACCCCUUUUUAAAAUCUUUAAUAUGAAAAGUCAUAAUUUAAUGUAUUUGAUGGCUCUCACAUCUGUUUUUUUUUUUUUUUUUUUCUCCUCUACGUCACUUUCUCCAUAUAAUGUCUUUGAUAUCCUCUCCAUAUCAUGUCUUUGAUAUCCUACCUUUGGCAUUUUUAUUUAUUUAUAUAUGUUGAAGUGACAACACUUUCUCUUCCCAACCUCUUUACUUUCAUAUUUCUUUUUACUCGUUUAAUAUUUAUUAACUUUAUUUAAUUUUUUGGAAUAAAUAAAUAAUGAGAAUAAAUUAAAUAUAAAUAUAAGUAUGCAAGCAACAUAAAAUGAAAAUUUAUCCUAAAAAUCAUACACUUGAUACUUUAAAAUAUUAAUUAUAAUAUAUUUGAUAAUUUAGGAUUUCGAUUUAAAAAUUAUGUUUUAUUUUUUAGAGGCUGGGAUAUAAGAUUUCCAUUAACCAAAGAUUUUUUAUAUGAAUCCUAAAUAAUAUGUUUAUUUUGCAAAUUCUUAUCAUAUAUAAAUAAAAUAAAUAUAUUUUUAUCAUAUUAUUUUUAAUUUUUAAUAUUUUGUAUCAAAAUCACAAUUAAUGAUAGUGAUUUUGGUUAAGAUAGAGCCCUUAAAAACAUAACAUGUUGUAAAAAAUAUAGAGUUUAUUAUUUAUUUAAUGAUAUUUCAAUUUCACUUUUAUCUAUCCUUAUUUUAUGCAUUAUACCUUAUGAGCAUUCUAACUUGACAUUUUUUGCAUUGUUCAUGACUUGGGUGAAUUAAGAUUUACAUGGAACAUCCAAGUCAUGGGUUCUUAUAAGUGGAUGAUUUGUUCAUAGUCGCUUUAUGGACUUAAGCAAUCCAUUUGAUGUUGUAGUGCAUUACCUCUUAAUUUAAGGGAUGACUAGUUUUGACCAACAAGAUGGGACCCUCAUAGUGAGUGCACUAAUGUAUAUGAUUGCAUUUUAGAUAAAACCUAUGGUGAGUCAUGAUGUAAGAAUAUCAGGUACUCAUGACUUCACCAAGUUGCUAUAUCGCAUUUUCUAUCAACCUUGAAAGAAUAUUGGGUUUGUGCCAAAGUUUGUAGUGACUUUGACAUAUGGGUGAAAUCCAAAAGUGAUAAUAUAUUCCUUAUGGAUUAGGUCACUAUAAAUAGAAUUAAGUAGCAAUAAGUAUUCUCAAUAGAGGAAUCAGAAUAUCUCAUGGAGUUUGAGACAUUAUGUCCCUUUGGAUGAUCCUAAGGACACAUGAUCAUGAAAUCUAUAGUCGUAGUAAUUCCUUGAGUGGAAUUUGAAAUAUGCUCUUAUGGGUUGGAGUAUGUCAAUUGAUCACAUAAUAGGAGGAUAUGUAACUGAAGAAUGAUAGAAGUAACCUUGAAAGGCAAAUAGUAUUCACCUUAUUAGAUUAUGAACAAUACUUCAUAAAGAGACUAUAUACAAUGGAUAGUAGGUUAGGAACCCAAGUAGUGCAAUCGACUCUCUAUGGUAGGAUGUUGAGUCAACUUUAGAAUUGGAUUAUGAGGGAGCCAAUACUAUUCUAUGGGUCAUAGUGGUACCGACUCAAGUUCAUAUAUCUUAAUGGCAUAACUUAUGAGGGUUGGAUUAGUUAAUGAUUCAAUUAUGUGCAUAAGGGCAUUUUGGUAAAUAUGCAUGGCUGAAUAGGAGUUUGUUGGGACAAAGCCCUAUAAAGCAUGAUAUGAUGUAAUAGAUUAAGUUUCAUUAAUAAAUUUAUUUAUUUAUUAUUCUAGUCCCCUUGUGUUAUCCCAUUUGCAUGAAUUGGUUAUUUGAGCAUUUACGUUCAUAUCACUUGCAUUGUACAUGACUUAGGAGUAUUAAGAGUUGAAUAAAAGAUCCAAGUUAUGGAUUCUUUACAAUAUGAUAAGUGAUUAGAAGUCUAUUCAUGGAUUUAGCAAAUCUAGUAUAAACUAUAGUGUACUACUACCUACUAAUUAGAGGGAUGCCUUGUGAUGGUCAUCGGGAUAACUUUCUCAUGGUAAAUGUGUACAAUUACAUAUUAAAUAUGACCUACGAUGAAUCAUGAUAUUAGUUGUUGGAUAGUCAUUAUUACCCAAGGUUUUAUACUACAUAAAUUCUUAAGCUUAAAAGGAUAUUAAGUCUAUACUAAAAUCAAUAUGAAGUUUUGACCUCUGGUUGAGAUCCUAAUGUGGUCACAUAUUCCACAUAGAUUGGGUUAUUGAAGGAGACCGGUAACAAUAGGCAUUUUUAAUAAAGGAACCAUAAUAUCUCAUGGGAUUAAACUUCAUGGGUGAUCUUAAGGGCAUGUGAUCAGGAUAAAUGUUACUAUAGCAAUUCCUUUAGUAAAAUUUGAUAUAUGCUCUUUGUGGGAUGGAGUAUGUCAGAUGAUCACUUAAUAGGAGGAUCUAUAACUCAAGGAUUAGAAAGGUAAUCUUGAAAGGUUGAUAUCACUACCUUGUUAGAUUAUGAAUAUCAAUUCAUGGGAAGUCUACAUUGUUAGGAUAGAGCCCUUAAGAGCAUGACCUGAUUUAAUAAACUUUUGAAUUUAAUUAUUCCUUAAAAAUUUUCAAUUCACUUUUAUCUAUUCUCAUUCCAUGUAUUCUAUCUUGUAAGCAUUUUGACUUACAUCUUUUUCAUUGUACAUGACUAGAGUACAUAAGGUUAUCAAGUUGUUAUGACUUCACCAAGCUACUUCAAUAUGUUUCCUUUAGAGAAUAUUGAGUUGGUGCUAAAGUUAGUAGUGACAUUGACCUACAAGUGAGAUCAUUAGUUGAUUAUAUAUUCCUUAUGGAUUAGGUCAUUGUUUAUCGAUGCCAAUUACAAUAGGUAUUUUCAAUAGAGGCACCAUAAUAUCUCAUGGGAUUAAGACAAGUGUCCUAUUGGGUGAUCCUAAGGAGGUGUGUUUAUGUAAACUAUGGUCAUAAUAGUUUCUUAAGUGGAACUUAACAUAAACUCUUGGAGAGUUAAGAUAUGCUAGUUGAGCACAUAGUAAGAGGAUUUAUAACUCAUAGAUAGUAGAGGUAGUCUUGAGAAGAUGAUAGCUUUCACCUUGUUAGACUUUGGACACCACACUACAAGAAAAAAGGUCAUUAUUGACAUAUAUCAUCUUGACUUAAGAUAAUAUAUGUGAAGAUUGUCUAUUUAAAUGAACAAUUAUGACAUAUACAACUUAGUUUAAACCAAUAAUGACAUGUAUAAUAGUUAUUGCAUUUUUCCAUGACUUAUGAUGAUGCAACCUUGACAAAUAAUUUAUAAGUCAAUCUAUAAUUAAUAUGUUCAUAUGUCAAGGUACCGAAAUGAAAGCAAUAAUGACAUAUAUAUAUAUAUUUGCUAAAUUUUCCUUGGUUUAAUGAUAUGCAAUCUUGACUCAAAAUUUAUUAGUCAAAGUAUAGUUAAUCUUUUCUACCUAAAUAAAAGUAAUAAUGACAUAUAUGCAUUUGCUAAGUUUUUAUAUGGUUUAUAAUGAUACAACCUUAAUAGAAAUUUAUAAGUUAAUAAAAAUUCAAUAAAUUAAUAUGUUAAGAUUAGAAUCUUUGGUUGCGCCACUUUAACAUAUAAUUUGUAAGUGAAAAUAAGCCUAUUUUAUUUUAAUUUAUUAAGGUUGAGUUAUUGAAAAAGAAAAUCCUAAUUUAAGGCAAUUUUAUCAAAUUUUGGUAGUUUUUACAAGUAUAUUUAUUAUUAUUUUGAAUAGAAACUUGUGAUUAAAAAGGAUAAGAUAAUGUUUCCAUUUAAAAAAUAAUAUCAAUGUAUUGAAAACUAUAUCUAUAAUCUUAUUUUAAUAUUUUGGAUAAGAUACUAAGUUAUGUCUCUAUAUUUCUAAUUAUUGGAAUUAAAAUAUAUUGCCACUAACUUGUGUUAGGGUCUCACAAGUAUUAGGUAAUUAAAUUAUUAUUUAUGUAUUUAAUUAGACAUUAAAUCUACUAAGAAUAACUUAAUUAGUAUUUAGGCAUUCAUUAUAACUAAUUGCAGGCCCACAAAAUCAAUCCAUAGACCCAUUUCUUUUAAAAUGUUUUAAGCCCAUUUUAUUUAGUUUGGGUCCAUUACAUUUAUACUUUUUCUUGAGCCAUAAAAAAAACUCAAUAUAUAAAUUUUUUUCCUCUCUAUUCCAUUUACAGUCGCCCCAUCUACCCCAUCUACCCCAUCUUCCCUUUUUCUCUUCUUUUCUUACUUUUUUUUUUAAUUCUUUUUUCUUCUUCUUUCUUCUUUCUUUUUUCAUCCUCUCAUCCUCAUAUUCAUGGUAGACCCUACACCGCCACCUCCAUCUCCUGUGUUGUUACGAUCCAUGAGUCCUACACCCACCAUGGCACCAUCUUUCUUAUCACCAUUGUCGUUCCCAUGUUCGCUACAACUCAGACAUGCUUCCUGAUGUUUUGCCACAAUCUCGACGUGGUUGUUGUUGUUUCGCUUUAGCUCGGACGCUAUUCUUGAUGUUCCGUCUCCAUCAUAGCCACCAUUGUUGCAGCCCAUAGCCUUGGUACCUCCUGCACUACCCAUUGACUUUUGUUGGAUCACCAUCAGCACCAUCUCCAUGGUUGCCACUUCCUUCUUCAUCUUAGAGCUUCAAGAGACGUAGGUAAGUUUCCUUGGAUAUCUACAGUACUUGUUGUGGUAGUUUUAAUUUAAUUUUUAUAUGGGCUUGGGUCUCAUUUGCUUUAUAAUUGGGCUUCAAAUUAUUUGGUACAUAGGCUUGAUGUUAUAAUAUUUUAUUACUUGGGCCUUGUGUUUCACUUGGUUGAGCCCAAUAAUAAGAGUAUCAGGCACACAUAAGCAGGUUGGUUCUUUGAGAACCAUUGAGUUUUGUUGAACCUUAGGAUUUUUAAGGCCAUGCUUCACCAUUGAUUGGGCUUCAAGUAAGAGAUAAGUAUGGAAGUUGCAGUUACUGACCUUAGUGUCUCUACUCCUGCCCAUGGUUUCAACAUGUGGGUCAAUUGAGGGGUUUGGUGAAGCUCUCCAUAUCUUCAAGACCUCUCUGGUUGAAGAAUAGUCCAACGGCCAAGUGACUAUGGAAAAAACCACAUGUUUGGAGUUAAGUUAAUGUUGGAUAAGUAUUAAUGUACACACAAAAUAAUGAAAAAUCGACGUGGUUGGGGCUGAAGAGCCACAACAUCAUAUAUAUUUGGUUCUGAUGGAGGAGUUAAUUAAUUGAUAUUACCAUGAAGGAAUUUCUAGUAGUUUUAAUCUAUUUAAUCAUACCAUCUAAUUGAAAAGAUGUUUUUGUCCUUUUCUUUUUAUUUUUAAUAUUCUAGAUGAUAUUCUUUGUUAAAAAAUUUAGAAAUAAUACAUCUUUGUAAUUGAGCUAGCUACUACAAAAUUAUAAGUGCUCAUUUCAUUCAUCAUCUCAAAAUUAUGUCUAGUGGCCUCAACUUUGAGUCAGUCAUUGAGGGGCUUAAUUUUAGGAGGAGAAUUAAAAUGUUCUCUUUUUUUUUCUUCUUCUAUUUUUUUUUCUUGAAUAUCCACUGUGUUUUACAUUGAAUCUAGAAUCACAAAGUCAAUUCAAUUACAAUUGAUGAUAUUAAAGGUCAAUAGGUGUAUUCAUUUUAUCUUUGUGAUAUCUAAAGUUAGUAUAUUUAUUGUCCUAUGAAAAAAAAAUCUUUUAAUUUUUUGGUAUUUGUUACUUACUUUUCUAUUAAUUCUAUGUUUAUUCUACUAGGUAUCUAAGAAAUACAUCAAGAAGAAGACAAUGAUGUAGAAACAAAGAUCACCUCUUAUGAAGAUGAUGUUGUACUUUUCAAUUUAAGUUUGUAUAUUAUUUUAAUUGAAUGUUUUUAGCUAGAUUUUGUUUGUAUAUAGAAAAUAGAGAGUAACUUGAACAAGAUUUAUGGAAUUGUGUUCUUAAUAUUUAAUGUAUAUGUAAUAAUUUUUUUUCCUUAAAUAGUAAUUUAUUUAAAUUAUUUUAAAGACUUGAUUGUAAUUAUCAUAAUUAAAAAUAUACCAAAUUUAAUUUCAAGAUAGGUUUCAUAUGGUAUAUAACAUGUUCAUUUUCCAUUAAAAACUAAAAAUUAUAAUAAAAUAAUAUUAAAUUUUUCAUAAGUUAUAUUGACAUAUGGCUCAUGCUCAAUAUUGACAUGUGUAGUAGCAACUAUGACAUAUGCGAUACCAAACAUUGACAUAUAUAAAGCAAUUAUGAUAUAUAUAAAAUCUAACCUUGACAUAUAUAUUUAGAAAUCUUGACAUAUGUGGGAUUAAUCAUGACAUAUAUGACGUCUGACCUUGACACUUGUUGGAGUAACCUUAACAAAAGAGUAAGUUGACCUUGACAUAAGAUCAAGUAAUCUUGUCAUAUGUUAAAUUCAACAUUGACAUAAGUAAAUGAAACAUUGAUAGAUAUCAUACUAUUAAGAUUUCAUCAUUAGUGGAAAUAAAGAAAUCUUGACAUAUGGAUAUGUCAAGGUAGCUUUAGACUUUUCUUGACACUGGCAUAGAUGACAUAUACGAAUAGUAACCUAUCUUGACAGAUAUACCUUAUCUUAACGGUGAAAAACUGUCAACAAGGGCCUUUUUUCUUGUAGUGCCAGUUCAUAAGGAGACCAAAUGCAAUGGAUAGUAGGUCAUGGACUUGAGUACUUUGUAGUGGAGUGAAGUUGAUUCUAUGUAGUAAGAUGUUAAAUCAAUUUUAGAAUUGAAUUAUGAGGGAGUCAAUACUAUCCUAUUGGUCCCAAUGGUCCCUACUUGAGCUCAUAUGUCUUAUUGGUAUGGUUUAUGAGAAUUGGAUUGACUCAUGGUUCACUUUUAUGAGUAAAGGCUUUUUGGUAACUAUGCUAGGUUGCAUAGGGGUUAGUGAACAAAGUUUCUAGAUUGGGCUAAUUGAUUAAUUAAAAGACUUUGUGGGUUAGUUAAUUAAUUAUAAUCUAUUUUAGCUAGAUUAGGUGACCCAAGCCCUUAGUAGGCUCAAGUCACUUAAACCAAUUAGGGAACCUUAUAAAUACUCUUUUAGGGGUGAAGUAGUUGUCUUCUAUAAUGUAGAGAGAAUAAAGAGCCACAACUUCCUCCCUCACAACCUUCUCACUAGUUAAAUGCCAAAAUCAAGGUAUAGUCAAUGCAAUAGAAGAUCUUAGGUUUUUAAGACCUUCAACUACUUUGUUCAGAUACUUCACUGCAUGGAUUUGAUUUGGGAACAUCCAAAUCAAGGUAAAAGUUUUCUAUCUUGAUAUCUAAAUCCUAUUAUUCAUUUAAAAUGCAUGUUUCCCUUUGUGCUUAGGAUUUAAAGAAAACUUAGGAAGAUUUGCAUGUAUCUAACAUGAUCUAGGUAUAGGAAACAAAAAUAUCUAGGAUUCUUUACAAAAAUCCAGUGGAUAGUAGGUUAUAGGCCUAAACUUUAACUUAUUAUAAUUAUAUAAGAUAUUAGAGUGUAGUUGAUUCUCUUUAAUGGAGUGUUGAGUCAACGUCAAAAUUGGAUUUUAAGAGCCAAUAUUUUCCUAUGGGUUCCAGUAGUCUCCACCCGAACUCCCAUUUCAUGGUGGCACAUUUGUUUGAGGAAUUUUGUGUUUGUAGUUCACUAAUGUGCAUAAGUGGCAUUUUGGUAAAAGUAAAAAGUUGCACUAGAUCUUGUGUGCAGUAGGACUAAUUAAAUUAAUUAGAACGGAAGUGAGAUGAAGUAAGUGACCUAAGGCCAAUUUGGACUCAAGUCACUUAAGCCCAUAGGGAAGUCUAUAAAUACCACCUUAGGGGUGAGAGCUUCAAACUUUUGUCAUUUUUCUUUUAGAAAGAGAAAGCAAACCCUAACCACCUUUAAGUGAGAGAAAAAGAGAGAAGCUUUCCCUUCUCUUACGCGAAGGUUUGUUGUGAAAGAAAAGAUCGGGUGCAAGAUUAUUAGGUAAAUGACUUCUAUGACACAUUCUAGGGAUUGGAUUGAAUAUGGGAACAUCCAAAUCAUAGGAAUGAAUUCUAAUAUCUAAAUCUAGUAUAUUUUAUGGAUUUUAUAACUAUAUUUUUCCAUUGCAUUAGAUCUAGAGAAGCCUAGAGAUAGUUAGAUGGACUUUAUAUGAUCCAAGGUUAAGGAACAGAUUAAUUCGAAGUUCCCAUCGAAGUUAGUGAACAAUAUUUCUAGAUUAUUAGGUUGAUUAAUUAAUUUAAGCCCCCAAUUAGAAACCUUUUUAGUUUAAAUUAAAUGGCUCAAGUCUAAGGUAUGCUCAAGUAACUUAAGCCUAAUGGGAAGCCUUUAAAUACCUCUUGAGGGGUUAGGGUGUAGACCCACAUUUUUCACGUGCGUUCCCACUUGAUCGGCGAGACUCGCUUUUUAUUUGGUGAAAAAUUAAUUUUGGAAAAUUCGGAAUCGCCAUUUAUUUUAUUUUAUUUUAAAAGGGAAAAUAAAACAAGAAAUAAAACCCUAAAAAAUGACUUCAUAGUUUUUGGAAAAGCGUGUCUUUAAAAAACCCGAGUCUAGGUCUGAGGAUCAGGUUACUUAUUGAGAAGGUAUCUCUAGGAGGUAACACCCCUCUAAGCCCUAUAAAAGUCUCUACUGACUAAGUUAAGGGAAAUGUGACAAUUAAUUGAUUAAUUAUAGAUACCUAGGUAGGCUAGGUGAUUUCGAAAAAUAGCAUGCUAAACAAGAAAACCGAUCACAAAUCAUAAAGAAGAUUUAGGGUGCGUACCUGGACCACUUCUUAAGUGCUAUCACAAAACAUCAAAGGUUACUUUAAAUAGUAUAUCACCCAACAUGCACUUUAUCAUAAAUGAUCGAACAAUGUAACAAAAUCAAGACACCUAAGCACUAUCAAACAUAGGCAUAAUUCAUAAUGACAAUCAUAUUUAUAGAAUUUAGAAAGUGGGUGUUAGGGAGCGUACUUAGAUAGCAUAGAUAACUCAUAAUACGCUUCCUCGAGACAUGGAGGGUUAGAUAAUAAAUAAUAAAAUAAGAAAUUCUAGCAUGCUUGUUAUUUAAUUAGCAUGACAAAAAAAAUGAUCAAAGUAUACUAAAUCAUCAAUUAUCACACACAUCUUGUAUACAAUUCUUAAAAAAAAAAGAUAGAUAUGAUUACAACAAAUAGCAAGAGUGGUAGCAAAAAUAAGUUUUGAAAAGAUUUUCUUAUAUAGGGGUUUCACCAAUUCCCCAAUCGAUAUACACGAAUUUAGCCUAGAAUUAUCCAAUUUAUUUGGGACCACAAGCUUUGAUUCGUGUUUUGUUCAAAACCAAAUUUUUUAUUGAAAACUGAGAAAGAUGCGAACCGAUUAAAAAAAUGGUUGCAUAUUAUUUUAAGAGAAUGAGAUUUUGAUUCUAAAGACUCUAAAUGUACUUUUUUUUAAAUAGAUUUUCAAAGGGGUCUUUUGAGAAAAGUGUUUUGUUUUAAAAUAAAAGAAAUUAAUUUCGAAAACAACAAAACAUAGAAAACAAAAUACCAACAAAAAAAAAGGAAACAAAAAUCACAAAAUAAAGAUUUAGACAAUCAUGCCAAUUAAAGUAGUGAGAGUAGGGCCAACCUUCAUGGGUUUCCAGUGGCCUUCAAAAAAAGGAUUUGACCAACAAUCACUAAGGCAACAAAAUUAUGACUUCCUAAUCAAACAAACUAAUAAAAAUAUUAUCCAAGACUAACAUUUAGAUUUCAAAAAACACAUGAAUUAAGAUAAAAAAAAAAAAUCCAAUCAAGGAUUAAAGUCAACAAACUUAGCAUAUGGAGAUAAUAAUGUGGGAUUGAUUAAGGUAAAUUAACAUUCUAACAAAAUAUGAUAAAUCAAAAACCAAAAUUUAGCAAUCUUGAAAAUAUGAAAACAAUAACAUGCAAUUAACUAGAUUGAUUAUCUAAAAUUCCUAAAAACUCGAACUAAAUAUUAAUAGAUCAAAACCAAAAUAUGCCAUGCUCAAAAUAUGAAAAAUAAUAACACGUGAUUAACUAAAUUAAUUAGCUAAAAUUAUAAUAGUCAACUACAAAAUUGGAUAUAAAUGGAUUAAAAUCAAAAUUAACGAAAUAAAAAACGCACAAACACAUUCAAACUAAAAAUAAUUAAUACUAGAUUAAAUUAGAAUUAAAAACAUCAACAUCAUCUAAUAAGAUUGGCUAAACUAUUAAAUUGAAAUUGCAAAUACAUUUAAACUAAAGCAAAUAAAUAAAUUAGCAAAUUAAAACUAAACUACAAUCGGAAUUAAGACAAAAAAACAUGAAAUUUGUCUAAGAGGUUUGGUCAAACAAUUGAAUUAAAAUCAUGAACGCUUUCAAAUUAUAGAAUAAAUUAAAACUAAACUAGAUUGAGAUUAAACUCUAUCUAAGAAAAUUAGUUAAUUAAACUAAUAAAAUCAAAAUCAACAAUCAAAACUAAACUAAAGAAUAAAUUAAGACAAAACUAAUUGGAUUAAAAUCACAAACACAUUUAAACUAUCAUAUAGAUUAAAAUAAAUUAGCAUGGAACUAAUGAACUACAAUCACAAAAGAAGAAAAAAAAAGUCUAUUCUAAAAAAAAUGCGCAAAUUGAGAUUUAAAAGAAUUGAGCACAAAGAAUUAAUUAAAUCAAUGAACUAACAUCUAAAUUAAAAAAAAAAAAAUCUGUCAAAAACUGACCUGUGUUGUGAAAGAAAAAAUCCUCUCUUUGUGCGUCAAAGUGGCAACCCGAUCUUUGUCUGAAGUCUUCUGCUGCUCCCCAAAAACUCUUGUGCGUGUCCUUUCUGAAAAAAAAAAAAUUCCCCCUUGAUCUGUUCUCCUCCUCUUAUUUAUAUGGCAGCCCACUCCUAUGGAAUAUUUUAUUUCCUUUUUGGAGAUAUAUUUCCAACCUUAAAGGAGAUCCAAAUUUCCAAACUUCUGAUGGCACUUUCUAUUUCAAUACCCAUUGUCUCUCAAUGUUGUAGUCCCCAAUCUCCCUUCUAAAAAUGUUGUCAAAAUCUUCCCUGCCUCAUCUCUUGUCGAACCCUUGGAUCCUAUUGGCUAUUGUUGAAUCUGAGUGCAAUGUCAUUUGCAGAUGUCAUGAACAACUCAUCUAGCAAGCCUCUGCUGCCCCCUAUUGACCCUACGCCAACAAACUCAACUUCUCACAUCAUAUGUCAUUUUGUACGUGGGACUCACUGGAUNNNNNNNNNNNNNNNNNNNNNNNNNNNNNNNNNNNNNNNNNNNNNNNNNNNNNNNNNNNNNNNNNNNNNNNNNNNNNNNNNNNNNNNNNNNNNNNNNNNNCCCCCAUGGCAUUUCUUAUUCAUUCCAUCAUCAAUUCUCUCCACUUCUUAUCCUUUCUUCCAAGUGCUUGGUAUUCAAGACCGUUCAAGUCAUCAAGUGAUUUGUUGUUUCUUGUGAUUUGAAGUGCUACUAUCACAAGAAAGUGAUCGUUGUAUCCUGGGAGACGAUUGUCAACAAACCAUAAGCACCAGUGUGGGGCAAAUUUAUCUUAAGGACAUAGAGUCAAACUUUAGCCUCGAUCAACCAUUUGUACGAUUCAAUAUUUACUUACCUUCUCAUUUAUUUAUUAUAUGUAAUUAUUUGACCAUACAUUUGUGAUAAUUCCAGAAUAACAAUCUUAAGACGAAUUUCUUUUUAAUCUUUUGCUUCUGUCUAUGUUUUUAAUUCAGUUAAUAACAUGACCUUUACAAAUAUUAUUGAUACCCCUGUUGUUACACCUACUACUACCCAUGGUGAGAAACCAGAGAAAUUCACUAGGUUGGACUUCAAGCAGUGGCAACAAAAGCUGUUGUUUUAUCUCACAACACUUAACUUGGCUAAAGUGUUGCAUGAAGAUGCACCUACCUUAAAGGAGGAAGAGACUAACAAGCAAAUUGUGGCAGCAGUUGAAGCAUAGAAACAUUCAGAUUUUCUAUGCAAAAAUUACAUCCUCAAUGGACUUGACAACACGAUGUAUAAUGUGUAUAGUCAAGUGAAGACAACUAAGGAGCUGUGGGAGACUUUGGAGAAGAAAUACAAGACUGAAAAUGCUAGCAUGAAAAAAUUCAUAGUUGGUAGAUUUCUAGAUUACAAAAUGGUUGACUCCAAGACAGUGAUAAGCCAAGUCCAAGAGCUUCAAAUAAUUUUGCAUGAAUUACAUGCUGAGAAGAUGGAAUUAAGUGAGUCCUUUCAAGUUGCAGCGAUUGUUGAAAAGUUACCACCAUCUUGGAAGGACUUCAAGAAUUAUCUGAAACACAAGCGCAAGAAAAUGGGGCUUGAGGACUUGAUUGUGAGACUGAAAAUUGAGGAAGAUAUUCGUGUUUUUUAGAAGAAAGUGGGAAAACAUCCCAUGGAGUCCAAGGCAAACUUGGUGGAACCAAAGGCUAAUAAAAAGAGAAAGCACUUUGGUGAAGGUCCAAGUCAAGGAAAGAAUAAAUACAAGAAGUUUGUUGGGAAGUGUUACAUUUGUAAUAAGCAAGGCCAUAGGGCCAAGGAUUGCCGCUUGAAAGGACAAAGUAAUGAAAAUAAAACACAAGUGACUGAGGAAGAGGAGUUGGCAAACAUGCUUUCCGCAUUGGUACUGUUUGAAGCUAACAUGGUAGAUAACCCAAACGAAUGGUGGGUUGACACAAGUGCCACCCGUCAUGUUUGUGGAGAAAGAAACAUGUUCUCCACAUAUGUACCAGUCAAUGGUAGAAAUUUGAUCAUGGGAAAUUUUGCCACAUCUAGGGUUGUGGGAAUUGGAAAAGUGGUGCUAAAGAUUACUUCUAGAAAAGAACUUGUUCUCAUAUAUGUGCUACAUGUGCCUGAUAUUUGCAAGAAUCUUAUUUCUAGUUCUAUGCUUAGCGAAAAUGGGUUCAAGUUAGUUUUCGAGUCUGACAAAUUUGUAUUCAUGAAAAAUGGGAUGUAUGUGGGUAAGGGGUAUAUGACCAAUGGCCUGUUUAAGAUGAAUGUAAUGAUUGUUAAGCGUGAUUUCAAUAAUAAUAAAGCAAGUACUGCUGUUUACUUGAUUGAGUCUUUUACUUUGUGGCAUGAUAGGUUAGGACAUGUUAACAAUAAAACUUUAAAAAGGUUGAUUAACAUGAAUUUGUUGCCUUUUUUUAGCAUUGAUUUUAAACAUAAAUGUGAAGUGUGUGUGGAAGCCAAGAUGGCUAAGCCACCGUUUCAUUCAAUUCAAAGGAACACAGAACCUCUGGAUUUAAUUCAUAGUGACAUCUGUGACUUAAAGUUUAUACAAACAAGAGGAGGGAAAAGAUAUUUUAUUACCUUUAUAGAUGAUUAUACAAGAUACUUUUAUGUGUAUUUGCUAAGAAGCAAAGAUGAGGCCUUAGAUGUGUUUAAACACUACAAGAAUGAGGUUGAAAAUCAACUUAGCAGAAAGAUUAAGGCAAUAAGAAGUGAUAGAGGUGGAGAGUAUGAAGCUCCUUUUGGAGAAUUUUGUUCAGAACAUGGAAUAAUCCACCAAACUACUACUCCUUAUUCACCUCAAUCGAACGGUGUUGUUAGCGCAAGAACCGUACAUUAAAGGAAAUGAUGGAUGCUAUGUUGAUAAGUUCGGGUCCACCCCAAAACUUAUGGGGAGAAGCAAUUCUUUCUGCAAACCACAUUCUUAACAAGAUACCACAUAAGAAUAAGGAUGUAACUUCAUAUGAGUUAUAGAAGGGUCACAAACCCUCUUACAAAUAUUUGAAAGUGUGGGGGUGUUUGGCUAAAGUAGGAGUGCCUAAACCUAAACAAGUUAAGAUUGGGCCUAAAACUAUUGAUUGUGUAUUUAUUGGAUAUGCAAACAAUAGUUGUGCAUAUCGUUUUCUUGUACAUAAGUCUGACAUUCCUAAUAUACAUAAAGAUACAAUUAUUGAGUCUAAGAAUGCGUCAUUUUUUUAGAAUAUUUUUCCUUGUAAAGAAAAGCAAGAAGUAAGUUCAAAUAAGAGAACUUAUGAUACUGUAAAUGGUAAUCAUCAAAAUGAGGAAGAAAUAAGAUGCAGUUAGAGAGCCAAGAAGACAAAGUCUUUUGGCUUGGAUUAUCUAACUUACAUGUUAGAUAACGAACCCAAGACAUUCAAAGAAGCAAUGUCAACACCAGAAGCCCCAUUUUGGAAAGAGGCUAUCAAUAGUGAAAUUGAAUCCAUCAUGCAUAACCACACAUGGAAAUUGGUGGAUUUACCACCAGGAAAUAAACCUUUGGGUUGCAAAUGGAUCUUCAAGAAAAAGAUGAAGCCUGAUGGAACAAUAGAUAAGUACAAGGCUAGAUUGGAGCCAAAGGAUUUAAAUAAAAGGAAGGCCUUGAUUUCUUUGAUACAUAUUCACCAGUUACGAGAAUAACAUCUAUUAGAGUGUUAAUUGCAAUCGCAGCAUUGCAUAAUUUGGAAAUUCAUCAAAUGGAUGUUAAGACAAUCUUUUUAAAUGGGGAGUUAGAAGAAGAAAUAUAUAUGGAACAACCUGAAGGGUUUGUUGCUCCUGGACUAGAAAAAAAGGUGUGUAAGUUGAUAAAGUCCCUAUAUGGGCUAAAACAAGCACCAAAACAAUGACAUUAGAAAUUUGACAAAGUAAUGUUGUCAAAUGAUUUUAAAAUUAAUGGAUGUGAUAAAUGUGCAUAUACAAAGAAUACACAAAGUGAGUAUGUCAUUGUGUGCUUGUACGUGGAUGAUAUGUUAAUUAUUGGUAGCAAUAAUGAUGUCAUUAAAGCUACUAAGAAAAUGCUGACCAAUUAUUUUGAUAUGAAAGACAUGGGUGUCGUAGACGUGAUCUUAGGUAUAAAAAUGGCCAAGACAUCUAGUGGACUAAUAUUAUCUCAAUGUCAUUACAUUGAGAAAAUUCUUAAACGGUUUAACUAAUAUGAUGAUAGUCCAAUUAAGACACCAGUAGAUUUAAAUCUAUAUUUAGCUAAAAAUAAUGGUCGAGUAAUUGACCAGUUGGAAUAUUCUUGUAUCAUUGGUAGUUUAAUGUAUGUCAUAAACUGCACGCGUCCAGACAUAGCCUACGCAGUUAAUAAACUAAGUAGGUUCACUAAUAAUCCGGGAAAAGACCAUUGGAAGGCGUUGAUUAGGGUUCUUAGAUAUCUAAGAUACACCCUAAACUAUGGACAUCAUUAUUUAAGGUAUCCAGCCAUACUAGAAGGAUAUAGUGAUGCAAAUUAGAUAUCUGAUACAAAGGACUCAAAGUCCACAAGUGGAUAUGUAUUCACAAUUGGUGGUGGUGCGAUAUCAUGGAAGUCAUCUAAACAAACAUGUAUUGCAAGAUCAAUGAUGGAAUCUAAAUUUAUUGCUUUAGAUAAAGUAGGGGAAGAAGCAGAAUGGCUUCAUAAUUUUCUAGAAGACAUUCCAUGUUGGCCAAAACCAAUGCCUGCAAUAUGUAUACAUUGUGAUAGUCAAUCAGCGAUUGGAAGAGCACAAAGUAGCAUGUACAAUGGUAAGUCUCGACACAUCCGUCACAUACAUAAUAUUGUAAGGCAGUUACUUGUAAAUGGAAUUAUUUCCAUUGAUUAUGUUAAGUCAAAGGACAACUUGGUGGAUCCACUAACUAAAGGAUUGUCUAGAGAUCAAGUAAACUGCUCAUCGAGGGGAAUGGGAUUAAGGCUUAUCACUAAAGAGUUUCAUAAUGGAAACCUAACCUAGCUGACUAGAGAUCCCAAGACCUAGCUAGGUUCAAUGAGGAACUAAAUUAUGAAAUACUCUGUGAAGAGCACUAGGGAAAAAUAAAUUCCUACCCAUUCCUAUGGUGAAGUAGUGCUAUACAAGAUGUGUUUAGGAUAAGCUAUGCUUUUAAUGAUUCUAAUAAUUUGAAAGAGUUCAAGUGGAGUAUGGUAGAAUAUUCGCACUUGUAACGGCUAAAAUGAACACAACCGUGAGAAUCAAUGGUGAUCUGGAAAGGAAUUGUGUGAAUACUAUUGUCUUGAUUUACAUCAAUAGCUGAAUAGUUCAAGACAUCACAUUCACUGAUUAGCUAGUAAAUCCGAUAGUAUUUCACUAAGGUUCAGAGCCAUAAACUACCUAUCCUGAUGCGAUCACUUUCCAAUUUUGUAUUCUCUUGAUUGUUUAGUUUUCCAUUUGCCUUUUUUAAGUCAAUUUCCAUUCAUGUGGGGGAUUGUUGGGAUAUUUAUAGGUGAAUGGAAAUUAAGACAUACUGUUUCAAUUAGACACAACUCUUCGUAAUGGACACAACUUGUGUCAAAGGAUAUGUCAAGUAUUUAAGACACAUCUCUUCUAAGAGUCACUAGAAAACCUAUAAAUAGGGGGGCCCCAUGGCAUUUCUAAUUCAUUCCAUCAUCAAUUCUCUCCACUUCUUCUCCUUUCUUCCAGGUGCUUGGUAUUCAAGAGAGUUCAAGUCAUCAAAUGAUUCACUGUUUCUUGUGAUUUGGAGUGCUACUAUCACAAGAUAGUGAUCGUUGUAUCCUGGGAGACGAUUGUCAACAAACCGUAUGCACCAAUGCAGGGCAAAUUCGUAUUAAGGACAUAGAGUCAAACUCUAACCUCGAUCAACCGUUUGUAAGAUUCAAUAUUUACUUACCUUCUCGCUUAUUUAUUAUACAUAAUUAUUUGACCAUACAUUUGUGAUAAUUCCAAAAUAACAGUUGAAUCCUCGGCCACAGCCUUUGCGGCAGCUAGAAACAAUUCCAGAAGGAUUCGUGGAAGGACAGUUGUUGAUGUAGAUUUGGAAGUACACACAACAAGACCUCUUAAUAACCGCAACAAGCGUGGAAGAGCUCCAGAACAAUCUUGGCAUGUUCCGCUUCUGCCACCCAAGGAGCCCACCUUCAACUGUAGGAAAAGGGUCACCAUGAAAGAUACCAUCAGAAUUUAACUUCCUGCAGCCAGCUGAGUAUGAUGCCUGGGCCAAUCAUGUAAUUAUGCAUAGGCUUAAAGAUUUUCAGCGUACAAGAAGGUGGGUUAUAAAGACUGGCUUUUGGAGGAUAGAAAGAGAAAUGAAAGAUGGCUCUUGGCAUGUUAUCAGACUCUUUUAUUUUUGCCCUCACAGACGGUGAUCCUCGUCUGCACGCUCUUGAACUCCGAUAUCCGACAUCGUAUGGUGAUGCCACCUGGGCGCUGAAAUGUAUACUCCUCCUCGGAUUCUCUCAGAAACUCACCAAACAAUGGGUGAUCGAAGUAUAUCACCGACACAAGGACUCGUGGAAGUCACCGUCUUUUUGAUCCACGUACACCGCCAGAUGGCCUUUCGGAACCGUCACCGCUAGCAUCUCCUCACCCACCAGAAGGUAACCAGAGAAACGAGCCGGAUCCGAGUUCAACAAACAUGUCUUUUUGGCCUUGGUUUUGAGACGUUGACCCCAGUUGCAGAGUCGAGAAAUUGUCUUGGUCUUGCCAGUCGGUAGCCAGAGACGGUGGUACCCAAAUGGGUUUCGGUGGAAAAAACCAUCCGUAGAACUUGACGACCUGUUUUCCUAGUUUGAAGCCCCUGAUCUUUCUCAUGGUGUAAGUGUUUGGUGCGAGAGAAAAAUUCAGAAGCUAUAAAUUACCAGAAUUUUCAAAAGAAAGAAAACGGUAAGAUUUGGCUCAGGAGAAAGGUCAUGGAGCUUUUUGUCUUAAACCCUUUCUCUUCGUCAACACUUAACGGUGGCAGUGGAGAUGUGGAGGAGGAUGGGUUUUCUAUUCUGAAAACAGAUGGAUAUGGUGCGGCGGACUACUCCAGAAGUGAUGAAGUCUAUAGGCGACCCAUUGAGUUUCAAUGGCGGUGCACUACACCAACAGUUAUGAAUUUGCCUUUUUCAAUACAGAAUUUGCUUCUUCAAGAGAACGUCCAAGAAGUCUCGCUAUCGGUGUGGUGGCUCCUUUUUAUACCAGCAUCAGAAGUCACUGGAACUCCAGCUGUCACUCAUUCUCAGGCAUGGUGUGCAUGUCCUCAUGUUCACGUGUUCUUCACACCGGAUCAUUCUCUCUAGAGACUUCCAGAGAGCCUCCAAAAAAUGCCUGACCUCUAAUGCCAUGCCACCUCACGUGACAGCUCUCACCAACUUCAUCUUUUUGUUUUCACAGGAGCCUCCCAUUCCUAAAUAUGCAAUCGUCUCCUCAUGCAAAACAGAAUAAAAUAAAAUAAAAAAAAAUAAAAAAAAAGAGAAGAAACUAAUGAAAAUCAUGAGAUUGGUAAUAAAAUAAAACAUGAUUUAAAAGAAAAAAAAGAGAGACCAGAUUAUAUAAUUCCAUCAUUCAAUAAGGGGGUCGUAUGUAUAUUUAAAGUCUAAACAAUUCAAGCAAUUUUCUAUUAAGUAAAUAAAAAAUAAAAAUAAAUAAUAAAAGUAAAAAUAAAAAUGAAUAUAAUUAUCAAAUGCAUGCAAUAAUAAUAAAAAGAUUAUACAUAAAAAAGUUAAGCCUCAAUGAAGUGUCUAAGUGGGCCUAAGUGGGUGCCUAAUGAGCCAAGUGCGUCUAAGUGAACUUAAGGUGUCUAAACGAGCCUAGGGUGAGACUAGGUGGGUCUAAUUAAGUCUAACCUAAAGUGCACCUAAGUAAAACCUAAUCAAAAUCAAGACUAUCAAGGAUCAUAAUAAGGGGUCAAAUAAUCCCUCAACCAGAGUUUCCGAGGUGGCUCUAAAAAAAUGGGCUACACGAGAAGUAAUGGGCCACCAAGGAAUUGUUGUAAAGUACGGAACAAAUACCUAAUAAGACAUGUGCUAGAAUGAUAAAAUGGAGGGUCUACAUAGGGCUUCAGACUCUUAGACUUUUACUUCUUCCAUUCUCUUUUACAUGUCUAGAGAGAGAGAACCUAGCCCCUCCACUUUUCUCAAUCUCUACCAUCUAAGUAUCUAGCUUCAAGGAGAGUCAUUGAGGAGAAAACCAAUGGUUUCAUGAGAUUUUCAAUGACUACUAUGCGUUUGAGAACCUUCUUCACCACAAGGCUGUUUUGCUUCAUUGGUGGGGGAUAAGCUUAGGAAAGCAUGUAUGCACCUAACAAGAUCUAGGGAUAUAAAAUGGAGUGAUCUAUUUUUUCCUACAAUUUUAGCUUUCUUACUUGUAGUUUUAAUUGACCAUAUGUAUAGCUUUUCUUGGUUAAAAUUUUAAUUUUUUUGAAUGAUGUACAAUGCACUUAUUUUGUUUUUGAAAAGAAUGUUUUUAUUUUUCUUAAUAACGUACUUUUUUUUUUGAAGGAUAUACUUAAUUUUUUAAGAAAUGUAUUUAAUUUUUCUAAAGAAUUCACUUAUUUUUCUAAGGAAUCUAGUUAUUUUUCUUAGAGAUAUACUUAUUUUUUAACAACGUACUUGUUUUUUUUCAUAUUGUACUUCUUUUAAAAAUGUACUUAUUUAUACUAUCACAAAUAAUUGAAAUUAAUUAGCAAAUUAUACUAAAACAUUAAUGUAUAUGAUUCAUAUACAAUGUACUUAUUUUCUUAGGAAAGCAUUUUCUAAAGAAUGUUCUUAGUUUUUUUUAGGGAUGUACUUAUAUUAUUUAAGGAUAAACUUAUUUAUAUUGAUAGAAAUAAGUGAAAGUUGGUGAGAAAUUUAUGAUAAAACAUUAGUAAAUAUAAUUAAUGAUAUUCGAUAAUAAUAUACAUAAUUUAAGAAUUUAAAAUAUAUUUAAUAUUCAACAUAUAAAAGAACUUAUGAUAUAUAUAUAUUAUUUUGAUGAUUUGUAUAAUUUGAAUAAUUUUUAAAUGGAAUAUGAAAAUGAAAUAAUUAAAAUGUACAAACGUAGUCCUGUAAGCCAUUGAUUAAUGUGCUUAUCGUGAUCAAAGAUUCAGAUAAUGUAUAUUAAUUGAAAAUUUAUUAGCAAAUAAUAGUCAAACGUUAAUGUAUAUAAUUUAUAUACAAUGAACUUUUUUUUGAGGAAUGCAUUUUCUAAAGGAUAUUCUUACUUUUUGGAGGCAUGUGCUUAUUUUUUUAAGGCUAAACUUAUUUAGAUUGGAGCAAAUAAGUGAAAGUCCAUGAGAAAUUCAUGAUAAAACAUUAAUGCACAUAAUUUAUAUAUUAUGUACUCAUUUUUUAUUUUUUUAGAAAUGUACAAAUAAUGGAAAGUUCAUUAGCAAUUUAUAGUAAAAUAUUAAUGUACAUAUUUUUUUGAAGGAUGUAUAAUAUACGUAUUUUUUAAAGGAAUGUAUAUAUUUUUUUUCAAGAUAUAGUUAUUACAUACCUAAGACUACAUUUAUGUUCAUAUUGAAAUUAAAGAGCUUUCAUAAGAGAAAGUGUAGCCACUUGAUCAUAUAAAAAAAUAAAAGAAAAGAAAAACAGAAAUAAAAGGGUAUAUAUCAAACACUUUCAAUUAUGAUUUAUCAUAUCAAAGAUUUGAAAAAGGGACAAUUCAUUUAGUAGUUAUUUAAAUGCGUAUUUUAGAAAUAAUUUUAUCCAUUGUGUGUUUGGGAUGAAAUGUGAAAGUUGGAAUCCUAAAAAAUAUACUUAUAUAUUUUUUAAUUAAUGUAUGUAACCAUAGUUCUCCCAAAAUAUGGCCAGGCUUCAUCAUACUUCUGUUUUGAAAUGUUAAAAUUUAAAAAUAAUUUUUCAUGAAUCACUUUUAAAUGUUUUUUAUAGAAAAAAAUUAAAAUAUAAAGUAUGAUGUAUUUUUUCAACUUUGAAAAAUUCUCUAAACAUAUUUUUAAGUCAUAAAUUAACACCAACUUUUGUCACUUCUUAUUCUUCUAUAUCAAAAGACUAACAAUAAUCAUGUUAUUUAUACGCAUAAAAUUAAUUAAAAUCAUUUAAGAUCAUGAUUUUUUUUAAAAUUUUUGUUAUUUAAUUAUAAAAAAAUUAAUUUUUUUAAUGAGAAGAAAAAAAACAAGGCUUAAUAACCAUAUUUAACAUUUUUAAAAUAAAUAAAUAAAAGCAAAGGUAUAUCCAAAUAAUACCUCAUUUGCUCAAUUCAAUUAUCGCAUGCCCUAAGUAUCAAAGUAGUUGACUAAGAGUGAGUUUGAUAGUAACUUUAGAAAGAUUAAAACACUUCUUCGAAUUACCACCAAAUAUAUUUUAAGGCACGCAAGGAAAAGUAAUCUCUUCUAUUAUUAUUAUUAUUAUUAUAAUUAUCAUACUGCCUUAUAGAAAGGACUUCUAUAAUUCAAAAUAAUCACAUGGUAAAAAUAGAUUUUAUUUGUUUGUAUCUUAUAAUGAUCUUAUUAUAUAUAUAUAUAUAUCUUAUCCUUUAUACAUGCAUUUUUUUUUUCAGUUUUGGUCGUAUAUUUUUAAUUUAAUAUUAAAAAAAAAAUUUACGCUUUUUGUCAAUGUCUCAAAUUUCAAAUAUGUUCAUGCUCUAGAAAUUCUCAAGUUGUAGUCUUGUAGCCUAGAAUGUGAAGUGAGAGUUUGAUGAAAAACGAAAAAAACAAAGAUAUAAAAUAUAAUUUGUGAGUAAGGAUGAAAAUAUCAGUUUUGACAGAUAUAUUAGUAACUCGAUUUUAUAGAUAUCAGGGUAUAUUAGAAAAUAUUGGUAAAUAUUUUGACACAAAAUAUCAAUGAUAAAAAAUUGAUCAAAACUCAUGGAAAUUAAAAAAAAAAAAACUCUUAAACAUGAUAAAAUAAACAAUAAUAUAUUUAUUAAAGUUUUUUUUUAUUAUUGUAAAACUUAAAACACAAAAUUAUCAACAAAUAUCAAUGAAAAAUUUGAAAAAAAAAAUCAAAAUUAAUAAAAACUCAUAAAAUAUUAGUAAAAACUAAAUAUAUAUAUAUAUAUAUAUAUAUAUAUAUAUAUAUAUAUAAGAAGCAAUAAUACACAUAAUGAAGUUAUUUAUUAAAAAAAUUGAUAUAAUUUAAUAUAAUUAAUGAUAUUUGAUAACAAUAUAUCUAAUUUAAGAAUUGAAAAUAUAUUUAAUAUUCAAAAUAUAAAAGAAGUUAAUAUAUAUAUAUAUAUAUAUAUAUAUAUAUAGAUAUUAUGAUGAUGAUUCGUAUAAUUUGAAUAUUUUUUAAAUGGAAUAUGAAAAUGAAAUAAUUAAAAUUAAUUUACUUAUUAUUAUUUUAUUUUAUCAGUCUAGGAAUGCAACUAUUUUUAAUUUAUGUGUGUUGCAUAUUUAAAAAAUGUUGAACUAGCUUAGUUGGCCAAAGCCCCAUCCAUGCGCACCCGAGACCCAGGUUAAAGCCUUAGUGUUGUUUCCAUUAAAAAAUUUCAAACGUUGACCCAAUAAUUUCAAUAUUGACAUUUUCAUCCUUGUCUACAAGUACUUGUGUUGGGAUCCAUGCAAUAAUUAAUGGCGGAAAAAUAGAAAAACGAGAAAGAAGAACACAAAGAUUUAACGUGGUUCAACUAAUUACCUACGUCCACGGGAAUAGGGAAAGAUGAUUUUCACUAUGUUAAAAUUAAGGUUACAUAAAAGGGUAUUUAUACUAACCCUUAGGAAUGAAAAUUCAAAAAACACCCCUGAACCCUACACCCCUCAACCUAUCGUUCACCUCACAACAAAAGAAAUACAAGCCUGAAUGACAAAUUCCGUCGCUAUGCUGCCAUUCCACUCCACUUCGCUCCCGCAUUUUGCCCAUUUUUCUCCAUAUGUCUUUUCGAUCAAAUAUGAGCCACAUACUACAACAAUCUCCACCUUGGCAAAUAUUCACUCCCCCCUUAGGAGACAAGAAACAUUGCUUAUAACUCCACCUGGGACAAUAGGUUGGGGUAUCUCCCAUCUAGCAACUAGAGACAUUAAUCAAGUUCAAGCAAUGCUUGAACUUUUCUGUGGUAACAGGCUUUGUCAACAUGUUUGCUGUGUUCUUAGAGGUGUGGACCUUCACAAGUAACAGUUCACUAGAAGAAACCAAUUCCCUGAUCUUAUGAAACCUCACAUCUAUGUGUUUGGUCCUUGCAUGAUACACCUGGUUCUUUUCCAAAUAAAUGGCACUCUGACUGUCACAAUAUAAUUGAACUCCACCUUGUUGAAUACCCAACUCCUUAAACAAACCUGUAAGCCAUAAUGAUUCCUUUGCAACCUCAACUAUUGCCAUAUAUUCUGACUUAGUAGUAGAUAGUGCAACUAAAGACUGUAUCAUAGACUUCCAACAAAUAGGUCCCCACCAAGGGUGAAUACAUAACUUGUGGUAGACCUCCUGUCAUCUAAGUCACCUGCAUAGUCUGCAUUAACAUAUCCUCUAACUGAAGAAUCACUUUGUUGUUUGAUGAACACGAUGCCAUAGUAUAGACCCGCAUUUUUCAUGUGCGCCCCCACUCGAUCGGCGAGACUCGCUUUUUAUUGGUGAAAAAUUAAUUUUGGAAAAAAAGUCGGAGUCACCACUUAUUUUAUUUUUAUUUUAAAGGGAAAAUAAAACAAGAAAGAAAAACCCUAAAAUGUGACUCCAUAAUUUUUGGAAAAAGCAUGUCUUUGAAACACCCGAGUCUAGGUCCGGGGAUCAGGUUACUUAUUGGGAAGGUACCUCUAGGAGGUAGCACCCCUCUAAGCCCUAAAGAGGUCUCUACUGACUAAAUUGGGGGAGAUGUGGCAAUUAAUUGAUUAAUUGGGGAUACCUAGAUAGACUAAGGUGAUUUAAAAAAAUAACAUGUGAUUACUACCAAAAAGUGCUAUUUUGUAGACCUAAUUAUAAUGGUUUUAAGCACCUUUGAGUAGUAAUCAUAUUCAUUUAACCCAAUUAAUUCAUUAAGGUCCUUAGUAAUUGGUUUUAACCUUUUUGUGGCAAGUUGACAUGUUUUUAUCAGCUUAUGAAUCGAUUCAAGCAUGCCAAUUGAUGGAGGAGCUAUUUGGGUGAGUUAAGCAAGGAUUUUGUACGUUUAUAGGCUUGAAUUUCAAGUGGAAACACGAGCACAAGCAAUGGAGAAGAGGAAAACAGAGUGAAGAAAACAGCUGCAGUCUUCCUUUGAACUUUUGAAGCACUUUCCGAAGUCUAUUUUUUGUAUGCUAUAUACCAUUUGAAAGCUUAGGAAGUCAAGAAUCCAACGCUUCAAACCGUGUAUGAUUUGGAGCUGAAAUGAGGAAGAUAUGGCCUUCGGAAGGCAACUGCAUCAUGUCAAAUGACCAAUUUCGCAAGGUGAAUUUCACAUUGCGAAAAUUUCGCAAGGAGAUUUUCUUCAUGGUGCGAAAUUUUGCCACUUCGCACCAUGAAGAAACACCUUGCGAAAAUUUCGCAAGGUGGAUUUAGGCACAUUGCAAAAUUCCUUUGAAUCCCCUGUUUUGAGACGUUGUUGAUGUUAUUCCACUACCGGUUCUCCAAGAUAUUUUGCUUGAUUUUUAGCUUUGUAAAUACCUAUUUUACCCUUGUAAUCAACCAAUGAAUAGGUUGCUUUUGUAAUAGCUCUUGUAAUUUAGCUUGUUAUUGUCUUUAAAUAGAGGUGAAGAGCCUCAGACACGCAUCAUCUAAUCUUGUAACCUGUAACUUUAUAAGUUAUAAGAGCACUUUUGUUCAGAAGCUUCUUUUCUCUUUUCUUUCUCAUUUUCUUAGUAGCCAAACACCCUUGGAGGAUGAAAUCCCCAAGGAUGAGAGGCUAAAACCUUUUAGUUUCUUGAAGUAAUGGAUGCCAUGUGAAGCUCCCGUGUCAGGAUGGAGAUUUCCAAGCCAUGAAUGUAAGUAGCUGAGCGUCAUAAAUGUUUUCAUUCAAAGUAAAGCUUUUAAUCCCUCUGACUUGCUUUGAAUGGCCAAUACUUGAUAACCUUUUGGUCUCAGUGGAUUCUUAUUGUUAAAUCCACUGACGUUCAUUAGUUAUCUCCUACGAGCCAUUGUAUUGCAAGUCGAGGAGAUGACCUAUAUCAUUAAAAGGGCAUUUAUGAGGUUCAGCUACCCUUUUUGUAAGUUUUCAAGGACUAAAACUCAGUUGUUAAACUCAUACCGGUUCGGGAAGUAAGCAUCACCUUAGUUGCUUCCCCAACUCGAGGUGAAAAGUCCCAAAAUCUCCAUUUUUACACAGUGAGUUAAGCAUGACUAUCCAAAGCUUUGAGAAACUUCUUUCUCCAUCUUUUAACCUAUUUUCAAGUUAGUUUAGUUUACAACACCUUUAUCUUUUUAUGUUUUCAUCUUAACCUAAUUUUUAUUAAGAAAAGUUCACUCCAUCCUCCGAACUUCACCAGUUAAAGUAAAAACCCUUCCCAGUGUUCGAUCCUAGAGCCACUAUGCUAUAGUAGCUUUGCUACUUUAGUGUAAGGACCUUAGGUUAUAAAUUUUGUUGAUACCUUACAUGCAAGCUACCAAGAGGCGGGUUAUCAAAUGGCGCCGUUGCCGGGGAAGGUGCUACUUCACUGUGAAUAUAUCAGCCGGAGGUAACUUGUGAGACUUCUCAUGAGUAAGGUGAAUUCUAUCUCCUUUUUCAUUUACUAACUUUUUAUUUUAGUUUUAGAACAUUUUUAACUUAGUUUAGAUAAGUUUCUUUUAGCUUUUAACUUUCAUUUUUAGUUUAUUUUUCAUACUCUGUUUUUCCUUCCGCAUGCUCUGUUUUUUUUUUUUCUUUUUCUUUGUUUUGUUUGUUUGCUUUGUUCCAGCUGAAUCCGUGCAUGCCCUAUUGGAUUAGAGACCAAGAGGGAAGGUUAGUGCGGAUAGAGACUCCACGAGCUAUUGAAUUAGAGAUUAUUUUAGAAGUCAUGGAGAAUCAGCCAGAGGAUCAACAUUCACAACACGGGCAGGGGAAUGAUCCGAACUUGUAUAGGUCCAUGAGGGACAGGAUGCACCCUCCGAGGAUGAGUGCACCAUCUUGCAUCAUUCCUCCUACAGAGCAAUUGAUUAUCAGGCCACACAUCGUGCCUCUGCUUCCUACUUUCCAUGGGAUGGAAAGUGAAAAUCCAUAUGCGCACAUAAAGGAAUUCGAAGAUGUGUGCAAUACUUUUCAAGAAGGGAGAACAGCUAUUGAGCUUAUGAGGUUGAAGCUCUUUCCAUUCACAUUAAAGGACAAAGCCAAGAUAUGGCUCAAUUCCUUGAGGAUGGGAAGCAUAAGAACAUGGACAGAACUUCAAGCUGAUUUUUUGAAGAAGUUUUUCCCUACUCACAGAACAAAUGGAUUGAAGAGACAAAUCUCCAACUUCUCAGCACGUGAGAAUGAAAAAUUUUAUGAAUGCUGGGAGAGGUAUAUGGAGGCCAUCAAUGCAUGUCCUCACCACGGCUUUGAUACAUGGCUUUUGGUGAGCUAUUUUUAUGAUGGCAUGUCAUCUUCAAUGAAGCAGAUAUUGGAGACAAUGUGUGGGGGUGAUUUCAUGAGCAAGAACCCUGAGGAGGCUAUGGACUUCCUAAGUUAUGUCUCAGAGGUUUCCCGUGGAUGGGAUGAGCCCAAUAGUAGAGAAAUGGGGAAGAGGCCAGUUCAGCAAAUGUCAAGAGGGGGGAUGUACAGUCUGAGUGAAGACAUGGAGAUGAAAGCCAAGGUAGCUGCCAAUGGCUAGAAAAAUAGAGGAAAUGGAGUUGAGAAAAGUUCAUGAAGUCCAAGCUAUUUCAGAACCUCAACAACAAGCCAAUCCUUGCUCCAUCUGUCAGUCAUUUGAACAUAUGGUGGAAGAAUGUCCCACCAUUCCGGCAGCAAGAGAAAUGUUCGGGGAACAAGCUAACCUGAUUGGCCAAUGGAAGCCAAAUUCAAAUGCUCCCUAUGGCAACACGUACAACUCUAGCUGGAGGAACCACCCAAACUUUGCAUGGAAGCCAAGGCCAAACCCAUAUCAGUCACCAGCCCAAUCAAGCCAACAGAGUCAAGGUCAAUCCUCAGUUGAGCAAGCACUCGUAAGCCUUAGCAAGGUUAUGGGUGACUUUGUGAGUGAGCAAAAAUCCAUCAACUCUCAACUAAAUCAGAAGAUUGACAACGUAGAGAGUACAUUGAACAAGAAGAUAGAUGGGAUGCAUAAUGAGUUGUCUCAGAAAAUUGACAACAUCCAAUAUUCCAUCUCAAGGCUCACAAAUUUGAACACUGUCAAUGAGAAAGGGAAGUUUCCCUCUCAGCCUCACCAAAAUCCUAAGGGGAUACAUGAAGUGGAAUCCAAAGAUGAGGAUUCUUCAAAGGUGAGGGACGUGCAAGCUAUUAUCACUUUGAGAAGUGGUAAGGAAGUGCAUCAGCCGGAGCAUGAUCAGAGGAAAGCCAAAGAAGAUAAGGCUGAUAGAAAAGAAGAAAAGAAGAAUGAACAAAAGGGAAAGGAAGUUCAGAUGAAAGAAAGCAUCAUUCCUAGCAUGGAUGAGGAACCUCAAAUUCUUUUAAAGGAAGGCAUGAUGAAGAAGUACAUGCCUCCUCCAUUUCCUCAAGCCUUACGUGGGAAGAAACCGAUCAAGAAUGCUUCUGAGAUUCUUGAUGUGUUAAGACAAGUGAAGGUGAAUAUUCCUUUACUUGAUAUGAUCAAGCAAGUACCCACAUAUGCAAAGUUUUUGAAGGACUUGUGCAUUGUGAAAAGAGGACUCAAUGUUACAAAGCAAGCCUUCCUAACCGAGCAAGUGAGUGCUAUAAUCCAAUGCAAGUCUCCAAUCAAAUACAAAGAUCCGGGGUGUCCUACAAUCUCAGUCAAUAUUGGAGGAACCCAAGUGGAGAAAGCAUUGCUUGAUUUGGGGGCAAGUGUUAACUUACUUCCAUACUCUGUAUACAAGGAGCUGGGGUUGGGAGAACUCAAGCCAACAUCAAUCACCCUAUCCUUAGCUGACCGAUCAGUGAAAAUCCCCAGGGGGGUAAUAGAGGAUGUAUUGGUUCAAGUUGACAAAUUCUACUAUCCAGUAGAUUUUGUGGUGCUUGAUACGGAUCCCAUUGUCAAAGGGAUCAACUAUGUUCCAAUCAUCCUUGGAAGACCAUUCCUUGCAACAUCCAAUGCAAUCAUCAAUUGUAGGAAUGAGGUCAUGCAACUCACUUUUGGGAAUAUGACAUUGGAACUCAACAUCUUCCAUCUAUGUCAAAAGCACAUCCAUCCUGAAGAAGAUGAGGGCCCGGAAAAAGUGUGUAUGAUAGAUACCCUGGUGGAGGAGCAUUGUAAUCAGAGUAUCCUUGAUCAGUUUGAAGAGAAUUCAGAUGAAAGCCAUGAAGAUCUUGAUGAUGGGUUAGCUGAACCCAUGGGAAUGAAUGCCGUUAUGUCAAACUGGAGACAAAAGCCAGUGAUCCUCCCUUUGUUCAAGGAUGAGGAAGAGAUGAAAGAAGCUAAGGAUGCAAUCCUUAAGCUUGAAUUAAAGACCCUUCCUGCCGAGUUGAAGUAUGCUUACUUGGAGGAAGGCAAUAAAGCCCCGGUGGUAAUUUCUUCUUCUUUAACCGUUUCACAAGAGGGCAAUCUUCUGAGAAUCCUUAGAAAGCACAAGAAGGCCAUCGGAUGGCAAAUUUCUGAUUUGAAGGGGAUAAGCCCAUUGAUUUGCACGCACCAUAUUUAUAUGGAGGAGGGAGCUAAGCCAACUCGUCAGCCACAGAGAGAUUGAAUCCUCAUAUGCAAGAGGUAGUAAGGGCUGAAGUGUUGAAGCUUCUUCAAGCGGGCAUCAUUUACCCCAUUUCNAUAGCACUUGGGUGNNNNNNNNNNNNNNNNNNNNNNNNNNNNNNNNNNNNNNNNNNNNNNNNNNNNNNNNNNNNNNNNNNNNNNNNNNNNNNNNNNNNNNNNNNNNNNNNNNNNAAGCUUGAAUUAAAGACCCUUCCUGCCGAGUUGAAGUAUGCUUACUUGGAGGAAGGCAAUAAAGCCCCGGUGGUAAUUUCUUCUUCUUUAACCGUUUCACAAGAGGGCAAUCUUCUGAGAAUCCUUAGAAAGCACAAGAAGGCCAUCGGAUGGCAAAUUUCUGAUUUGAAGGGGAUAAGCCCAUUGAUUUGCACGCACCAUAUUUAUAUGGAGGAGGGAGCUAAGCCAACUCGUCAGCCACAGAGGAGAUUGAAUCCUCAUAUGCAAGAGGUAGUAAGGGCUGAAGUGUUGAAGCUUCUUCAAGCGGGCAUCAUUUACCCCAUUUCGGAUAGCACUUGGGUGAGUCCAACCCAAGUUGUUCCAAAGAAGUCCGGGAUAACCAUAGUCAAGGGAGAAAAUGGAGAUGAAGUGUCCACACGCCUCACAACUGGUUGGAGGGUGUGCAUUGACUACAGGAAGCUGAACGCAGUAACGAGAAAGGAUCACUUCCCUUUACCUUUCAUGGAUCAAGUCCUUGAGAGAGUAUCUGGGCAUCCUUUUUAUUGCUUCUUGGAUGGGUAUUCCGGGUAUUUUCAAAUAGAGAUUGAUGUGGAGGACCAGGAGAAGACUACCUUCACUUGUCCAUUCGGCACCUAUGCUUAUAGGCGGAUGCCUUUUGGAUUAUGCAACGCUCCUGCUACCUUCCAAAGAUGCAUGCUUAGCAUCUUCAGUGACAUGGUUGAACGAAUCAUGGAAGUCUUCAUGGAUGACAUAACUGUGUAUGGGACUUCUUUUGAGGAUUGUUUGUCACAUCUUAAAGAUGUUUUGAAAAGAUGCAUAGAGAAAGACCUUGUACUCAAUUGGGAGAAGUGCCAUUUUAUGGUAAAUCAAGGUAUUGUUCUUGGGCACGUAAUCUCAAAGAAGGGUAUAGAGGUAGAUAGAGCUAAGGUAGAACUAAUUGUGAAGUUGCCACCUCCCACCAAUGUAAAAGGAAUAAGGCAAUUCCUUGGGCAUGCCGGGUUCUAUAGGAGGUUUAUAAAGGAUUUUUCCAAGAUUGCCAAACCUCUUUGUGAAUUAUUGGUGAAGGAUGCCAAGUUUGAGUGGGAUGAUAAAUGUCAAAGGAGUUUUGAGCUUCUUAAGCAAUUCUUGACAUCAGCGCCCAUUGUGAGAGCACCAAAUUGGGAGUUGCCAUUUGAAGUGAUGUGUGACUCAAGUGAUUAUGCUAUUGGGGCUGUUUUGGGACAAAGAGAAGAUGGCAAACCUUAUGUGAUCUACUAUGCAAGCAAGUCUUUGAAUGAUGCUCAAAAGAAUUACACCACCACUGAGAAUGAAUUACUUGUUGUGGUGUAUGCUUUGGAUAAGUUCAGAGCUUAUUUGAUAGGGUCUUCCAUUGUGGUAUUCACGGAUCAUUCAGCUUUGAAGUAUUUGCUAACCAAGCAAGACGCCAAGGCUAGGUUGAUUAGGUGGAUACUUUUGCUUCAAGAGUUCAACCUCCAGAUCAGAGAUAAGAAAGGUGUUGAGAAUGUGGUAGCUGACCACUUGUCAAGGCUCAACAUUGCUCAUGACACCCAUGGACUUCCCAUAAAUGAUGAUUUCCCUGAGGAAUCCUUGAUGCUUGUGGAGGAAGUGCCAUGGUUUGCACACAUUGCCAAUUACUUGGUCUCGGGAGAAAUACCAAGUGAAUGGAGCUCUCAGGACAAGAAGAAUUUCUUUGCCAAGGUCCAUGCAUAUUAUUGGGAGGAGCCUUUUCUCUUCAAAUAUUGUGCGGACCAAAUUAUAAGGAAGUGUGUGCCUGAACAAGAGAAGCAUGGGAUCCUAUCUCAUUGCCAUGGGAAUGCAUGUGGAGGCCACUUUGCCUCUCAAAAGACGGCAAUGAGAGUUCUUCAAUCGGGCUUUUGGUGGCCCUCACUUUUUAAGGAUGCCCAUGAGGUAAGUAAAGGAUGUGAUAAGUGCCAAAGACUAGGCAAGCUUUCAAGGAGAAACAUGAUGCCUUUGAACCCCAUCUUGAUAGUGGAUCUUUUUUAUGUUUGGGGCAUAGACUUCAUGGGACCUUUCCCUAUGUCUUUUGGCCACUCCUACAUCUUGGUAGGAGUUGAUUAUGUUUCAAAGUGGGUUGAAGCUAUACCCUGUAGAACCAAUGAUCACAAAGUGGUUCUCAAAUUCCUAAAAGAAAACAUCUUCUCGAGGUUUGGAGUGCCUAAAGCAAUCAUCAGUGAUGGAGGCACUCACUUUUGCAACAAGCCCUUUGAAGCUCUUUUGGCCAAGUACGGAGUUAAGCAUAAGGUAGCUACACCUUAUCAUCCUCAGACGAGUGGCCAAGUAGAGCUAGCCAACCGGGAAAUUAAGAACAUCUUGAUGAAGGUGGUGAACACCAAUAGGAAAGAUUGGUCUGUUAGGCUCCUUGAUUCCCUAUGGGCGUAUAGGACGGCUUAUAAGACUAUCCUUGGGAUGUCACCAUACCGUCUUGUUUAUGGCAAAGCUUGCCAUCUUCCUGUUGAGAUUGAGUUCAAGGCAUGGUGGGCCAUUAAAAAGCUCAACAUGGAUUUAACUAAGGCUGGGCUAAAGAGGAGUUUGGAUUUGAAUGAGCUUGAGGAAUUAAGAAAUGAUGCCUAUCUCAACUCAAAAAUAGCUAAGGAAAAGCUAAAGAGAUGGCAUGAUCAGUUGGUGACCAAGAAAGAAUUUUUCAAGGGACAAAGAGUCUUGCUAUAUGACUCUAAGCUUCACCUAUUUCCGGGAAAGCUCAAAUCAAGGUGGGUAGGGCCUUUUGUCAUCCACCAAGUACACUCACAUGGAGUAAUUGAGUUACUCAACUCAAAUAGUGCAAAGACCUUCAAGGUAAAUGGGCAAAGACUCAAGCCCUACAUCGAGCCAUUUUCCCGUGACAAGGAGGUACUCAUCCUCCAUGACCCAUCACAUCCUUGAGAAAGUGUGGUAAGUUGAUGAGCUUAGCAUGAAAAGCUAAGUGCUCAUCUCUUUUUGUUUUAGUUUUAGUAUUACAUUCUUGUUUACUUUGCAUUUUUAAUACUUUUGCACAUAUUUUGUUUAGGUUUCUUGGUUUUGAUUUUGAUUUUUUUAUGUUUUUAAUGGAGCUUUGAUGUCCAAUAGCAGGUACGAAAGCUCACAAGCUCACAAAUGUGGAGAGAAAGGUGAAAUAGGGGAGAAAUAUAUCUAAGUCCAAGCUUAAAAGCCCAUUUCGCAACUCAAAAAGUGAGUUGCGAAAAUUUUGCAAGGUGAAUUUCACCUUGCGAAAUGCACAUUUUGGCAAGAUGCAAAAUGCAACCUCUCGAGAUUGCACUUUCGCAAGGAGUAACCAGUGCGAAAAUUUUCGCAAGUCAUUUUUCACCUUGCGAAAUUGUUUUCAAAGCAAAUAUCAAAGUGCAACCUCUCGGGAUUGGUUUUUAAGGGGAGUAGCCAGUGCGAAAAUUUGGCAAGGUGAAUUUUCACCUUGCGAAAUUUUUUCUUCAUGCUUACCAAGGUUUUGAUUCUUUUUAAAUUCAUUUUCACAGCUAUCCUGGACCAGCACUCCGCCAUGCUAUCUCAGAUCCACCAUCACCUGGGCAUAUCACCUCCUCCACCUCAGGAGCCACAUCCAUGAUUGGAUAUUUCUAUCUCCAUUUUGUAUUUGUUUUUUGUAGAUGUACAUGUUUUAUAUUCUGAGAUUGUAUGUACCUCAUGCUUCUAUCUUGUACUCAACUCUCUCAGUUUAUAUAAGCAUCAUUUUUUGUAUAUUAUUUCCUCUCUCACGUUUCUUAUGGUUUUUGAAUCAUGUGGAUGCACUCACACGCCUUGAAUACCACAUCACCAUAAGGUAUAUCAUUCCUUCCUUGUAUUUUUCGAUAGAAACAUUGGGGACAAUGUUCAUCUCGGUUGGGGGGAGAGUUGAGGAAGUAAGUAUUUCCUAUUCUAGUUAGUUAUUUUGUUGAUUUAGUAGUUGUUGCCCUUUUUCAAAAUUUUUUUGUUUCAUUCUCUAUGGUUGUUAAAGAUAAUUUCUCAAAAUAAAAUAGGAUAAGUCGAGUUUUAACUUAAUUACUUAAGUCUUAGAGUUUGUUUUAUGCUUUCAAAGUUGAUAAUCUAUUGAAGCCCUCUUUGAUUUCGAACUUAUUUCUUCCAUUUCAAGCUUUACACACACCAUGCACAUUAGAUCCCGGAUUUAUGAUGUAAAACUUUCUCACCCUCUAAGCUUAGGAAAAUUUUGACUUGGUUUAUUACUUAACCUCUUUUUAAUAAUGUUGGGACACCUCAAAAAGACCAAUGAGUCUUAGAAAAAGAAAAAGAGAAAAAGAAAAAAGAAAAGAGAAAAAGAAAAAGAAAAAGAGAAUAAGCUUCUAUUCUUUCCUUGAAACCUAAGCAUGAUCCGAAGGGGUGGCGAAAGCCUUUAAAACCCGAUGCCCUAAACCUUGAUUGGUUGGGAGUCAUCGAUCCUCUGCUUGCUACAUAGGUGAAUUGGUUAAGUUUAGUGAGUAAAAAGAAUUGUGAAUAAGAAGGUGCGUUCCUAACCUAUUAAGAGUUGGUUAAUUUUGCCAAUGUCCGAGAAAAGCUUAGGUUAGGGGGAGAGGAUAGUUGUGCAUACUAUAUCCGGAAGCUAAUCUCAUUAACACUUAGCUCAUUAUGGAAGAGUUUGAUCCGGAACCUUGAGAGUAGAGAUUCUUUUGAUACUUAAUUGCAUAAUCUCCACUCUUUGUACUUUUUGUUUAAGUUUUAGCUUUGACAACUCCUAUUGCAUUUUGAAUCUUCGUAUCUUUAGUUCACCAUGUGAGAUGUGUUUUGAUUUCAGUCAUGCCACUCAAUUAUUUUUUGGAGUGAUUUGCAUGAUCCCUUUUAUGUAUAUUAUUAUAGUUUACUUAGUUUUUAUCUCCUCCAUUGCUAAGGGACUAGCAAUGAGUCGGUUGGGGGGUGUGAUUACUACCAAAAAGUGCUAUUUUGUAGACCUAAUUAUAAUGGUUUUAAGCACCUUUGAGUAGUAAUCAUAUUCAUUUAACCCAAUUAAUUCAUUAAGGUCCUUAGUAAUUGGUUUUAACCUUUUUGUGGCAAGUUGACAUGUUUUUAUCAGCUUAUGAAUCGAUUCAAGCAUGCCAAUUGAUGGAGGAGCUAUUUGGGUGAGUUAAGCAAGGAUUUUGUACGUUUAUAGGCUUGAAUUUCAAGUGGAAACACGAGCACAAGCAAUGGAGAAGAGGAAAACAGAGUGAAGAAAACAGCUGCAGUCUUCCUUUGAACUUUUGAAGCACUUUCCGAAGUCCAUUUUUUGCAUGCUAUAUACCAUUUGAAAGCUUAGGAAGUCAAGAAUCCAACGCUUCAAACCGUGUAUGAUUUGGAGCUGAAAUGAGGAAGAUAUGGCCUUAGGAAGGAAACUGCAUCAUGUCAAAUGACCAAUUUCGCAAGGUGAAUUUCACAUUGCGAAAAUUUCGCAAGGAGAUUUUCUUCAUGGUGCGAAAUUUUGCCACUUCGCACCAUGAAGAAACACCUUGCGAAAAUUUCGCAAGGUGGAUUUAGGCACAUUGCGAAAUUCCUUUGAAUCCCCUGUUUUGAGACGUUGUUGAUGUUAUUCCACUACCGGUUCUCCAAGAUAUUUUGCUUGAUUUUUAGCUUUGUAAAUACCUAUUUUACCCUUGUAAUCAACCAAUGAAUAGGUUGCUUUUGUAAUAGCUCUUGUAAUUUAGCUUGUUAUUGUCUUUAAAUAGAGGUGAAGAGCCUCAGACACGCAUCAUCUAAUCUUGUAACCUGUAACUUUAUAAGUUAUAAGAGCACUUUUGUUCAGAAGCUUCUUUUCUCUUUUCUUUCUCAUUUUCUUAGUAGCCAAACACCCUUGGAGGAUGAAAUCCCCAAGGAUGAGAGGCUAAAACCUUUUAGUUUCUUGAAGUAAUGGAUGCCAUGUGAAGCUCCCGUGUCAGGAUGGAGAUUUCCAAGCCAUGAAUGUAAGUAGCUGAGCGUCAUAAAUGUUUUCAUUCAAAGUAAAGCUUUUAAUCCCUCUGACUUGCUUUGAAUGGCCAAUACUUGAUAACCUUUUGGUCUCAGUGGAUUCUUAUUGUUAGAUCCACUGACGUUCAUUAGUUAUCUCCUACGAGCCAUUGUAUUGCAAGUCGAGGAGAUGACCUAUAUCAUUAAAAGGGCAUUUAUGAGGUUCAGCUACCCUUUUUGUAAGUUUUCAAGGACUAAAACUCAGUUGUUAAACUCAUACCGGUUCGGGAAGUAAGCAUCACCUUAGUUGCUUCCCCAACUCGAGGUGAAAAGUCCCAAAAUCUCCAUUUUUACACAGUGAGUUAAGCAUGGCUAUCCAAAGCUUUGAGAAACUUCUUUCUCCAUCUUUUAACCUAUUUUCAAGUUAGUUUAGUUUACAACACCUUUAUCUUUUUAUGUUUUCAUCUUAACCUAAUUUUUAUUAAGAAAAGUUCACUCCAUCCUCCGAACUUCACCAGUUAAAGUAAAAACCCUUCCCAGUGUUCGAUCCUAGAGCCACUAUGCUAUAGUAGCUUUGUUACUUUAGUGUAAGGACCUUAGGUAUAAAUUUUGUUGAUACCCUUACAUGCCAAGCUACCAAGAGGCGGGUUAUCAACAUGCCAAAUAGGAUCAAAUUACAAUAAAGGAGAGUUAGGGUGCAUACCUGGAUGGCUUCUCAAAUGCUAUCAUGAAACAUAAAAGUUAGUAUAGAGAUACAUCACACAACAUGUGCUUUUGUCAAAGAUAAUCAAGCAAGCAUCAAAUAUAUAUCAAGGCAAUAAAACAGGAUGGCAAGCAUGGGCAUAGUACGCAAUGACAAUCAUAUUCAUAGGGUUUAGAAAGUGGGUAUUAGGGAACGUACCUGGAUAGCAUAGAUAACUUGUAACGUGCUUCCAUAAAACAGGAGAGGUUAGAUAGCAAACAAUAAAAUAAGAAGUCCUAGCAUGCUUGUUAUCUAAUUAGCAUAGAAAAAAAAAAAAUUAUCACAGUAUACAAAACCAUCAAUUAUCACUAAUAUCUUCUAUAUAAUUUCUAAAAAAUAAAUAGACAUGAGUUCAUCAAAUAACAAAGGGGGCAACAAAGAUGAGUUUUGAAAAUUUUCCUUAUGUAGGGGUUUCACCAAUUCCCCGAUUGAUAUACACGAAUUUAGCCCAGAAUUAUCCCAUUUAUGUGGGACCACAAGCUUUGAUUCAUGUUUGAUUUCAAACCAAAAUUUUCGUUAAAAAUCGAGAAAGAUGCAAAUCGAUCAAAAAAAUGGUUGCAUAUUAUUUUAAGAAAAUGGGGUUUUUGAUUCUAAGGACUCUAAAUGAAUUUUUAAAAUAGGUUUUUAUAAGGAAAAUUUUGAGAAAAGUAUUUUAUUUUAAAAUAAGAGAAAUUAAUUUGAGAACAAUAAAACAUAUGAGAAACAUUGUACCAAGCAAAACAAAUAGAAACAAAAUCAUAAAGUAAAAUUUUUGGCAACCAAGCAAACUGAAAUGGUGUGAAUGGAGGCCAAUCUUCACAAUUUUCCAAUGGCCUCCAUGAAUCAAAUAUAAACGAACAAAUGUCAAAGAAAAUAACUAAACAGCCUUAGAUCAAAUAAAGUCAACCAGAUAUCAAUCAAGAACUAACAAAGAUUAGUCAAGCCCAUAAAUUGAGGAUAUAAUCAAUAAUUAAAUUAGAUUAGUCAAACACACAAACCUAUGAUUAAGGUAAUGUUAAAUAUAGUACCAUAAGAACUUACAAUUCUAAAACACUUGAAUUGAGUAAGGAUCAAUCAGGAACUAGAGCUUAACACACUUAAAACAUGGAUAUAAUGACAAGGGGUCAGAUAAAUUAAAUAAUUAAAAUUCUAAAGACUCAUAAAACAAAUAUGAUGAAUCAAAAAUAAUAAUAAUAAUAAAAAUAAAAAAUAACUGAAAUUAAUAAACAUAGUGAUAAUGAUAUAGAACCAAAUGAAUUAAUCACCUAAAAACCUAAAGCAUCACAUGAAUCAACUAAGAUGAAAAUAAAAAAAAAAAGAAUAAAAUAACAUGAUGAUAAUGACAUAGAAUCAAAUAAAUUAAUCCAUUAAAAUUUUAAAGCAUCACACGAAUUAAUUAGGAUGAACCCAUGAACUAAAAUUAAAUAAAACAAGAUGAUGAUGACAUAAAACCAAAUAAAUUAAUCGACUAAAACUUGAGAGACUCGAAAACUUAAUAGAGUAAAAAAUUAGCAAACAAAGCCCUAACUUUCAAUCUAAAAAAAAAACUAAUAAACUAAUGGAUAAAAAAAAAAGAAAUCAAAAACUCAAGAACAAGGAAACUCACUUACCUUUGGAAGAUGCAGCCUACUCGCUUUGGGGAUCAAUGGCGUUCAUGGUUCUCUUGAAGAUACCAUGAAGAUCUUUAUGGAAAUUGAGGCAUGGACCCCUUAAAAUGCAACCUGCUGCCACUUUUCCUUCAAAAAAUCUCACCAUCUAAAAGUGCAACUUGCUUCCAUUUUUCUUUCAAAAAAAUCUCACCCCCUCAAAAUGCAACUUGCUGCCACUUUUUUUUUUAAACAAAUCUCACCCUAAAGUGGCAAUCUGCUGCCACUUUUCUUUUAAAAAAUCUCACCCUAAAGUAGCAGUCUGCUGCCACUUUCCUUUCAAAAAAAAUUCACCCUAAAGUGGCAGCCUACUGCCACUUUCCUUUCAAAAAAAAAACUCACCUUAAAGUAGCAGCCUGCUGCCACUUUUCUUUCAAAAAAAACUUCACCCUAAAGUGGCAGCCUUGGAGAAUCCCCACUGUACGGUUGUGUUCCAAAAAAAUUGAAUGCUGCCACUUUUCUUUUCAUCAAACUCAUAGUGCGCCCCAUGGAGAUUAAUAGAAAUCCCUUUUCCUCAUUUUGGAUGGUCACGCCCUCUCUCCUAUAGUGCAUGUGCAGAUCCAAGGAUGCAGCCCGUGAAGUGAUGUAACGAUUCCUAUUGAGUCUGUUAGUGUUGCCAAACCAGAAAGUACCCAAUUAUGAAUGUCCAGAAGAUGCUGAGGACAUGCAUGUCUUCCGACAAUGAUGUCAGUUCAGGACAGCGAUAAAUUUGAAGACGUUAGUAAAGGGAGGCUGUCCAUUGAGUGUGAUAAUGUUAUCAAAUUUAGGGCAGCAAUUUGAAUCCCUGAAUAGAGAUAGCUUCCAAGGCUUCAAGUGGGGUGAGAUGUUGAAUCACUUGUGAUAGAGAGAUUAAGCUACUAGCACAUCACUGAGAGAAUAUUAAUCUAUGACAAUUCCCACUUUCGAGUUGCUUUAGAGAAGUAAGGCGUCACAACUACAUUACCAUCUAGUAUUUUGCUUUGACUUGGCAACACUUACAUCUUUUUCAAUCAUGCACGGGGCUGUUUUGAAGUCCAAAAGUGCAAGUCGUUUUUGGAUGGCGGCUGGUUCUUGUUUGCUGUUCCUUGAGAUCAGUUUUAUUGCCAAUCAGAAUGAUGAGAAUGGUCUUAUCAGCGUGACCACGUGACUCUUCCAACCAUCGGGGUAUGUGGUCAAAACUUUGGCGUUUAGUUAUGUCGUAAACCAGCAUUGCGUCAACAGCACUCCUGUAAUACGCACUUGUAACGGCUCCGUGUCGUUCUUGGCCAGUAGUGUCCCAGAUCUGAGCCUUGACACUCUUGCGUCGGAUGACGAGGGUUCGAGUCUGGGACUCAACCCCGGUUGUAGCCUUGGAAUCCAAACUGAACUCGUUCCUAGCGAACCGAGUUUACGACUUGCCCACUUCGGUGUCUCCGAUCAUAACCACUUUGAAAACGUAGUUGAUCUUUUGGCUCGAAUUGCCAUAGCUUCCACCACUCGCCAUCACCGCACCACUCCGUUCUCUCUCUCUUGAACACUCUCUGUCUGGAUUCAAGAUCAGUCACAGCCUUCCUUUUCCCAUCCUCAAUUCUGUCCGCUGGGAAACCGAAUUGCCACCAUCAAACAGUUGGUUCCUUGCAGCCGCUGAAGCUUGUCAGCAUCACCAAGAGACCAACCAAUUGGGUUGUAGGAGAAGUCAAUCUGUUUCCAUGUAAUCUGAUCCCAAACUCCAAUCCCAUACACGUGGCUUCAAUCUUUACCGCUAGCAAUAAUCCUAUAAUCUGAAUUAAAACCCAGAGCUCCGACAAUUUCCUUUCUUUAUGGCAGCCAGAUUUGGAUCCGAUCUCGACUCUCCUUUGAGAUUAAGCAAUUUAUCAAUGUAUAAUCAGGCCGCUGUGGACAAAUCCAUGCUUGGUAGUCAUGCUUAUUGAUGAUAGUCUAGAGAUGUGGAAAUCAAACAAUUCUGAUGAACCCUCUCCCAUGCGUGAUGAGGCCGAUGAUGUGUUAUUCCAGAUUCAUCUCCGGAGAUCCCUCUAAUUAGAACGUUCAGAAUCCCCCAGAAACGAGAGCUCUCCUUGCGGUCUCCUUCUCCAGCAGCGUUCAUCCCUCCCCCCCUUUUUUUUUAUAUGCUUCACGAACUUCAUCACAUGAAUUACCACAAUCAUCAUCCGUCACUUCUGCUCCAUAGCAUGAACCACAAUAUUUUCCAUUGCGUUCAAGCCUGCCACCAUGUCCUUGUAAUAGCUUCUCAAUCCGGGGCCACCAAUUCCAUCUUGCCUAACUGCUACCACAUUACCAUGGGCGUCAAUGGAGAGAGAGUUUUGACCAGCAUGGGCGCUCGUACCAUUGGAGAUGCAGCCUUGAAGAUUCCCCCAGUGUGACCUGCUGCUGGUGCGUGUCUUCUAUGGAAUCUGUGCUGCGUGCUGGUCCUCUUGAUGGUGAGGAAUACGGCUGUGUGCUUGUCGUCUCCCUCCUAGUGGCAGCCCCCCACUUUGAGAGAAUUUGUGGCCGCUCCUUCCUAGAGAAUCCCUUAGAUGUUUCGUUUCAUCAUUUUAGCCGGAUCCAUUGCAAGCAAGGAAAUUCAUUGAUGAUUUGCUCCCCUUUUUAGGAAAGAAAGCUCAGAAUUCUGAUGCAUGUGUAGAAGCUUUGCAACUUAUUCGAGAUAUUAUACCAGUUUCAGUGAGUGAAACUUCUCCAAAAAUCUUGAAUGUCGUUUCUUCUCUGCUAAUUUCUGCUGGACUGGAUAUACGUUUGGUUAUUUGUGGCCUUCUUGGUGAUCUUGCUGAAACUGACCCUUAGGUACUCUCUGUGGCAAAUCCCAUAAAUGAAUUGGAUGUGACCUCUGUUACGGAAACGAGUGGCCUGGAUUAUGACACCAUAGUUUAUGCUUAUGAAAAGAUUAGCAUGGAGUUCUUUAAUAAUAUCUCAAAGAAUCAGGCACUGGUCAUUUUGUCGCGUUGUAUAUAUGAUAUGUCAUCCAAUGAACUGAUCUUAAGGCAUAAUGCAUAUAGGUUAUUGGUCUCUUCUGCUGAACUCUCCGUCCAAAUUCCUAAACUUGAAGUGAAGAGUGACCAUGAAACGCCCGAAGCAAUAAUAACAUUCAUAGCUGAUGGUUGUUGGAUUUAAGCAUGUAUUCAGCGCAUGAUAAACAAAUUCCUUUUGAAGCAUAUGGCAGAUGUAAUGGGCAAGGAAAAUUUUGUUCAGAAGGAAUGGGUUGAUUUACUGAGAGAAAUGGUGCUGAAGCUUCUAGAGGUGCUAAAUCUUCACUCAUUCAGGAUCUUGUAUUGUCUGAAUGUGUUAAUAAAAUUGGACCAAUGGAAGAUGCUGUGAAGGCUCUAUUUGCCUAUGGGCUCCAUCUAACUAGUCGGUAUAGGUUUUCUGAAUGAGAUGACCAUGGGAAUGGCCAAAUUUGGGAUUUCCGUAAGGUAAGAUUACAGUUAUUGCAGUUUAGAGACAGGCUGAAGACAUUUCUUGGGAUAAAUAUGGGUAGGUUCUCCGUGAAGGAAUACAACAAAUUUCGCAUUAUGCUUAUCAAUGAAGCUGCUGCUGCACUUGCUGAGAGUGGAAAAAUUGGGGCCUUAAACCUCCUUUUCAAGCGUCAUCCUUAUACACUCACUCCUUCCAUGUUGGAAAUUUUAGCUGCUGUCCCUGAAAUAAUUCAAGUUCAAACAUAUGGGCAACUCCCUCCUGGGAGGUCUCCUCCUACCAGUUUUGCUCUGAGGGAAAAAGAUUGGGUUGAAUGUGAAAGGAUGGUAGGCUUUAUCAACAGAUUACCCGAGGAUAAAGAGGGCAGCAUUCGCAUCAAAACUGAACCCAUUGCGAGGCAGAUCUUGGGAUUCUCUUGGCCAUAAGCUGAUGAAUUUUCUAGUUGAUACAAGUGCUGAAAUUUUUAUUGGUCAGACCGUUGACCUCAAAGAGCAGCAAAAUGCUCUUGGAAUCAGUCAGGAACACAUUGAAAGCGCUGCAUCACUGGAGGAUUAUGCUACCAUGAAUCCAGCCAAUUAUUUCACCUUUGUCUCCCAUAGUGCUAGAAGGUACUCUACCAAGAGGUUCUGGAACGCUCAAAUAUUUUAAGUGGAGGAUUCUAAUGCUUCAAUAGCACUCACCCUAUGACGAAUACUCAGUUUAUGAUGAAAGAGUGGAGUUUCUGGCAUCCACCUAUGCACCGAAUGCAGAAUCAAUAUUUGCUCCUCUCAUAGGAACAAACGGUUUUCACAACAAAGCAAGUGAUCAAGAUGAUGCAGGCUGCAAGAAUUUCCCGAAAGAAUUGCAAAUGGCCAGACUAGACGAUGAAGCUGUUCUCCAAAAACUGAGGCAAAUGCCAUUGGAAGUGGGAAAAUUGAAACAGAAUUUAUAAUGCUCUCCUUCCCUCAUGUUCAAAGGCUGAUCUGAACAAUACUGGAGUCGCCUAUGCAGCCAUGCUAGACAUUAGAAGCUUUAUGAGGUUACAAUAAAACCAUUAACUGUACACAUAAGUUCAUUUGCAAGAAUUGGGAACCAAUUUAGAAGGUCAAGUAUAUUCGCUGUCAACAAGAAUGAUGCCCUCCGAUUUAAGAUCUCUACUGAGGAGGAACCCAGUUUGAUCAAAAUUCUAGGAUCAAACAACAGAGUCAAAGUCAAAUCAAGAGCAACGUUCCAACUUGUCAUGAAGACCAAGAAUAGUAAUUGCUUUUGAGCAAGCAGUGAAAUUAUUUGCAAUCAGACAAUCAUCUUCUUCUUCAAGAAAUGCUGUAAUGAAAUUCUUACCAGUUGUGUCUGAUUCUUCAAAACAUGAAGUUAGCAAACAGAUUGUUCAUAUAUAAUGUCAGUUGGCAUAAAUGUAGUGUUCAAUCACCAAGCCACAAAGAUGAUACAACCGAACAGUUGCAGCAGGAAAACUUGGUUGUUUAUUCAAAAUCAAGUAAAUCUCUAGGUCCCUCAUACCACGAUUGCUCCCAAUCUUUAGGUCUUGGCGUAGACAAUUCCUUCCUUGUCUAUGUGGACAGAACAAUGCUUGCUGUUCUAGUUGUUGUCUUUCACCAUGGUCUGUAGAAAAAAUGUCCAGAAAAACAACUAAUGAUCAGUAGAAGUGUAAAAGGGAAGAAAGAAAACUACUGCUAGAUUGGAUCAGUCAUCUUCUUCAUUAGAUCAUUACAAACAGUUGGCUUUGAAAAAUUUGAAGUUAAUCAACUACAAUCAUGACAGAUAUUUAUUUUUCCUAAAAGAAUGUAAAUGUAUGGUUGCUCUUUGAGUACAGCUCUCUACAGCACAAAAAUAAACAAAUACUGUGGUCAAAGCUGUCAAUCAAAAUCCCCCUAUCCAGAAUGCAUGGCAAUGGCUGAUCCAAAUGGCCAUGUACUAGUACACUUACUAAGAUUUCCUUCAAGAAUCAUGUACAAGUGACCACCACUGUUCUCGGUGUCCAGAGGCAGUUUUCCAUACUCAUCUCCUUCUCCAUGAGGCUCAUGUAGUUAUUGGAAGGAUUCAAUAAAUAAUCUCGAAACCCAUGAGCGUUUUUGGCCCAAAGAAAUUCAGCAUAUGACAUAAUUUCGUGUAUAUAUAUAUAUGGAGAGAGAGAGAGAGAGAGGAAAAGUUUAUGAAAUAACCAUGAUUACUAGACGGGAAAAGUGUGUUUUCAUCUUUUGAUAUGACUAUAUCAGUAAAUGAGUACCAACUUUUCCAUCUCAUAGUUUGUGAAUGGAUCAUAGACUGAAAAUGAAUUAUAUGUAAUCUACUUAAUUUACCAAAGGUAAUGAAAUCUAAUUUACAAUCAAAUUAAUUAAGACACUAGGAUACCAAUCACUACUAUACGUACAUAAAUCAUAUUACAUUUCUGUAACAUUACUUUUCUUCAAUACUUCCCCUGAUCAAGUUACAUAUCAAGAACUGAAAAAAUUAUAAGGCAAUCAAAUGAAACAAACCAAGAAAACAACAAUAUUAAAAGAGUUAUGAAAUAUCACCAGAUGAGAUCCAACAGUAAAUUAAGAAACUUUAUACAAUCUUGCUUACCUUAGGGCCAUGUCUGGAGGAGUUCCAAUUGUAGGCCUAGGGCCAAUGUUGAUAGGCACAUGCCCAGAUCUUAAAAACCCUCAAGAUGAACAGUAGCAGCUACUCUAGGCGCUCCUACUGCACAGGCAAAAAACAAGUUAGUCAAUGUUUCUUGGCUAUUGGCUUUGGCUUGGACCUUGGUGGUUAUGUCAAUUUUAGAUAAAUAUGUUAAUAAUCCAAUGACUAUAUUCCAAGAUUGAUGAUAUAUAUGCAAUAUAUCAAUUUGGAAAUGCUGAUAUAAACAUUUAAGGAAUUUAAAUUAGUCAAUUUUCAACAAUCUAGCAUUCAAAAGUGUACAAAAUGAUUAUAACUUGAAAGUUUGAAUAUAAACUGAGGUACAAUAUUCCUAGAGGCUCAAGUCUCCCUAGAACAAGGCAUCACAUCACAUAUUGAUGUGGCCUUAUGUUUGAGGUAAGCACCUUAUCUACUGGCGAGUUCAUCCUUAAUAAGCUUUUUGCAAGAAAAUGGAGACCUAAAAUUACUCUAAUACUUCUUUUCUUGAAUAUUAAAUUUUCUUAAAAGUGUUAUCGAUUAUCAAACAUUUAUAUCAAUGGUGGAAACUAGUUUGCUACCAAAGUGAAGGUCAAAGUCCUAAUUAUCAUUUUGCUAAACAAUGUAAUAUAGUAUUAUACAAUUAUUGCUUUUAAAAGAAAAUUUACAAGCCACCCAGCAAAAUUUAUGAUUAUACCUUUUUCCAACUUCACUCACGCCAUUGAGCUUUAUAAUUUGAUGAAACAAGCCUAAAUCAAAAAACUAUACAAAAAAAAUAAAGAAUCGGAGAAAACAAACCUGUAAGCACUAAAUUUUGUACUUUAAAAGAGGAAAUAGGAUGCCAAUUGUAGGUUUAAUUUAAAGAAACCUUAAAAAAUAUUUUUAAAAUUAUAGGAAAACCCCCGUAGCUUAGAAAAGAUUGGGGCGAACAGUCUACCUUUUGGCGAUGUUCACAUCUUGAGAGGAAUGACUUCUUUCUUAGUAGAUCUGAUGAUGGUGUUGAUCUUUAGGAAGAGAUGAUUAGAAGGCUACGUCGAAUUUUAGUGAGUGAGAGAUAAAGGAACACCCAAAACCUUAAAGCAAAAAAGGAAUUAAUAACUCAAAUAGAUUCCAUUUUUUCCUUAUGACGUGCUUACCUUAGUAAGGUUUUUAUGGCAGUGAUACCAUUUGGAUAAUUAAGUCAUUGAUUUUGAUGGAUCUUUUCCAUUUGAAUUUUUAAUAUAUAAACUUAAUCUUUUUACUUGGGGUAAUAUAUUUGGUAUUUUAGGAUUUACUUUUUAAUAAUAUGCUUUUAGUAGAUGGUUUAACUAUGUCCUAGUGUAAUAAGUAGUCUUGCAUUACAUUAUCUACUAUGGAGUAGGAGUGUGUUGCUUGUUCAAGGGAUGUAUGGGAAGUUGUUUAUUUGAUGAUAUACUUUCAACACUUAGAGUCACGACUUGAGCUAAUAAGUUUAUCAAGAUCUAAGCAUUGAUGGUGUUGCUACUCUAUUGUAUGCAAGGAUUCAAUUAGUCACAUUGUAGGACAAAACACUUAUAGACAAUUGAUUCUACUACAUUCAAGAUAUUGUUGCUUAAGGGGAGGUAGAGUCAAAACAAGUAGACAAUUGAUACAACUACACACACAACAUAGAGACAAAACACAUGAAUAAUACUAUGGUUGAAUAAAUUAAUUGGAUGAUGAGAUGAUAAUUAUUUUGUCAUCAACAUAGUGAACAACAUAAAUUAAAAUCUUGAAAUGUCACCUUAGCCAACCUAGUAGAAAUGAUUCAUCAAAAUAUUUGAAUGUGAGAUCUUAAAUUGGUGUUUGACCAAUAAAUAUGGUAAUAAACAUAUAUUAAGUAUAUAUGAAGUGACCAAGCUAAGAUUUGUAUCAUGUUAUUGUAGGGAAUCCCGAAUCUCUUUGUUCCUUAUCCUAUGAUUAGGCUAGGUACAUGCGAAUCUUUCUAAGUUUUUCUAAAUCGUAUGAACAAUGGGAAAAUUAUGUUUUAAAAUAAUAACAAGAUUUAGAAUUUGCAUUAGAAAACAUUACCUUAGAUUUGGAUGUUCCCAAAUCUAAUUCACGUAGUAAAGGAGAAGAUCGAAGUUUUCAGAGGUCUUGAACACCCAAGAUCUUCCACCAGAUGACUUUUCCUUGAUUUUAGAUCUUAAUUGGUGAGAAGGAAGGAAGACUAAAAAGGCUAUGGUUCUCUCUCUCUUUGAAUAGUGAAAGAUGGCUCACUUCAAAAAAGUAAUGAAAACCUUAUCAUUUAAGGGGUAUUUAUAGGGUUCCCUAAUUGGGUGUAAGUGACUUAAGCAUACUAAAGGCUUGAAUCAUUUAAUUUCACUCAAAAUGAGUCUUAAUUGAUUAAUUAACCUAACGUAGUUAUCUAAUUAAUUAAUUAGCUAAAUCUGGAGACUUUGUUCACUUACCCCUAUGCAACCUUGCAUAGUUACCAAAACACCUUUAUACGCAAAAGUGAACCAAGAGUUGUGUCAUCAAGGUAUAUGAGCUUAGGUGGAGACCAUUGAGACCUAUAGGACAGUACUAGCUACCCCAAAAUCUAAUUUUGAAGUUGAUUUAACGUUCCACUAUAGAGAAUCAAUUGCACUAUAAUACCUUAUGUAAAUAACAAUGAGAUGCUAAGUGGUCGAGCCCAUGACUUAUUAUCCAUUGCAUUCAAUCUCCCUAUGAACUGGUGUUUGUAGUCUAAUAAGGUCAAAACUAUCAACCUUUCAAGACUACCUCUACUAUCUUUGAAUUACAAAUCCUCUUAUUAUGUAUUUAAUUGAUAUAUCUUAACUCUCCAAGAGUCUAUGUCAAGUUCCAUUUAAGAAACUACUAUGACCAUAGUUUACAUGAACAUACCUCCUUAGGAUCACUUAAGGGGACACUCUAUCUCAAUCCUCUUAGAUUUCAUGGUACUUCUAUUACAAAUACUCAUUGUUAUAGACUUGCAUCAAUAGUGAACCAAUCCAUAAGGAACAUAUGAUUAGCUUACGAUUUCAUUAGUAGGUCAAAGUCACUACUAACUUUAACACAAAUUCUAUAUUCUCUCAAGGUUAAGAGAUAAAACAAUGAAGCAACUUGGUGAAAUCAUGACUAUUUGAUAGCUUUAUGUCAUAAUUCACCAUAAGUCUUGUCUGAUGUGUAACCAUACACAUUAGUAUACUCACCAUGGAAAACCCAUCCUGAUAACCAAGACCAACCAUUCCUCUAAUUAUGAAGUAGCGUACUAUAACCUCUAAUGGGUUACUUAGGCCUAUGAAUCGGUUGUGAACAAGUCAUCUACUUACAAUGAAUCCAUUUCUUGAAUUUUUUUUUGCAACUCUUAAUGCACUCAAGUCCUGUACAAUACAAGAUAUGUAUAUCAAAAUGCUUACAAGGUAUAAUGUAUAGGAUUAGGAUAAAUAAAAGUGAACUAAAAAUUUAUUAAUAAAUAAUAAAAUUUUAAAUUUAUUACAUCAUAUCAUGCUUUUAUGAAACCUUUAAAAUACUAAGAGCACCCUUUCAUAAUCAUGAAUUUAACUUUAGUUUCAACUUCUAUCAAAGGCUAAAUGAGAAAAGCUAUCAUAGAGGAGGCCUCAGCCAAUGGGUAAGAUGCACUGUUAUACCAAACAAUAAGUGGAAAAUGAAAUUUUAUUAAUACUUGAGACAAAGGAAGAUUUUACACUCAAACCAAGCAUUUAUUUAUAAUGAAGUGCAGUCUCCAUACGCACAUGUGGACUUAUUGGAAAAUCAUACAAAUUAUUGAAGGACGACCUUAGCUAGGCUAACAGUCUCCUAAAUAGGCCAUCUUUUAUAUGUCUUUGCAUUCAUCCAUCUCCUCAUUGUCUUUGAUUUUAGAUGGUGAGGAUGUGAAAGUAACAGGAAGCGGUGGACGAUUGUUCACAGUGAGGCUUAGCACAUCAGCUCUCGAAUAAUGUCCUACCACAUCGAACUGGAACUUUGCUUUAGGAAUCUCUCCACGAACAUCUACAUAUCAAGUGAUCAUAAAAAUAUUUCAUCAGUCUAUGAUAAAUAUCAUAGAAUAUCAAGUCUUCGAGAAAACUAAGUUUGCAGUCCUCUUAAACCUAAAGAAUCGACUCAUUUGUCUUAUUUGCAUACUGAAAUAUUUGGAUAUAUAACUGGAGAAGUUAGGGCCAUACCAAGAUCAGCUGUGAAGAGGCCUUCUCCUUCAUAAUUCGGUCCUGUUAGAAUUUCCCCAUGGGUCGAAAUGAUGACACUACCUCCAGCCCAAACAAUAGAAUCUGGAGUGACAUCUUCUUCUGUAGGACUGUAAAGAUACUCAGGUGGAGGUGGGUAAUCUUUCCUUUUCCAUUUUUAAAAAUAAUAAAAGCAAAGGUGUUUCAAAACAAUACCUCAUUUGCUCAAUUAAUUAUCACAUUUCCUAAGUACAAAAGUAGGCAAGUGAAUUUUUGCUCAAGUUACAAUAAUGCUCCAAAUCCUUAUCCAAGACUUUGAUCCUAUUUCACAAUUGUUUUUUAAAACAGUUUUUUUCUUGGGAGAAUUACCCAAAGGGGUGGGUUAGAAAAAAUAAUGACUAUGAAGGCUCACUCUUUUAGAAGACAAUUUUACCCUUUAAUAUGUUUUUUAUAUUAUUUAUAAAUAAAUUGAGAUUGUCAAUGAUGUGGGGCUCAUACAUAAUGAUAAGUACAAGUUGAUAAAUGAUGUGGGACUCAUACAUGAUGAUAAGUACAUGUUGAUAGGCAAUCAACGGUACAUUUUUCAACUUGAAAAAAUUGUUAUCACUUUUGAACAAUUAACUAUUUAAAAAUUUGUUAUUUUUUUUUAAAUUGAGAUUUUUUAAAGAACCUUAUAAAAAAAAUAAUUUUUAAUAUCUCAUAAAUAAAAACCAUAUCCUAAAGUUAUUAUAUCAUUUUAUAUAUAAAACAUACAAUUAAAAACUUUGUUAUCAUAAUAUAAUAAAUAAUUAUUUUUUACGAGCACUCAUCAAUUGAAUAAUAUAUAAAUAUUCAAUUGACUAACACACACCUAUUAAAUGGAAUAACUCACAAUUAUUCAUUGGGUAAUAUAGCACGUGAAAAAAUUAAAUAAAAAUAAAUUACAUUAUGUUAUAAUAUAUUGUAAUGAUAGUGUAUUUAUAUUGUAAGUAUAAUGCAUUUAUGUCGUACCUAUAUUUUAUUAUAAAAGUAAUAAUUUUAAAAAUGUUUAUUCAUACCCUAUUGGUAUUAACACAUCGUAUUAAUAUAUUAACAACAUUUAUUUAGUGUUUUGAAAUUAUUUAAUAAUUUUUGUAUAUAUAUAUAUAUAAACUACGUGAAUUCAAAUUAGUAUUUCAUUUGAUUUCAGAAAUUAUUUAUGAUAUAGGUAUGUUGUGAAAUAUGGUAUGAUCAUACAAAGUUACCAUUUUCAUAAAAAAAUUCAUAAAUUUCUUAAUUAGGUUUUAUUGUAAUGUAUUGUAAUGUAAGUGUAUUUAUAUUGUAAUUAUAACAUAUUUUUGUUGUACUUGUAUUGUAUAAUAAAAGUAAUAAUCUUAAGGAUCACCUUUUAUACCUUAUUAAUAUUCAACAUAUCAAAUAUAUUAACAUCAUCCACUCGAUACAUUGAGAAAAAAAAUUUAUAUAAAAAUUUAAAUAAAAAAAAACACUAUGCAAAGGAAAAAAAAUCAUAUAAAUUUUUUUAAAUUAUUUUAUUAUAAAAAUAAAAAAUGAUUAAACAUUUUCUAUCAUUUUCUUAUUAUUUUUAGAGAAUUUGAAUGAAAAAUUAAACAUUUUAUCUUCCUUAAAUUUAAUACAAAAACAUAAUUUAUCAAUUUAAACUUAUAAUAUAUAUAUAUAUAUAUAUGAAAAAAUCAUCAUUUUUAUUAUAUAAUUAUAAAACUUAUUUUUUUCUUCAUAAAAUUAAAAAUUAGAAUAAAAAUAAAAAAAGGUAAAAAAACAAUAAAUGAUAUUUUGAAAAUAUUUUUUAAAAGUAUUUUUGUUUUAAAUAGUAAAUUUAAAUAACAAAUUAUAUAUAAUUGUAAGGGUUAAACCCAAAAUUUUGAUUUAAAAUUUAAAUAUCAAUAAUUACAAUAAAUGUGGGACCCAUGUACCAUAAAUGUAUUAACAAAUAAAGUGAAGUGCUUUAAAUGUUUUGAAUUUUAAAAGUUUUAGUUAAAGGACAGUUUUGGUAUAUUAAGCUUACUAAAGUCCUCCCCAAUAAUUAUUAAAAGAUACCACCCUUUCUAGUAAUUGUUUUGCCCAGCCUACCCUUUUGGAUAAUUCUCCCUUUUUUCUUCUCUACAACAAAAAAAAAAAAUGUGUUUGAGAAUUGGAAAAUAAGGUGUUUUAAAAAAAACAUAUGUUAGUUGUUUUUAGUUUUUCUUCAUUAGCUUUUUUGACGGUUGUUUAAAAAAAAUAAUUAUAUAAAUAUGAAGAAUUAUUAAAAAUAUAAUAUUAUAGACAAAAGUUAUUUUAAAAUUAUAUGCACGAGUUUUGGAAAGUCUUGCAAAAUAAGCAAAACUAUAGGAAAAAUAUGCAAAUAAAAAAUUGUAUUAAAAUCAUCAAGGGCGCACAAUAUUUGUGGAAAAAUAUUCUUUGCCGAAGAAUAUUUUUUAAAGAUCAAUUGAAAGCCUAAAGCAGCUUUUUCCCAAUUGAAUUUAUUGAAUGGUGAAGAACACGUGUGUUGCAAUUUUUUGGAUUUGUAGAGCGUAUUUUAUAAAGCUUUUUUCUCUUUGUGAACCUUCUUUUCAUAUGUGAAAUUGUUUUAUUUUUUUUUAUCAUUUUCAUUGAAGGAAGUUGCUGAUAUUUACAGAUAAAAUUAAAAAAAUUAAUUUUAGAAUUUCUAAGAUUUGAUUACUUAAUUAAAAAAAAAAAAUUGGUUUCUUGAUUUUAGCAACUUGUCUUCUUCAUUUAAGGAAGUUUGCUAACAAGAGCAUAUUUACUUCUCAUUUUCUUUUGACUUCAAUUGGAAGACUUGUUUCAUUUGUUUACAAAAUUUGCCAACAAGAAAAUAUUUAUUUCUAAUUCUCUUUUGAUUUCAAUUGUUUGAUUUGAUUUGAUUUUGCAAGACUUUAUUUUAUAGCCUUCCAAAUUUCGCUACAUGUCAUUUUUUGAAUUGAAUGCCACGUGUUCAAUAUAUAUGACUCGUCACUUAUUAAGCCCAAAUUUUGUUGAUCUAAGGAGUUACAAUUUUGAAGACUAAUUUGGUAGUAUUUUAAUCCACUAAAAUUUUUUAUGUCUACAAAUGCCCCCUCUUCAAAACAGAUCACACACAUGCAUUAUCAUGUAUAAGAAGUGAGUCUUGAAGUUAGCCUUUUGAAUCUUCAAUAUCCUUCUUUGAUUUUUUUUUUUCGAAGAAAUAUUUAAAUAGGAAAUUUCCUAUUCAAAAUACUUUUCUUCAACUUUUUUCGAACACUGUUUUAUUUAUUUAUUUAUUUUUCUACCUUGUAUCAAAGAAAAACCUUGUGUUAAUGGGAAAGCUUCUUAUUUGAACAUCUAUUUUCUUUUCUCAUGGUAUUUUCACUUCCAAUUUGUCAUCCUACAAGAAGUCCUUCACCCUAGCUGGUUCAAUUGCAUCUUAGACUUGGUCACAUGCCUUUAACUUGUAAUUCUUCCUCCACUUUCUUUUUUUUUGUUUAAAAAAUAGUACAAUAUAUUUGAGCAAGACCAUAAGCAAGAGAAUAGAGGUGGUGAAUGGAGCACCAACUAACCUUAGGGCAAGAUCUUGAGCAAGAGAAGUAAGGUGGAGAGUAGAGCACAAACUUCUCUAAAGCAUGGUAGGCAUACCGUCAUGGAGUUGUCUUCUGCAUGGAGCAUGGUAGGGUAUUAUAUAUAUGAUAGGGUGGGCCAUCAUGUAACAAUGAAGAACAACAAUCCAUGGUGUACAAUUGGGAACAACAAUUCAUGCUAUCAAGCUUCAACCUUUUGUUAUUUUUUGUUUUUUUUUUAAUCCCUAUCUCUACCCCCGACUCCAAUUUUUUUUUCAAGUUUCUAGAUUCCUUUUUAUUCUUUCUCAUUUUAUUUUUUUCAACUCCUUUUUUUUUCCUCCCUUUUUAACCAUUGUUUUUAAGGAAGAAAUAGAUUCACCAUCCCUUACCACGAGGUCAAUCUCCAUCGCUUGCAAAGACAAAUUUGCUUUUUGGUGUUUUUUUUUCUUCAAAAAUUAUCUUAACAUUUUAAGAUAUAUAUAUAUAUUUAUAUAUUUAACAAACUUAAAUAUCCAUAAUAAAAUAAAUAUUUAAGGCUCUUGACUUAUUUAAAUUGGCUUGACUUGGAUACUUAGUGGAACCAUACUUAACACCCAUGUAGAUGAGCUAUAAUCUUGAUGGCAUGUUGUGUUAUAUUUUCGACACUUAAUGUGGCUUAAGAGUUAAAGUCUUCACUCAUGAAAAUUAGCUUGGUUUGGAUGCACAAUGGUCUCUAACUUCUUAAUGCUUAAUUAAACUUGGAACCAUAUUUAACACCCAUGUAGACAAGUCAUAAUCAUGACAUAGAGCACUAUUUUAUUUUAACUCUUAAUAUGACUUAAAUAUUAAAGUCUUCACUCAUACAAAUUAACUUGGGUUAGAUGCACAAUGGUGUUCAACUUGGUAAUAGUUAAUUAAAAUUGAAACAUUUAACACCCAUGUAAACAAGUCAUAACUUUGACAUGGAACAAUGUCGUAUUUUUAGCUUAAUGUCGCUUAAGUAUUAAAGUCUUCACUGAUGUAAAUUAGCUUGUCUCAGAUGCAUAAUAGCAUUCAACUUUUUAACACUUAAUUUAAAUUCAGACCAUAUUGAAAACCCAUGUGGACAAGACAUAAUGAGAAAAUAAAGGGCUAAUCUAAAUAGAUAAAAAUACCCAACAGGGAAGGAGGGGGGUGAAAUGGAGUUUAAAAAAAAAAAAAUUAAACACAAUAAAAUUAAGUACAAGAAGCACAAAUAUAAAGAGAUAAGUUAUAGAAAGCAAACUCAGAUUUAUGGUGGUUUGACACUUCCUUGCCUACAUCCACUCUCCUCAAGCUCCUAACCGAGUGAGGGUUCCACAUAUACUUAAAGCUUCAACCAAACUUCUAAUCACUUUUUACACUUAGAUUUUGGCUCCAAUGGGCUCUUACACAUUCGCUUCAAGUCUCUACUCACUUGAAGGUUUUAACACUCAAUUAACAAGUUUGAAACUUUCAACCUAGCUCAACAAUGGCUCAAAUACAACUCAAGGCUAGGAUGAAUCACAAAGGUGCAUUAAAGAAUAUUCAAAUGAAGAUUUAAUGCACUAAGAAAAGAAUGAGAGCUUUUAUGGCAAGAACAAGUAGGUAAACAAAUCAAUGUAGGUGUUCUCUUACUCAUAAAUGAAGUGAAAUUCUCAAUUUAUAGGUUUCUAAUCUCAGAAGCCAAAAAACCAAAAAGUAACCUCAAUCGAUUGAGUUGGGGGUUGACCGGUUCACUAGCCGUUAGAGCAUUAAAUGUGUGGCAGGUGAUCGUUACCCUCGACCGGACCUCGACUGGGAAGGCAAAUCUCUCGACUAGGAAAGAAAGGUUAUUGGAAGAGAAAGAAGGUUUUUUGCAUCUUUUGACCAGACCUCAACCGGGAAGGAGCAAUCGAUCAACCAGUACCCUAGCCAGUUGAGCUGGUUGGCUAGUGCCUCUACCGAUUCACCAUUUUUUACUCGAAAACCUAUCUUUUUCUGGUCUUUUUUUGCUUCUAACACUUAAACAAGGUCUUUAGGUAAAAUAAUAUGUCAAUUUUGAAACGUUUUGCCUAAGGUUCAUUUGAUAGAACUCGGAUUUUGAUGGAAAUGUGACUUGAAUGCAUAAACUGAGUUUUCAAAGAUGCAUGAAAUGAUAUGAAAAUCCUAAGUACACCCAUGCAUUCAUUUUACAUAGUUUUCUAUGAUUAAAAAGUAUUUCAAAAGUCUUGAUCUUGCAUCCAUUAGGUCAUUUGAUGAAUUUCCAAAUUAAUAUAUGAAAUUCUUUAUAAUUCAAACCAUUUAGUAACUUAACCAUGGUUUGUUAUCAUCAAAACAUGAUUAGGAGAACCCUUGGGCUAACACAUAACAUUGUAGCAAUGUUAUAUUUUUGACACUUAAUGCAGUUUAAGUUCUGAAAUCUUCAUUUCUAUGAAUUGGUUCGCCUUGGAUGCAUAGUGGUGUCUAAAUUAUAAUACUUAAUUAAAAUUGAAACCAUAUUUAACACUCAUGUAGACAAGUCAUAACUUUGACAUGGAGUGGCAUUGCAUUUUCGACACUUAAUGCGACUUAGGUGCUAAAGUUUUCACUCAUGAGAGUUGGUAUGGGUUGGAUGCAUUGUGGUGUCCAACUUUUUAACACUUAAUUAAAAUUGGAACCAUAUUUAACACUAUCUAGAUAAGUCAUAACCUUGACGUGAAGCGAUAUUGUAUUUUCAACACUUAAUGCAACUUAGGUGCUAAAGUCUUCACCCAUGCAAAUUAGUUCAUCUUGAAUGUACAAUGGUGUCCCAUUUUUUAACAUAUAAUUAAAAUUGGAACCAAAUUUGACACUUAUGUAGACUAGUCUAGCCAUGAUGUAAAGUAGUGUUCUAUUUUUAAAACUUAAUGCAGCUUCAAUGGUAAAGUUUUUACUCAUGUGAAUUGGCUUGAUUUGGAUGCACAAUGAUGCCUAACUUUUUAACAUUUUAUUAAAUUUGGUAUCAUAUUUAACACCUAUGUAGACAAGUCAUAACCUUAAUGUAGAGGUGCAGUAAUAUUUUUGGUACUUAAUGUCGCUUAAGUGCUAAAGUCUUCACUCAUUUGAAUUUUUUGGUUGGGACGAACAAAGGUCUCUAACAUUUGAGCAUUUAAUUAAAAUCAGAAUCAUAUUUAACACUCAUGUAAAAAAGUCAUAACCUUGACACAUAGUAAUAUGCAAUGUUUUAACAUUUAAUACAACUUAAGUGCUAAAGUUUUCACUCAUGUGAAUUGGCUUGGCUUGGAUGCAUAAUGGUGUCUAACAUUUUAACACUUAAAUUAAAAUUAGAGUUAUAUUUAAUAAUCAUGUAGACAAGUCAUAACCUUGACGAGAAGCAGUAUUGUAAUUUUGACACUUCAUGUUGCUUAAAUGCUAAAGGCUUCACUCAUGCAUAUUGACUUAGCUUGGAUGAACAAUGGUAGCUAACUUUUUAACACUUUAUCAAAUUUGGAAUUAUGGUUAGCAUCCAUGUAGAAGAGUAAUAAACUUGAUGCAGAGUGAUGUUAUAUUUUUGGUACUUAAUAUAGCUUAAAUACUAAAAUCUUCACUUCUAAGAAUUAACUUGGCUUGGAUGCAUAGUGGUGUCCUACUUUUUAACACUUAAUUGAAAGUGAAAUCAUAUUUAACAUCCAUUGUAUACUAGUCAUAAACUUGAUAUAGAGCAGUGUGCAAUUUUUUAAUAUUUAAUGCAACUUAGGUGUUAAAGUCUUUACUCAUAUGAAUUAACUAAACUUAGAUGCACAUUCGUUUCCAACUUUUUAAUACCUAAUUAAAAUUAAAACCAUAUUUAAAAACCAUGUAGACAAAGACAUAAUCUUAACAUGGAGCAGUGUAUAACUCUUAGCACUUAAUUAAAAUUGGGAUUACACUUCAUAACCACAUAUUCCUCCUCCUAUUUUUCAAUUUUUUCUUGUGGUGAUGAUUGAACUCAACUAGUUUGUCCAAGUUACCCACAUACCCUUAACAGAGAAGAGAUCAAGUCAAACCUAGUUCAAAGUAUUUUUUUUUAAUAUCUAACUUUUGCCAAGGCUAAUGAUUUUAAUCUUGAAAGCUUGUCUUAACUUUUGACUAUAUAUGUAGUGUUUUCAAGUUUCAAUUUAGCGGCCUAUGAAUUGUACAAAUUGAAAAUGACUUCACUUAUGUGUAAAAAAUAAUAAAAGAUAUUCAUUCAUAGUUUUAGGGCAAUGAAAAGUAAUCGAUCCUUUUUUGCAUUAUUAUUAUUAUUGUUGUUGUUGUUGUUAUAAUUAUUAUAUUACCUUAGAAAAAGACCUUUUCCAAUUAAUCUUUUAUAUAUAUAUAUAAUCUUUUAUACAUGAUUUUUCUUAGUUUUCAUAGUAUUUUUAAAUUUAAUAAUUUUUUUUUUUAUAAAAAAAUAUCUAUACUUUCGGUCAAUGUCUCAAAUGUCUCAAAUUUUAUUACGUACGUGCUCCAGGAAGUCUCAAGUUGUAGGCUUGUUGCCUACAACUUGAGUUUGAUGAAAAAGCGCAUAAACAAAGACAAAAAAUUUAAUCUACAAGUACUUGGAUUCUAUUUGAAUAUAAAAAGAGCCACUCAUAUGCAUGGAUUAAAUAUAUGCCCCAUGGAUAAGUUGUACUUAGCCAUGGCUGAAGCUUUCCACUAUGACUUAAAGGGAAAAAAAAGAGAGGAGAAUAAUGUCAUUAAAAAACUGAUUGCCGUGUGGCUAUGCCUGCCAGUAGAUGGCUGAAAACUAGUUCUAUUCUUUUGUUUUGGCCUCUACUAAUUAACCAUAAUUGAGAGAUUCAAUGGCAACUAUCGUAUAAACAAUGUUUCAUAAAUUACUUUUAAAUUUUGACAGCAAAGACUCAAAAUGUAAAACCAUAAAAAAUUUGUUCUAUUCCCAAAUUUUUUAAAAUAAAUUUUAAAAUAAUAAAUUAAUGCCCAUGACUGUUUUCACAUCUUAUUCUCAUUUCUAUCAAUGCAAUAAUUGUAAUCAUCUUAUCUAUUAACAUGGCCUAGAGCCAUUUCAGCUAAGAGUAGUCUUUCCUUAGCAUUUCCGGUCCAAAGCUUCCAUUUCUUUAGGCCUAGAGGCAUUUUCAGUCCAGAGCUGCUGUUUCUUUCGGCCUAUAACCAUUUUCAGCCUGAAGCUGCCUUUCUUUAGCAUUUUCAGCCCAGAGCUACCUUUCCUUGGCAUAUCAGCCAAAAGCUUCUAUUUCUUUAGGCCUGGAGCCAUUUCAACACAACAUUGGUUUCUUUGGCCGGGCCUUGAGCCCUUUUCAACCCAGAACUGUCAUUUCUUCUAAAUAACUUCUCUUUUGAAAAACUUCAAUUUGCCCUUUUCAAGAAGCUGGUAAAAAUCUUCUAUUUAGCAUUUCGACAGUGAAUCGAAUUCACAUAGAAAAUAAAAAGGAAAAAAAAAGUCUUGAUGGCAUAAACUAGGACAUGACCGGGAUAGUUUGAAAUACAUAAUUUUCUCCAUUCAAAUGCAAAACAUAUUAAAAGAACAUUUGGCACGAUUUUAUGAAGCGAUUCUAUCUUUUCUAAUACUUCAAAGAUAAAUUUUUUUGAAGUAUUAGAAAAAUUAGAAAUAUUUCUUAAAAUCACUACCCUUAAUUAUAUUUAGAUACUUUAACCAUUUCAAAUGCUACAUGUUUCCUUCUACAUUUCCUCUUUAUUUUGUUUUUCUUUUACAUUUUUCCUCAAAUUUUUUAAAAACCAAACAUAGCCUAAAAGAAAAGAUAAUUUUACUUAUUUUGAAAGUUCUUUAUAUAUAUAGUUUAUAUGGAAACUUGUUUCAUGUUAAUUUAAUAAAGCAUUUAUAAUAUUGAGAUCGCUCUUUCAUAAUCAUAAAUUAACCUUUAGUUUCAACUUCUACAAGAGGCUAAAUGAAAAAAGCUAUCACAGAGGAGGCCUCAGCCAAUGAGUCAGAUGCACUGUUGUACCAAACAAUAGGUGGAAAAUACAAUUUUAUUAAGACUCUGAGACAACAAAAAUAAAAAUAAAUAAAGGAUGAUUUUACACUCAAAACAAGGAUUUAUUUAUAAUGAAGUAGAGUCUCCAUAUGCACAUAUGACUGCAUUUACAGCAUAAACAAAGACAAGGAAAUUAACAAAUGUUGAACUUAUUGGAAAAUCAUACAAAUUAUUGAAGGAGGACCUUAGCUAAGCUAACUGUCUCCUAAAUUGCCCAUCUUUUAUAUAUCUUUGCAUUCAUCCGUCUCAUCAUCGUCUUUGAUUUUAGAUGGUGAGGAUGUGAAAGUAACAGGAAGCAGUGGACGAUUGUUCACAGUGAGGCUUAGCACAUCAGCUCUCGAAUAAUGUCCUACCACAUCAAACUGGAACUUUGCUUUAGGAAUCUCUCCACGAACAUCUGCAUAUCAAGUGAUCAUAAAAAUAUUUCAUCAGUCCAUGAUAAAUAUCAUAGAAUAUCAAGUCUUCAAUAAAACUAAGUUUGCAGUCCUCUUAAACCUAAAGAAUUGACUCAUUUGCCUUAUCUCCAUACUGAAAUAUUUGGAUAUACAAUUGGAGAAGUUAGAGCCAUACCAAGAUCAGCUGUGAAGAGGCCUUCUCCUUCAUAAUUCGGUCCUGCUAGAAUUUCGCCAUGGGGCGAAAUGAUGACACUACCUCCAGCCCAAACAAUAGAAUCUGGAGUGACAUCUUCUUCUGUAGGACUGUAAAGAUACUCAGGUGGAGGUGGGUAAUCUUUCCUCCGACAGAACUGGAUGGGUGAAAGAACAUAGCAUCCACCCUCCAUAGCGAUGUGUCUCAUUGUAGCUACCCAUGUAUCCCCGGAAUCGGCAGUAGGAGCACAAUAUAUCUCAAUUCCUAUAUAGAAUCGGUGUUUUGUGAUCAAUCAAUCCCAUAUCAGAGCCAUAAUGUAUUUCAAGCCUAUUUAGGCUAAAACCCUAAUAACUUAAAAAAGAGUACUGAAGUAUUUCAAGCCAAACCAUACUAGUUAGUGAAGAGAAAGAAAUGGUAAAAUAUAUACCUUUGCCAUACAUUGCUGUCCUCAGAAGCGGCAUUCUAUUUUCCCAACAAAUGACUGAACCAAGUUUCCAUAUGGAGUGUCAUAAACUGGAGUUGUCGAGCAAUCUCCGAAACCCCAGACGAGCCGCUCCCAAUAUGUUGGCAUGAGUUUCCUAUGUUUUCCAAGGUAAUUACCUUCAGGAUCAAAGAAGAGAACAGUGCAAUACAAUGUGUAUCCAUCUCUCUCAACAACACCUAUCACCAAGUAGACUUUGUAUUUCGCAGCCAUUGAUGCCAAUCUAUCAACUUCAGGUCCUGAAAAGAUAUUAAGUGGUUGAUUCAUCAAACGUGUCUUGUUUCGAUAAUUUAUUAAGUGGUUCAGUUCUUUAGCUAUUUAAGGGAGAGAGGUAACUGACCCGGCACAUUGAUGGCAGAAGCAUGGUACUUGCGGAAACUUUCUUUCCCUCUUGGCGACUGGUGGGCGAAGUUGUAUCCACGGGGAUACCCACCGAUAAAUGAUUCAGGAAACACAACCAGUUGGGAUCCCAGUGCAGCUGCUUCUUUCAAAAACCUCUCAGCCUUAUCUGCUCCCAAAAUCACAUUGCAAGAAUUAAUAAUUCACGACUUAGAAAGUAAAUUAAUUGGUUGAAUAGAGAGAAUCAAAGUUAACCUCCAGAUAUCCCAAAUGACUUUUUGGUUGCUGAGAAAACUCAUGGAAAAAGAGACCUAGAUAAAACUCGGAACUUUCAUAUUUUCAGCUGUUUUGUAACUAAGAAAAGAGAAACCACCUCAACCCAACUCAUCCAAGUAAUUAUUGUACAAGCAGUAAUUCCUUGAUUGGCAGCUGAAAAUAUGUUCAAGCUUCAAUCAUCCUUUUCUUUCCUUCAGUUUCUCAGCAACCAAUCAACUCACAGAUUCUCUUACAGAAGUUGCAGAAUUGAGAGAAAUGGUACGUUACCUAGAGUGGCAGGAGUAUCAUAAAAGAUACUAGAAGCUUGAACAACGGUGGCUCUAACAGUUGAAGACAUUGCAGAAAUCGUAUGCUUUUUCGUUGCCCUUCUGUUUGAGGAUUCCUCACACAGCGUUCAGUAUAUAUAUAUAGCCCAAAAGGUUCUUCUGCCAUUACUUGAACAAGACGAAAAGGCUGCGAAAAGUCUGCCUUGGUUUUCCAUAUUGAUUUAAGUUAUCCGCAGACAUUGUGGACCAGCCACAUGACUUAAAACAAAGGGUUGUUCUACGGUACCCACUCUUCAUUUUGGGGGUACCUACCCACAUUUGACCCCAAUAAAAAUAUGACUUGUGUAAAGUACAUAUCAUUAAAAAAUUUAUAAAAACUUAUCAAACCGGUAAAGAUGACUUGUUGGUGAGAAAUAAUCACAUGCAUUUCAUAUAUAUCUAUAUAUUACAAUUUUUUAUAAUUUAUUAUUAAAUAUCAAAUAUAAUUUGUUAUUUAAUGCAUUACCUAACUCUAUCUAAAAAACGAAAAUCUUACCUACUGCUCUUAUACUCUCUCAUUUCAAGAUCAAGUUCAAAACUUUUUUAGAGAGAAAAUUUAAAAUUUGUAUUAUAUGAAGAAGAUGAAGGAUUUCAAGUGAUUACAAGUGUCUAAGGUAAUAUUUGAUAUUUUUUUUAUCCAAAUAUAAUUGUUGUAGGAAGAAAUGUGAUGUUAAAUAACGAUUUUAGAAUUUUUUAUGAGUUUAUUAUAAAAUUUUGUUAUCAAAUUGUUAUUAAUAUUUUUAUAUAAUUUUUUUUUUUUGUUCAUAGAUUAAAUUUGAAGAUGAAGCUUUAUAUGUCUUGAAGGAUGUCAAGUGAUUACAAGUGUUAAAAGGUAACAUUUGAUUUAUUUUUUUCCAUUUACAUAUAACUAUUGUAGGUAGAAAUGUCAUGUUAAAUGACAUUUAAAUAUGUAAUGAUUUAUAAUAUCUAGAUUUUUUAAUUUUUUUUUGAGUUAUUUUUAAUCAAAUUGAGAGCAUUUAGUAAUUUGUUAUGAAAUUGUCAUCAAUAUUUUGUAAGAGAGGGUACGAACUUUGUAAGAGAGGGUACGAACUUUGUAAGAGAGGCUACGAACUUUAUAAGAGAUGGUACGAACUUUCUAAGAGAGGGUACGAACUUACUAAGAUCGGGUACGAACUUUCUAAGAUCGGGUACGAACUUUCUAAGGGAGGGUACGAACUUUCUAAGAGAGGGUACGAACUUUCUAAGAGAGGGUACCAACUUUCUAAGAGAUGGUACGAACUUUCUAAGAGAGGGUACGAACUUUCUAAGGGAGGGUACGAACUUUCUAAGGGAGGGUAUGAACUUUCUAAGGGAGGGUACGAACUUUCUAAGGGUGGGUACGAACUUUCUAAGAGAGGGUACGAACUUUCUAAGAGUGGGUACGAACUUUCUAAAAGAGGGUACGAACUUUCUAAGAGAUGGUACAAAAUUUCUAAGAGAGAGUACGAAAUUUCUAAGAGAGGGUACGAACUUUCUAUAAAAAAAAAAAAAAAAUACGAACUUUCUAAGAGAGGGUACGAACUUUCUAUGAGUGGGUAUGAACUUUCUAUGAGUGGGUACAAACUUUCUAAGACAUGGUACAAACUUUCUAAGACAGGGUACGAACUUUCUAAGAGAUGGUAUGAACUUUCUAAGGGAGGGUACGAACUUUCUAAGGGAGGGUACGAACUUUCUAAGGGUGGAUACAAACUUUCUAAGAUAGGGUACGGACUUUCUAAGAGAUGAUACGAACUUUCUAAGAGAGGGUACGAACUUUCUAAGAGAGGGUACGAACUUUCUAAGAGAGGGUACGAACUUUCUAAGAUAGAGGGUACGAACUUUCCAAGAGAUGGUACGAACUUUCUAAGAGAGGGUACGAACUUUCUAAGAGUGGGUACGAACUUUCUAAGAGUGGGUACGAACUUUCUAAGAGAGGGUACAGACUUUCUAAGACCGGGUACGAAAUUUCUAAGAGAGGGUACGAACUUUCUAAGAGUGGGUACGAACUUUCUAAGAGUAGGUACGAACUUUCUAAGAGAGGGUAUGAACUUUCUAAGAAUGGGUACGAACUAGAUAAUGUAAUUUUCUAACUACUCUAUCUUUUAUAUUUCAGUUUCUUCAUAGAUACGAUGGACAAAGGAAAAGGAAAGGAAUUUAUCAUUGAUUUGAACGAUGAAGACUUUGAUUACCAAUAUGAUAGCAUUGUUAAAACUGAGUCCGAUGAAGAGGCCAUUCUAGUUUCGGACAAGAUUUUUAAUGAUUUAACUGUUGAAGAUGUAUGGAAUAUGGAGUUUAGCUUAGUAGAGGAGGCAGAAGAAUUUUAUAAUUUAUUUGCUAAAGUUACCGGAUUCAGUGUUAGAAAGGAUGAUGUGAAACGAGAUAAAAAUCAAAAUAUAGUAUCUCGUAAGUGGGUUUGUUCGAAAGAAGGAUAUCGACAUAGAGUGUGUUUAGAGAAUGAAAAUCGAAAACGAGAACCUAAGGCAGUAACUCGAGUUGGUUGUGAGGCAACAUUUUGGAUUGUGUUUAACAAACAAAUGAACAAGUGGGUUGUGAAAGAGUUUAUGGCUGAUCAUAAUCAUCCUUUGGUGGGACAAAAAAAUGUCCAAUUCCUUUGAUCCCAUAGGGUCAUUAAAAAUGCAGAUAAAGCUCAAUUGAAUGCAAUGCGAGGUGUUGGCAUGGGAACUAGCCAAAUUAUGGAUUACAUGGUGCAACAAUCAGGUGGAUAUAACAAUGUUGGCUUCACAAAAAAAGAUCUAUAUAACCAUGUUGAUGCUGAUCGUAGAGUUCAUCUAAGAGAUGGUGAUGCAGAGGGUGCUUUGGCUUAUUUGUGUGGAAAGUCUGAAAUGGAUCCAUCAUUUUAUUACAAGUACAAUGUUAAUGAAGACAACCAUCUAGCAAACCUGUUUUGGGCAAAUUCUACUAGUAAAUUGGAUUACGGUUGUUUUGGAGAUGUGUUAGCAUUUGAUACAACUUAUCGGACUAAUGCUUAUAAAAAACCGUUGGUCAUACUAGUUGGCAUUAACCAUCACCAUCAAACUAUAGUGUUUGGAUGUGCAUUAUUGGUAGAUGAGAGUGUUAGCACUUAUACUUGGGUCUUGGAGACUUUUUUUGGAUGCAAUGAAUAACAAGAAGCCUCUUUCUGUUAUUACUGAUGGGGAUAAAGCAAUGCGUAAAGCCAUUAAGAGGAUAUUUCCAGACUCUUGUCAUCGAUUAUGUGCUUGGCAUAUUCAACGCAAUGCAUUCACUAAUGUCCAUGUCAAAGAUUUUACUAAUCAUUUUUCUAAGUGCAUGUUCAUGGAAGGCACCGUUGAAGAAUUUGAAUGUGCAUGGAAUGACAUGUUGGAAAUGUUUAAUCUUCAUGGACAUAAGUGGGUGACAGAUAUAUAUGCUAAGCGUUCUAGAUGGGUAGAGGCUUAUUUAAGGGGGCAUUUCUUUGCUACUAUGAAAAACACACAAAGGUGUGAGAGCAUGAAUGCAUACUUGAAUCGUUUCCUUAAAACUCAUUUGAAGCUGUUUGAGUUUGUCAAGCAUUUUGAUAGAGCACUCUCACGUAUUCGUCAUAAUGAGGCAAAGGCAAAGUUUGAGACACACCAUUCUUCAGCUGUUCUAACAACCAAACUCUAUGCACUUGAGAAAUAUGCAGGGAUUGUUUUCACAAGGCAAUCUUUUCUAAAAUUUAGGGAUGAGAUGAAGAAUGCAGAAUUGUUUUUCCCUGUCAGUACAGAAAAUCAUGGAGGUUAUCGUGUCCAUACAUUGACCAAGUUUAGAAGCCCUGACAAGAUUUGGAAAGUAUGUUAUGGUAAUAGUGAUCGGUCUAUGAAAUGUACUUGUAUGAUGUUUGAGUCAGUUGGUUUUCCAUGUCCCCACAUGAUUGUUGUAAUGAAGAUAGAACACCUUGAAGAAAUACCUGAGACUUGUAUUAUGAAAAGGUAGUCUAAGUUAGCAAAGGAAACGGUCCAAGUUCAUCAUGACAAUGAAAGUCAAGGUGAUGCGACUAACAUCAUACGAUAUGGUGCACUCAGCUCUAUGUGCUCACGGAUGUCUUAUUUUGCAUCUCAAUUGGAAAAAGCUUUUAAAGAGGCUAGAUGUGAAAUACAAAGACUCACUUUUCAAAUGGAAGAACUUUGUAAAAAUUCAGCGGAAGAAAGUGAACGAGAAGAUUUGAAAGCUACAAAACACCAUGUUCGAGAUCCUAUCAUUGUGAAGACGAAAGGUAAUCCGGGUAACUUAAAAGACAAAUUUAAGAAACCAAGACAUUGUGGGAAAUGUAAGAAAGUAGGACACAUUGUUCGAAAAUGCCCAGAGUUCGUCAACACUCACAAUGCAUUUAUCAACAUUGAAGAUUCAAUUGAAGAUAUGGUAUGUUCAAACACACAUUCACUAAAUUCAUUAAUUAUUCACUUUAUAGUUAUUUUUAUUUGGUUAAAUUUGUUGAAAUAAAAAAUUAAAUUCUUUAUAUUAAUACAAGGGGACAUGCCUUCAUUACUAAAUCACAACAUGGAAGGUGGAUCAAGACACGAGACAAAUGAAUUUUCUCAAAAUGUAAGUUUAACAUUUUUUAAGUAAUUUUUAUUAUGAUGUGAAAAAUAUUACUUAUUAGAGUAAUUGAAAAAUUAAAUCAUAUUACAGACAACACUUGGCACAUUUCAGAAUGGUCUAGAAACAAGCUUAAAUGAUUCAUAGCUCGGGUUACAUCCACCAAAUUACUUCACAAACCAAGUAAGAGUCAUAGAAUAACUUAUAUACACCACAUAUCAUAUAUCUAUAUAUUGACAGAAGUUCCUAAACAUUUAGUAUUUAAUCAUAUGGAUUUUCUUUCAAAAUAUUAUGUAUAACUGUAAAUAUUUUCAAUGUAGGUCACCAUGAACCACUUUACAUCCGGAAUUUCGGGAGCAAGUUCUACAUAUCAUAACCAAUGAGUUGUACUACAAUGCAAAAAAUUAUGUACAAAAAAAAAUCAACUCUUAAUUGUAUUCUAUACUCUUCUUCUCUUUAUUUUUGCAUGAUUCUGAACUUUAUCUAAUAUUAUAGCUUUCUCACUAUUUUCAUCAUCAAGAAGUAAUUCGAUUGCCAAUUUGUGUCUUAUAGUUGUAGAGUUCCAAUGGGAAGGGGUUGAACUUGAGUCCAUGAAAUCAGAUCUUUGCAUAUGAUUAAUGACAUGGACUCCACAAUCCCACCUAACAAAUAAAAUAAGUAAACAUUUAUCUAGUUAGUACAUAGAAAUAUUAUCUUGAACACAUUAUAUUUGAAGAAACAAUUAUGCUUGCUUACCCAUUGGCUUGCACCUCUACCCAUGUAGGUCUUUCAAUGGGAACACUUGAUAAAUUCUUUAGAUGCCCAUUGAGAUUAAAAAAAUGUGCACACUCUUCAACCUAAUAUUCAUAUCGUUAUAUCUUUUAGCAAAAUAAAACAUGCUAUUUAACAACUAACAUUAAAAAGUAACAAAAUUCAUUAAAAUAUAAGACAUACCACAGUUCUCACAGAUGAAGUUCGCAUGUCAUCCCUUUCUAUUGAUGGUAAUGAAUCCAAUAUAUGAAUAUUAUGUUGAUGAAGAUUUAUAACACACAAAUACCAAUGAUCCGGACAUGUAUCGUGCAUCGGGAUGUAUAUCUAAACAAAACACACAUUUUAGCAUUGAUAAUUAUUUACAACUAUGAUAUGAAUACAACUUCAAAUAUGUACCUUAUUGCAAUCAUUCAUUUCAUCCAUGUGUUUGAUAAUAUGUGUGAACAUCUUGGUAGCAGUUGCCAAUUUUCUACCACCAUGUAAGAUUAUUUGCUAUGCAAAAAAAAAAAAAAAAAAAAAAAAACAUAUAUAUAUCACAAUAUUUAUUAGGUUUAUUUUUUUUCUUUAAUAAGAAAUAUAAUGGAUGAACAUACCGCAAAUGUGGUGGGUAAGUAGCAUCUUGUAGACCGUAUUCCUUUGAAUUUGUUCUCAAAACUAUUAAGUUUGCAUGCAAAUACAUUUAUGAUCUAAAAAUGAAACACAAAAAAGUUAACAAUGUUAAUUAUGUAAUAGAAUUAAUAAGAAUUGGGUUUAUCCUUGUAUUACUCACCACAUCGAGUAAUUCUUGUCUAGGCCCUAAAGUCAAGAAGUCUGCUCGAUUUGCAUGCUCAUAUUGAAAAUUAACAAGAAGUUCACUGCAAAAUAUAAGAUAUUUAAUAAGUAUAACUUUUAAAACAUGACAUACAUAAAGUAUAGUCAAAAUAAUAGGUUUACACACCUUUUGUCCAAUGAAACAUCAAACACAUAAGCAACAACUAGAGACUCAAGUGUACUCAAGGAAUGUGAAUCCUCCACGUUUGGCAAAAUGGACAUGGGGAUUAUCUAUAUUGAAAACAUCUCUAACAAACAUUACUUAUCGUUCACUAUAUUAUUAAGUAUUUAAAAAAUACUACAUCAAUGAAGUAACAUAUUACCUCUAAUAUCUUUUGUGAUCCAACAACUAUGCUUGGGAAUCUCUUAGGCUUUGACAUCUUAUUGGAUUGAUGAAUGUAGGGUGACACCUUGAAUUUACUAGGCUUGCGUUCCAUUGUUGAUCAUGUUUUCUUCAAUUGACAUGGGAGCACCACCAAUGAACUUAGUUGUUCUUCUUGUUUUUCAACAUAUGGAACAUCAACAUUAACCUAUCAUGUAUUUGAACAUUAGUAUAUAUAUAUAUAUAUAUAUAUAGAACUUUGUAAAAAACUAGGUCUUCAUAAUAUGCAAAUACCUUUUCAUCUUGACAUUGAUUGUUGACAAUGGGAGAAACAUGUAACUCCAUGUGACCACAUGAGUCAUUCUCACUCAAUCUCUCUUCUACGACAACAUUGCUCAUAGGAAAAAACAAACGUUUCAAUUCCAUAUAUUUUUCUUCAAAUUCUCUAAAAGUUGAUUCUUUACAACUUUCAUCCAUAUCAGAAACAUUUGUUUGUAGCACAAAUUUUUUCAACUUCUCAAAAGCUUCCUCCAUACCCAUCAAACUUUUUUCUUCAACCUAGUAACAAAUAAAAAUUUCCAAUAUCAUGAAAAAUAAAGUUUGAGAUGAAUAAACUAAUGUAUAUAAAUAUAGUAUAAAAAAGUACCUUAUGCCCUUCUUCUUGUUGUUCAUGAACUUUUGCAUCUUGUUUAUCACCAUCUUCUACAUUUCUCAUAUCAUUAUCUUUAUGAUCACUUGUUCUCUCAUCUUUCUCAACCACCUUCAUUUUUUCAUCAUUUUCAUUUUCCGCACCAUUAUUUUGCUCCAUAUCCACACUUUGCCCAAUUUUUAUAAUCCAUAUCGUGACCUAUAAUUUAUCCAUAAACUUUAUUAUAAUUGCAACAUCACAUAAACAAAUAAGCUUUUCAGUUAGUAAAUGUAUCUUACCUUUGGAUCAUCAUAACCUCCAAGUGUUUUGAUUUUACGUUUCAUCCUAGAGACCUCAUCAUCUCCCCAUUCAUUUAUACGAGGGCUAUAUGCAUUAAAACGUAAGUUCAUACCCUUCUUUGUGGAAAUGUGGUCUAUGUAGAAAAUCUGCAAGAAAUAAAUUCCAAAAUAAUUAUAGAGUUGAAUAUAUCACAAACUCUAUUAUUGUUAAAAAUAUCAUAAUAUAUCAACUUUGUUAAAAAUGUAUUACCAUUAGAAAAAAUAAACAUCCUAAAAUCCCACUGCUUUGUUUCUUGGAUUUAAAGUCGUUUAUGCCUCGUACAAGGAAGAAGAAUACUAUUUGAGCCCAAUUUAUCUUCUUUAUUGAUGCAGUGUCUUGAAGGAGAUGGAGGAAGGAAGGCUUGACACUAACUUUCAUCGUUGGACAUAACAAGGCACCCAAAACAAAUAAUACAAAACGAAUUUUAAAUUCAUCCCCACAUUCCUUUUCUUGCCGUAUUUGGUUUUCUAACAUCAACAAUGGCAAUUUUCUCUUCCCAUCACAAUACAUGUUGUAUAAAUCAUUCCGUUUACUUGUGCAUCUCUCUAUAUCUACCUCCACUCCCUUAGCCUUCAAGCCCAAAAUUAACUCAACAUCCAUUGGGGAUAAUUUAAUGGAAGUGUUAUGCACACUUAAUGUGCAUGAAAGAGUGUCAAAAUUCUCUACCAACCAAUGACAUAAACUAUGAUCAAGUUUAGUACAUUGCAAUCCUAAAAUACCUCCAAACCCUAUUUCUUGUAUGACGGCCUUUUGAAUAGGUUGCAAGUGUUGAAGUAGUUUAUACACCCGAUCAGGCGAACAACGCGUGUGAAGAUACGACUAGAAGUCAUAAAUAUACAUAAGCAUAUAUAUUUUAAAUUGAAAGAAAAUAUUAUCAUAAUUUAAAAACAUAAAUUUCGAAUUUCUUACCUUUGAUGCAUUUUUUGAGUUUUGACCAUUUUGUUUUAUAUAUUCAUGAGGCCAUUUUUUAGACUUCUCUAAGAACUCUUUUUUUUCUCCAUUUGAAAGGGAUUGCCACUUUUUCCCAAUCUCUUUUCGCAACUGUAAUAUUAAAUUAGUUAGGUAUCAUAUAGAGUAUAAAAGUUGACUAAAAAACAUAUUAUGCAAAUAUUCAUGUCUUUUCUUACAUCAUGAUUUAUUAUCAAUUCCUUGUUAUCUUCUUUUCUUGCGAGUACUUGUUCUUGACUGCAAAAAACAUCACAUAAAAAUGAUUAUAUUUUCAACAUGUGAAUAAAUAUCCAAAAUGAAUUAACUAUAUAUGUAUAUAUAUUCUUACAAAUAAUAAAGCCAUGAACCCAUAGGAAGUUUUGGGUUUGAAGGGGGAUCAUUCUCCUCAAAUGAUUGUUUGCUCCUAUUUAAAACACAACAUUAUGAAUGUAAUUUACAACUAAUUAAAACUAUGUACUAUAUUCAAAUAAUUAAGUUACAAAUAUAAAAUCUUACAUAUUUGGCUUUCUAAGUCAAGAUGUAGUAAGACUGCUCAAAAUAAGAUAAACUCCUCUUAUAUUAAGCAACUGUGUAGCCUGCAACAUAGUGAGCAUACCGAUAAGAAUUAAGUUUUGAAUUUGACAACAAGAAUUAAGUUUAAAAAAAAGUCAUUAGUGAGCAUAUGUCCAAAUGUUUUAAGCUCUUUUAUCAUUCUUUUCAUCUCCUUAAGAUCUUGUUUCAUUGUAUGGUUUAGUCGUAUUUUGUAAUUUCCAAAUUACAUUACAAGUCCUCUAAGCUUCGUAGCUGAAAGUACACCAUACUUUUCUUUUAACGCUUCCCACAUUUCAUGAGAAGUUUGAUAUACCUCAUACUCAAUCAUGAGAUCAUCUUGCAUACAACUUAACAACGUUAUGCGAGCUAAAGAAUUUUUUUGUGAGAGAGGCCACAUCAACAAGAUAAAUAUACAUGUCAUGUCUGGCAUAUCAAAUUAUUUACAUGUUAUGUACAAAACAUAAAAGAAAAUGUAAUAAAUAGAAGGAAAACUAAUCUUCUCCCUUGAAACUAAAAGAAACAAUGUUAGGAUUAUACACAGUGUCUUCUAUAACUCUAGAAGUUGUUUUCAAUAACCAUAACCCUCUAAGAUUUUUAUGCCUACUAGAAUUUGAAAAUCUUGCAUUUUGCAAGUUAGGAGAAAUAGAAAGCAUUGUUGUUCGUCUGAUAGCAUUCUUCACGAAGCAUGUUUCCCAGUGUUCCUUGAAAAUAGCUACUAGGUCAUCAAAAGAACUAUUUGUGAAACCAUGAGGCCCUUCUUGAAUGGAUUCCCAUAUAUUUUCAAGAAAUUUUUUCUCAGGUUCUGUUAAUGACAUUUGUAGAAUAUGCAUUUUACGGUUUGACUCUAAGAUAUAUUCCUUUUCGAAACGUUUGAACAUAUUAGCCACAUGAUCCACAUGUUCAUUUGUAGAAUGGCUAGGGUCCCUCUUGUAGUUCAAGAUUGUAUCCAAACACGGCCAAGGUCCACUACCCCUUAGUACUUUCCUAGUUCUCCUCAAUCGUACCAUUUUGCACCUGACCAAAAGAAUUUAAUUUAAUUUUAAUGAGUAACAUAUACUCAUACUUUAAUUAAAUAUUUGAACAAAUGAAAUUUUAAUUAGAAACACACAAUUAUAAAAAAAAAAAAAUGGUUUUUUAUUGUCCCUCAAAUUUUUAUUAUUAUUUUAUACACAAGUCAACAUUCAUAAUUUCAAAUAAACAAUAUAACACUAAUAAAUGGUAUUUUAUAUCAUAUCAAGGUACUUUAUUUGAGAUUUAGGUUCGAAUCCAUGUUGCAUUAUUAUUUCUAACACUAAAAGGUUCAGAAGUCUAGAAUUUUAUUACAUUUUAAAUGAAAAAUAAAAUUAAUUUAUAUAAAAUAUUUUAUUUGAGAUUUAGGUUCAAAUCCAUGUUGCAUUAUUAUUUCUAACACUAAAAGGUUCAAAAGUCUAGAAUUUUAUUACAUUUUAAAUGAAAAAUAAAAUUAAUUUAUAUAAAAUAUUUUAUUUGAGAUUUAAUUUCUAAAAUUUUAUUAAAAAUAUGUGAUAACAAUUUUUUCUAUUAACAUUAAUGUAUUUAAAUAAUUAAAAUUAUAAUAAUUUAUCUUAUCAAAUUAAUAUUAAUUCAUAAAAUAUCGGUAAUAAAAUUCGAAAGUUCAAUUUAUAUAAAAUAUUUUAUUUGAGAUUUAGGUUCAAAUCCAUGUUGCAUUAUUAUUUCUAACACUCAAAAGUCUAGAAUUUUAUUAUAUUUUAAAUGAAAAAUAAAAUUAAUUUAUAUAAAAUAUUUUAUUUGAUAUUUAAUUUCUAAAAUUUUAUUAAAAAUAUGUGAUAACAAUUUUUUCUAUUAACAUUAAUGUAUUGAAAUAAUUAAAAUUAUUAAUAAUUUAUCUUAUCAAAUUAAUUUAAAUUCAUAAAAUAUCGGUAAUAAAAUUCGAAAGUUCAAUGGUAAAUAUUUAAUCAAAAUAUAAAUGGAUAAUUACUAAUGGUAAAGAUUUAAUCAAAAUAAUUACUAAUGGAUAAUUAUUUAUAUACAAAGAGAAAUUCCUAAAAGGCCCUACUACCUCUCACACUCGGGGCUGGGGCAUCAAGAAGCCCUUUUCUCCCUCUAGACCGAGAAUCCCUAAAAAGGCUCCAGCUCCAGUUUACUCUGCCACUCUCAAUCCUCGCAGGUACUAAUCUAAUCAUGUUAUCCUUUUUUUUUCAAUACCCGUUUGAUUCUUAACAAAAUCCAUCCCCCAUUCGAUUUGUUGGAUCUGUUUUAGGGGUCUUUUUGCUUUUGUGCCAUUCGAUUUAAAUUUCAUGAACCCUAAAUCCACGAUUUUUUAGCCAGGUUGAAAUACACAACCUUUGUCUGCAAAUCAUGACCAUAUUACCAAAUAGUAUCUUUUGUUUUUUUAAAAAAAACUGGUCAGAUUUUGCAUCCUUGUGUGUGGCCUGGACUGGUAGGAAAUAUAGGGAAAUUUCCCAAAAAAAAUUCGGUAAAAAUACCAAAAUUUUACUGAUAUUUUUUAAUCGGUCAAAAUAUCAUGUUUGUGCGUGGUCUGGACUGGUAGGAAAGAUCGGGAAAUUUUCCAAAAAAUCAGUAAAAAUAUUGUCUUUCUUAGAAAUAUCGCCGAAAUUUUCGACAUUUCAAUCACUACCAUAUGACAUAAGAUGAGUGAAGUACCUGUUCUGGGAUAGUAGGUAGAGUUGCCUGUAGGGGAGAUUGGUUGCGGAUCCACCAAAGCCCCCUGAUUAUUUUCUUGCUGAUUUCUCCUCUCUCUGAUUUCUCCUUCAAAAUCCCCACUCAGCUCACUCUCUCUGUAAAUAUUCAUUUCACUCGAAAAUUCCAUCUCCACACCCUCAAAUUUCUGAAGCUUAACUCUCUAAAACUCGGGAAAAGUUGUAAUGCCCAUCAAACUAAUAGCUCACCUUUCCGAAAAUAGGCAUCAAGUGUAAUACCCAUCAGACAAAUUUUUGUCUUUGGACAAGAUUAAGCAAGAUAGAAGUGGGAAAUCAGGUGACCAGCAACCUGCUUUUAUUUUUUAUAUAUUUUUAAAUUUUUAAAAAAUAUAUAAACCAAUUGGAUGGUCCGGAUUGAACAUCUUCAUCCAAUGGUCAAAAUUGUUUUUUGGGUAGGUACCGAAGUGGUACUGUAGAAUUUUCCUAAAACAAAUUGAAAAUAAGUAAGUCAUCUGUGAAAUAUAUAUAUAUAGAUUUCAUCUUUUAUACUUGAAUCAUCUCCCCCCUCUUUUUUUUUCCUAGUUUUGGCCUUAUUUUUUUAAAAUAUAAUAUUUAUUUUACUUUUAAUCAAUGGCUCAUAUUUCGAACAAGUGCACCAGAUUUUCUGAAGUUGUAUAUAUAAUAAUCUACAAGUUACAAUAGUGAUUAUAUUUGAAUAAAAAGAGGGACCCGCCCACUUGCAUGGAUUCUAUAUAGGACACAAACAAAUUGUCUUUAGUGGCGACUGAGGAGGCUUUCUAUGACUUGAAAAAAAAAUAAAACAAAAAUAGUCAUUAAGAAAUCAGUGCCAUGUAGUUAGUGUCCGCCACUAUCUACACUUUCUUUAAAAGAACAAAAUUGUCAUUUUCUUUUAUCUCAAAAAUCACUGAAUCGUACAAAAUAAUAUAAGAUAAGAUUCAAUUCAGUCUUUUUUGGCCUCAUAAGAAAACCUUAGCCAACUCAAGGUGACCACUACAGAAUCAAAAUAGGUUUUCUUUUUCUUCAUAGAUAUAUAGCUAACCAUUCAGCUUUGGAUUGCUGGAAUAGAUUCGACUAUUUGUAUCAAUCAGAAGAGAUUCCUCAAGCUUUGGCUGCUAUGGCUCUAAAUGAAGAAGAUAAGGAUCCUAAUUUUUAUGUGGACUCGAGAGCAACAACCCAUAUAACAAAUGACCUAGGUAAGAUUACCCAAGUAAUUCCAUAUAAAUACAAAUGACCUAGGUAAGAUUACCCAAGUAAUUCCAUAUAAAGGGCAUGAUGUAAUUUUUGUUGGAAAUGGAGAAGCUUUAAGAAUCUCACAUAUUGGUGAAGCUAGACUAAAAACUAAACAUAGAGAUCUAAAGCUUAAAAAAUUAUUGGUUAUUCCAAAAAUUAAGAAAAAUUUGUUAUCCAUUGGACAACGUACCUCAGAUAACCCAUGCUCCAUAGAAUUCUCAUCAACUAGUUUUGUCAUUAAGGAUCAACUUCAACAAGUGCUAGCCAGAGGAACUAAGAAGAGAGGUCUCUAUGCAUUGGAGGAAAAUGUGAUUCAAGCCAUGAUAGUUACUAGGUCUAGCAAGGCACCAUAAGAAGUGUGGCAUCAACACAUGAGGCAUCUACAAACAAAAUCUAUAAAGCUUUUGCAAGAUAAGGAUUUCAUUGAAGUAUCUAGUUGGAUGAAAUCAGCAAUAGUAUGUGUUAGAUUUCAAUUAGGAAAAAGUUGUAAAGUUUCUUUUGGCUUAAGAAAUAAAAUUUCCAGCAAUCCUCUUGAAAAAAUUCAUUGUGACUUAUGGGGACUUGCACCAAAUAAUUCGACUCAAGGAUACAAGUAUUAUGUUGUCUUUAUUAAUGAUCAUACUCGCUAUACAUGGCUUUAUCCCUUGAGAAGAAAAUCAAAUUUCUUUGAAUGUUUUUUGAAGUUUCAAAAUCUAGUUGAGAAUCAACUUGAAAGACAAAUAAAAAUCUUCCAAAGUGAUGGUGGAGGUGAGUUUCAAUCAAUUAAAUUUCAAAAUCACCUGAGCAAGUGUGGAAUUUUGCAACAAGUCUCAUGCCCAGGAACUCCAGAACAAAAUGGGGUUGUAGAGAGAAAGCAUAAACACAUUGUUGAAAUGAGUUUAACAAUGAUUUUCAAUGCCAAACUACCAUUGAGUCUAUGGGUAGACGCAUUCCAUACUAUCGUAUACCUCAUUAAUCAGCUGCCUUCCAUGGUGUUGAAAAUGGAGAGUCCAUUCUUUAUGCUCUUCAAACAAUAUCCAGAAUAUAGGAGCUUGAGAAUUUUUGGUUGUCAAUGUUUUCCAUACCUUUGAGACUAUGGGAAGAAUAAAUUCUCACCUAAGACAUCUCCAUGUGUUUUUAUUGGAUAUAGCUCUCUACACAAGGGUUAUAGAUGCUUGCAUCCUUCAACUAAAAGAGUUUACAUAUCUCAUCAUGUCAUCUUCAAUGAAAAUUGCUUUCCUUAUGAUAACUCUCUUGUUAAGAAAAGUCAUUUAUAGUUUCUUAUAGAAAUGGUAUCAUUCUCAACUUCAGAUGUUUCUUGUGAGACAUCAAAAAUAGAUCACCAAACUAAGUCUUGGAAGGAGAACACUGCCAACCAAUCAAGCAACUCCAAGAAGUGCAACCAUUAGCCAUGCACUACUGGGCAAAGAAACCAGUUUAGUGUUGACGGAAGAAUUUCUACUAGUUGCAUUACUAACCAAAAUACAGAAGCAUCAUGUGCAAAACCGAUUGGAACUCCCACUGCUAUCACUGUUGAAAUUUCCACUGUUGCUGCUAGUAAAAAUGACCAUAAUACCGUCAUUACUAUUGAAACUCCCACUGAUGUUGCUCUUGGUUCUAGUGGCCACAAUUUCAACACUGCUACUACUACUGGAACACUCUCCUAGAUUGAGUCUACUAGUAGCUACAAGCUUGCUAAUGUUAGUAAUUUUCCUGAUAUCAGUAAGCACCUAGUAGUUGAUCUCUCUUUUCCUUAAAAAUGGCAGAAAAAUGAGCAUGUUGGUUCAUCUCCGCAAAACAAAUCCACCAGUCACAAUGUUGAUGAUAAAGUUCUUGAUAUUAGCAAGCAAAUUGUUGUUGACAUCUUUUCUCCUCAGGGCCAACACACAGAUAACAAAGAAGCUCAUAUGAUCACCAGAAGUAAACUCAAAAAUGAUCCUAGUUUAAAGUCUUAAAUGGUUACUUUUGCUGCCACAAGAAGUAAUAUUAGUGAGCCAAAAACAUAUCAUACAACAUUGAAAAUUCCCCAUUGGUCCAAACAAUGCAAGAGGAAAUUAAGGUUUUAAUCCAAAAUUGAACAUGGGAUUUGGUUCCUAGGCCUCCAACUACAAAUAUUGUGGGUUUUAAAUGGAUGUUUAAAACAAAGCUAAAGGAAAAUGGAACCAUAGAUAGAUACAAAGCACAAUUAGUUGCUUGAGGUUUUUCUCAAAUAUCAGCUUUGGACUUUGGAGAGACCUUCAGCCUAGUUAUAAAGCAUACUACAAUAAGAUUGAUCCUUUCAUUAGCAGUAACCUUAGGGUGGACAAUGAAGCAAUCGGAUGUUAAGAAUGCCUUCCUACAUGGGUUUCUAAAGGAAAAAGUAUUCAUGGAACAACCUCUAGGAUUUAUAAACAAGGACCUUCCGAAUCAUGUAUGCAAAUUGAAUUGUUCUCUUUAUGGCCUUAAGCAAGCUCCAAGGGCCUGGUUAAAUAAACUAUUUCAAUGUCUUCUUCAUCUGGGGUUUUACUAUGGUAAAAUAGACUCGUCUCUAUUUAUUCUUCCCAAAGGUCAGUCUAUUGUUUUGCUACUUAUCUAUGUUGAUUAUAUUAUAGUCAUAAGCUAUGAUAACAACAUCAUUAGUGACCUCAUCAGCACCCUGAGUAGUGAAUUUUCUCUCAAGGACUUAGGAUCUUUGCAUUAUUUUUUGGGAUUGGAGGUGAAAUAUCUUCUUAAUGGGUUGUUUCUUUCUCAAGAAAAGUACACUAGAGAUCUCUUAGAGCACACAAAAAUAAUGGAGUGUACUCAUAUCAACGCACCCAUAGCUCUUAAGUCCAUCAUCACACCUUCUGAUGAACAACCUAUUGAUCCUACAUGAUAUAGGCAACUUGUUGGAUUCCCCCAAUAUUUAACCUUCACAAGGCUUAAUAUUGUGCAUGUAGUAAACAAGGCCUACCAACAUUUCCAAGCACCCACUAAAGCUGACUUGCAAGCUAUCAAACGCAUCCUUAGAUAUUUGAAGGGAACAAUGGAGCAUGGAAUCAGGUUUUUCAACCAAAGUUCGCUUCGUCUCACUGGUUUUUGUGAUGUUGAUUAGGCGGGAUGCACAAACACAAGAAGAAGCACAUCUAGGUAUUAUAUUUUUCUGGGAGCCAAUUGUAUCUCAUGGUCCUCAAAGCGACAACCUAAUAUUUCUAGAUCAAGCACCAAGGCCAAAUAUCGAUCCCUUGCGUCCAGUGCUGCAGAAAUAACUUGGCUUACUUUCCUUCUCCGUGACAUUGGCAUUCAACUACGUGAACCUUCUCAAUUGCUAUGCGAUAACCUCAGUGCCCUUCACAUGACAGUAAAUCUCGUCUUCCAUGCAUGUUCUAAGCAUAUUUAGUUGGACUAUCAUUUUAUUCGGAAAGAAGUUGCAAGUGGAGUUUUGAUUACUUGUUUCCUUCCAUCGUCUUUACAAGUAGCUGAUAUAUUCACAAAGGCACUCCCUAAGACUUCAUUCCAAGUCUUUCGAUUCAAGCUAGAGUGCACAAGUUACCACUCACUAGCUUGCAGGGGGCUGAUAAAGGAAAGCCAAACUCAGCCAGCAUACAAUCCAUGCCAAAGCAAUCUUUACGUGAGAAGUUAGUAAUGCAAUCUAUCAGGAAGGAAAACUACUCUCAAUAUUUGUAAUGUGGAAAAUCAAGGCUGGAAGGAAAUAUUCACUUACCUGUUCUAUAUAAUAUUCCCUUUUCUAUGCAAAGAAAGUAUGUAUUGUUUAUUUAUUUUUUAGAAAAAAUCAGUAAAGCAUGGUAAAAAUUCAAUCUUUCAAAAAUAGUUUAUGUUCUUCAUGCAUGGAUAAUAAAUCGCAUGGAUAAAUUGUAUUUAGCAGCGGCUGAAGCUUUCUAUAUGACUAAAGAGAAAAAAAGUCAUUAAAAAACUAAUUGCCAUGUGACUACGUCUACCAGUAGAUAGCUGAGAACAAGGUCUAACUUUUAACCUUUUUUACUACCUUUACAAAGGAACACAAAAUUGAGAGAUUCAAAGACAACUAUAGUAUAAAUAUUGUUUCAUAAAUUACUUUUCAAAUUUAAUUUGAUAGCAAAAAUUUAAAAUACAAAAGUAUGAAAAAUUUGUUCCAUUCCCAAAAUUUUUGCAAAUAAAAUUUUAAAGUAAUAAAUUAACACCAUGACUCUUUUCACAUCUUAUUCUCCUUUCUAUCAAAGCAAUGAUAGUAAUAAUCUUAUCUAUAAAUUUUAAAUGAGGGAAGAUCAUUGAAUUUUUAUUUUCUUUUAAUUUCUUGUUAUGUAAUUAUCAAACACAUUUUUUUUUAAGACAAGAAAAAAAUUAGACUGAAGAAAUAUACUUUUGCUUUGAUUUAGUCACUUGGAUUGCAAUUUGAAGGAUGACAAUAAAAGUGUAUUAUUGGAGUUAAAGAUCAAUUGAAAGCUUGAAGUGGCUUGUUCUUGAAUGAAUUUAAUGAAUGGCGAAGAAUACGUGUGUUGUAAUUUUUUGGAUUUGUAGGGGAAUUUUAUGAAGCUCUUUUCUCUUUGUGAAGCUUCUUUUUUUGUGUGAUUUUUUUUCUUCAUCAUUUUUAUUCAAGGAAGUUGCAUAUAUUUAUAGAUGAAAUUAAAAAAUUAAAUUUAGAAUUCCUAAGAUUUGAUUACUUAAUUAAAAAAAAUUGGUUUCUUGAUUUUAGCAACUUGUCUCCUCUAUUAAGAAAGUUUUCUAAUAAGAGAAUAUUUAAUUAUCAUUUUCUUUUGACUUCAAUUAGAAGAUUUGAUUCGUUUGUUCAUAAAAUUUGAAAACAAAAAAAAAUUAUUUCUAUUUUUUUUAUUUCAAUUGUUUAAUUUAAUUUGAUUUUGCAAGACUUUAUUUUAUAGGCUACAUGUCAUUUUUUGAAUUGCAUGUUACAUAUUCAAUAUACAUGACCCAUCACUUAUUAAGCAUAAAUUUCGUUGGCUAAGGAGUUACAAUUUUGAAGACUAAUUUGAUAGUAUUUUGAUCCACUAAAAUUUUUUAUGUCUAGAAAUGCCCCAUCUUCAAGACCAACACACACAUGCAUUGUUAUGUAUAAAAGGUGAGUCUUGAAGUUAGCAUUUUGAAUCUUUAAUAUCCUUCUUUGAUAUUUUUUUUUUCAAAGAAAUAUUUUAAUAGGAAAUUUCCUAUUUCAAAAUACCUUUCUUAAACUGCUUUAUUUUCUUCCUUUUUUUCUACCUGGUAUCAAGGAAAGACUUUGUGUUAAUGGGAAAGUUUCUUAUUUGAACAUGUAUUUGCUUUUCUCAUGGUAUUUUCACUUCCAAUUUAUCAUCCUACAUGAAGUCUUUCACCCUUGGUCGAUUGUAUCUUAGACUUGAUCACAUGCCUUUAACUUGUAAUUCUUGCUCCACUUUAUUUAUUUUAUUUUAUUUUAUUUUUAAAAAAGAAUACAAUAUAUAUGAGCAAGACCUUGAGCAAGAGGAGCAAGGUGGAGGAUGGAGCAUGAGCUAGCCUUAGGGUAAGACCUUGAGGAAGAGAAGUAAUGUGGAGUGUAGAGCACAAACUUCUCUGGAGCAUGGUAGGUAUACCAUCACAGAAUUGUCUUCCACAUGGAGCAUGGUAGGGCUUAUAUAUAUGAUAGGGUGUGCCAUCAUGUAACAAUGAAGAACAACAAUCCAUGGUGUACAAUUGGGAACAACAAUUCAUGCUAUCAAGCUUCAACUUUUUUUUUUACCCCCAUCUCCAUUUUUUCAACUUCUUUUUUUUUUCCUUUUCUUUUUCCUUUUUUUUUUAACCAUUGUUUUUAAGGAAGAAAUAGGUUUUCCAUCCCUUACUACGAGGUCAAUCUCCAUCACUUGCAAAGACAAAUUUGCUUUUUGAUAUUUUUUUCUUCAAUAAUUAACUUAACAUUUUAAUAUAUAUUUUUUUUAACAAACUUAAAUAUUCAUAAUAAAAUAAAUAUUUAAUGUCUUUAUUCAUUCAAAUUAGCUUGACUUGAAUACUUAGUAGAUCCAUACUUAACACCCAUGUAGACGAGUUGUAACCUUGAUGGCAGGUUGUGUUGUAUUUUCGACACUUAAUGUGGCUUAAGAGUUAAAGUCUUCUCUCAUACAAAUUACCUUGGUUUGGAUGCACAAUGGUGUCUAACUUUUUAACACUUUAUUAAACUUGGAACCAUAUUUAACACCCACGUAGACAAGUCAUAAUCAUGACGUGGAUCACUGCUUUAUUUUUAGCUCUUAAUGUGGCUUAAAUAUUAAAUUCUCCACUCAUACAAAUUAACUUGGGUUAGAUGCACAAUGGUGUUCAACUUGUUAAUAGUUAAUUAAAAUUAGAACCAUAUUUAACACCUAUACAAACAAGUCAUAACUUUGACGUGGAGCAGUGUUGUAUCUUCGGCUUAAUGCCGCUUAAGUGUUAAAGUCGUCACUCAUAUGAAUUAGCUUGACUUAGAUGCAUAGUUAUAUUAUACUUUUUAACACUUAAUUUAAAUUUGGACCAUAUUGAAAACCCAUGUGAACAAGAGAUAACCUUGCAGUGAUGUUAUAUUUUUGACACUUAAUGUAGCUUAAAUGCUAAAGUCUUCACUUCAAUGAAUUGGUUCACCUUGGAUGAAUAGUGAUGUCUAAAGUGUAAUAAUUAAAAUUGAAACCAUAUUUAACACUCAUGUAGACAAAUCAUAACUUUGACGUAAUGGCAUUGUAUUUUUUACACUUAAUGCAGCUUAGGUGCUAAAGUUUUCACUCAUGAGAAUUGGUAUGAGUUAGAUGCAUUGUGGUGUCCAACUUUUUAACACUCAAUUAAAAUUGGAACCAUAUUUAAUACCUAUGUAGAUAAGUCAUAACCUUGAUGCAAAGUGAUAUUGUAUUUUUGACACUAAAUGCAACUUAGGUGCUAAGUCUUCACCCACACAAAUUGGUUCAUCUUGGAUGCACAAUGGUGUUGAAUUUUUUUAACAUAUAAUUAAAAUUUGAACCAUAUUUGACACUCAUGUAGACAAGUCAUAACCAUGAUGUAGAGUAGUGUUGUAUUUUUAACACUUAAUAUGACUUUACUGGUAAAUUCUUUACUCAUGUGAAUUGGCUUGAUUUGGAUGCACAACUAACUUUUUAACAUUUUAUUAAAUUGGGUAUCAUAUGUGUUGUUUUUUUAACACUUAAUACGACUUUAGUGGUAAAUUCUUUACUCAUGUGAAUUGUGUUGAUUUGGAUGCACAAUGAUACCUAACUUUUUAACAUUUUAUUAAAUUGGGUAUCAUAUUUAACACCUAUGUAGACAAGUCAUAACUUUAAUGUAGAGGCAGUGUAAUAUUUUUGGCACUUAAUACUGCUUAAGUGCUAGAGUCUUCACUCAUGUGAAUUUUCUUAGUUGGGAUGCACAAUGGUGUCUUAACAUUUUAACAUUUAAUUAAAAUCAGAACCAUAUUUAACACUCGUGUAGAGAAGUCAUAACCUUGACAUGGAGUAUUAUGCAAUGUUUUGAUAUUUAAUAUGACUUAAGUGCUAAAGUUUUCACUCAUGCGAAUUGACUUGACUUGGAUGCAUAGUGAUGUCUAACAUUUUAACACUUAAUUAAAAUUAGAGCUAUAUUUAAUAAUCAUGUAGACAAGAAAUAACUUUGACAUGAAACAGUAUUGUAAUUUUGACACUUAAUGUUGCUUAAAUGCCAAAGUCUUCACUCAUACAUAUUGACUUAGCUUGGAUGAAAAGUGGUAUCCAACUUUUUGACACUUUCUUAAAUUUGGAAUUAUGUUUAACAUCAAUAUAGGCAAGUAAUAACCUUGACGCAAAGUGAUGUUAUAUUUUUAGCACUUAAUAUAGCUUUAGUGCUAAAAUAUUCACUUCUAAGAAUUGACUUGGCUUGGAUGCAUAAUGGUGUCCUACUUUUUAACACUUACUUGAAAGUGAAAUCAUAUUUAACACCCAUUGUAUGCUAGUCGUAAACUUGAUAUAGAGCAUUGUGCAACUUUUUAACACUUAAUGCGAUUUAAGUGCUAAAGUCUUUACUCAUAUGAAUUAACUGAACUUAGAUGCACCUUUGUUUCCAACUUUUUAAUACCUAAUUAAAAUUAAAACCAUAUUUAAAAACCAUGUAGACAAAGACAUAAUCUUAACAUGGAGCUAUGUAUAACUCUUAACACUUAAUUAAAAUUGAGAUUACACUUAACAGCCACAUAUUCCUCCUAUUUUUCAAUUUUUUCUUGUGGUGAUGAUUGGACUUAACUAGUUUGUCCAAGUUGCCUAUAUACCCUUAACAGAGAGGGAAUCAAGUCAAACUUAGUUCAAAGUAUUUCUUUUAAUCUCUAACUUUUGCCAAGGCUAAUGAUUUUAAUCUUACAAGCUUGUCUUAACUUUUGACCAUAUAUGUAGUCUUUUUAGGUUUCAAUUUAGUGGCCUAUGACUUGUAAAAAUUGAAAAUGACUUCAAUCAUGUGUAAAAAAUAAUAAAAGAUAUUCAUUCAUAGUUUUAGGGCAACAAAAAAUAAUUGAUCCUUUUUUAUAUUAUUAUUAUUGUUGUUGUUGUUAUAAUUAUUAUUUCACCUUACAAAAAAACCUUCUGCAAUUAAUAUUAUAUAUAUAUAUAUAUAUUAUCUUUUAUAUAUUUAGUUUUUAUAGUAUUUUUUAAUUUAAUAUAUAUAUUUUUUAAAUAUCGAUACUUUCGGUCAAUGUCUCAAAUUUAAUAAUAUUUUAGAAAGUGUUUAUAAUAUUUUUAACACUUGAAUGAUAAAAAAUUUUAAAUAUUAAAAAUGUUAAAGACACUUUCUUAAAUUACUACCAAACGGGUUCUAACUUCAAAACUAUUUUUCAAAUUCUAAGUUUAGCUUAGUGGUGAAUGCAUUUAGGAUCACCAAGGAGGCCAUCAAGGGACUUCAGAAGAGAAGAUCCCAUAAUUCUAGUUUUGUAUUUGAUUGCAUACAUCCUACCAUAUGGAGAAGGUUCCUUAGGAUGCUUAUUUAUCCGCUUAUGUGAAUUAUGUACAAAAUUGCAUUUAAUAUGCACAUAAAAUUAAUUGAAUUAUGUGGCUUUUUUUUUUUCCUUUUUCUUUUACGCAUAAUAUAACAUAUACAAUUGGAAGAGAUCCCGAGAUUCUGAUUUUAUAUCUGGCUUUAGGGAUCAUAUUGGGGCCUCAAAAUUCAAUAUCACUGUCAGGUUGUGGACAGUCCACCCAGCUGGAGCAGAUCCCCUGGCUUGUGGAUAUGUCAACAAUUGAAAAAGUCUGCACCCAUUUUCAAUGUUCUUAGGUUUCGAAGUUAUCAGCAAACAUUCAUUGUGGACUAGGUACAUGGCUUGUACAAAUUGAAAAUGACUUCAAAUAAUAAAAGAUAUUUAUUCAUAGUUUUAAGGCACGCAACGAAAAUAGAUUUUAUUUGUUUGUAUCUUAGAAUAAUCUUAUUAUAUUUGUAUAUAUAUAUAUAUAUAUAUAUAUAUAUAUAUCUUAUCUUUUAUACAUGCAUAUUUUUUUUUUCAGUUUUGGUCGUAUAUUUUUAAUUUAAUAAUUAUUUUAAGAAAAAAGAUUUAGAGGCCAUUUGGUAGUGUUUUUUAAAAACACUUCUGGACUAAAAAAAAAUGCUUUUGUUAAAAAAUUAAGAGCAUGUUUGAUAGUGAUUUUAGGAAACGUUUUUAAUAUUUCUAAUAUUUGAAAAUUUUUGUCAUGCAAGUGUUAAAGGGCGUUUGGCAAUGCUUUUAGAAAGUGUUUCUAAUAUUUCUAAUACUUGAAAAAUAAAAUUUCUUAAGUAUUAGAAAUGAUAGAAACUCUUUCUAAAAUCACUAUCAAACACAUUCUUACACUUUCCAUCAAUGUCUCAAAUUUCAAAUAUGUACAUGCUCUAGAAAUUCUGAAGGUGUAGGCUUGUAGCCUAGAAUGUGAAGUGAGAGUUUGAUGAAAAACGAAAUAAACAAAGAUAUAAAAUAUAAUUUGUGAAAAAUUAUGAAAAUAUUGAUUUUGAUAGAUAUAUUAAUAACUCAAUUUUACAGAUAUAUCAGGGUAUAUCCAAAAAUAUUGGUGAAUAUUUUGACACCAAAUAUCAGUAGGAAAAAAUUGAUCAAAACUCAUGAAAAUAUUGGGAAAAAAAACUCUUAAACAUGAUAAAAUAAACAAUAAUAUACUUAUUAAAGUUGGUUUUAUUGUAAAACUUAAAAACACAAAAUUAUCAAUAGAUAUCAAUGAAAUUUUUUUUUAAAAAAAUCAAAAUUAAUAAAAACUCGUAAAAUAUUAGUAAAAACUAAAAUAUAUAUAUAUAUAAGAAGCAAUAAUACACAUAACGAAGUUAUUUAUUAAAAAAAAUGAUAUAGAUUUAAUACAAUUAAUGAUAUUUGAUAAUAAUAUACAUAAUUUAAAAUUUUAAAAUAUAUCUACUAGUAACAUCAUGAUUAUUUAAUAUUCAAAAUAUAAAAGAAAUUAUGAUAUGUAAAUAUAUAUAUAAAUUACUAUGAUGAUUUUUAUAAUUUGAACAAUUUUCAAAUAUAAUAUGAAAAUAAAAUAAUUAAAAUUAAUUUAUUUAUUAUUAUUUUAUUUUAUAAGUCUAGGAGUACAAAUAUAUUUUAUUUAUAUGUGUUGCAUAUUUAAAAAUGCUAAACUAGCUUGUGGCCUACAAUGUCAACUUAGAGUUUGAUGAAAAAGUGCAUAAACAAAGACAAAAAAAUUAAUCUACAAGUACUUGGAUUCUAUUUGAAUAAAAAAGAGCCACCCACAUGCAUGGAUUAAAUAUAUAUCCCAUGGAUUAGUUGUAUUUAGCCACGGCUGAAGCUUUCCACUAUGACUUAACACUACUACAAAAAUAAUUUAUGAUGUCACUAUUUAUGGUGUCGCAUUUAAAAUAAUGACACCAUUGAACUUAAAAUUUAUAAAGGUGACACAUCAUAUAAAAAAUCUUCAAUUAGGAUAGUUAGAUGAUGCUAAUUUCAAAUUUACGGUGUCUUUUUUUGGAAGUGACACCAUAUGAAAUAAAAAGUUUUAAAUUUUAUAACUCAAUGGGCCCUUUUUCAAAAUAGUGAGUAGGAACAAUUUAUGAAAAGUCUAUUGUUUCCAUAUAUACAUUAACUAAUAUAAAAGAUCUUAUUGCUUAACCCUAACCAUCGUUUUCUUCUCCUUCUUCUCACACCCAUGGUCGGCACACCCAUAAUUGAUAUUCUUUGCUUCAUAAAAUCUCGGGUAAGUCAAAAUCCCUUAUCUAUCAUCUUCAUUUUUUUUAUUAAUGCAAAAAACUUUGUUAGUAUAAUUGUUUUAUAUCUCUUGAUUUAGUAUAUCUAUGAUGUGGGUUUUGUAAAUGGUGUUUUUUAUCGAGUUCCAUGGAAGUAAAAACUAGGUUUAACAUUCUAACAUAUUUUUUGUUUCAUUGCUAAUAAGCCCCAAAACAAAUGAAAACAAGAAAAAUGAAUUAUUUUUAAAAAUUUUGUCUAAUUGAGAAUGAGAGAUACACUAGUUUGUAGUAAUUUUUCGCAUGAAAUAAUAUUUUAUUGAAGACUUGACUAUAUAGUGUAUUGGUUGUAAUUUUUCACAUGUGAAAAUAUUUUAUUGAAGACUUGACUAUAUUUGAUACUUUUUUCCACCGUGCUAGGAGCUUUUUGGUGAAGUCUAACAAUAGAGAUUGACAUCUACUACAAGAUGAUGCUCAAUUAAUCCAAAAGCACUUAAGUUAUUUAGGGUUUUCUUCAGUUAACCUAAGAAAACAUUCCCACUUUCUUUGUAUUGAGUCACCUAAAUAGAAUAGAAUAUUGGGUAUUAGAGUGGUAAAGGGUAUUAUAAAUAUGACUUUUUUUUUUAGAGUCACCUACAUGGAAUGAAUUAUUGGUAGGUGAACAAAAUAUUGGGGUGAUUGUAAUAGUUGAAUUAGUAAAUGGAAGAUAAGUGUAUGUUGCUUUGUUUAUUCUAUAAAAACAAUAAUUUUAGUAGUUGAAAUUUACAUGCUUUGUUGUUUUAUAAAAACAAUAAUUUUAAUAUUUGAAAUUUUAAAAUGUGAAUGAAAUGCCUGAAAAUAUGUUUUGAAAAAUAGGAUAGUAAUAAAUGUUUAUAGCUCAUUUCCUAAAAAUAUUUUGAUAAAUUAAAAUAAUAUGUGGUUAAAAUAUAUUUUUGUGAAAGUAUUUAAAAAUGAAUCAAAAUAUUAAUAAUUGUUAUUUUGUUUGAAAAUAAUUUAGGAAUAUAAAAUAAUAUUGGGGAUAAUUUUUGAGUUUAAAUUGGGUUAUAAACGGUUAAUUUUUUUAGGAUUGUCUUUUUUGAAAAUAAUCCAAUGAUAAUUUUUUUAAAUAAGAAUGUUGAAAAUAAUUUUAAAAAUAAAAUUUUGUUGGCAAUGAUUUUUCUAAAAGUAUUUUAGGCAUAAAUGGAAAUUUCUUGUAUGAAAAUAAGAGAAUUUAUAUAUAUAUAAUAGACAUAAAAAUAGACUUCUUUGAUAUUUAAUAAACAAGUGAAUUUUUCUCCAAAAAAGGAAUAAAAUAAGAAUUUCUCUAUUUAAUAAAAUAAUUUAUAUAUGAGAUAGUUUUCAAUAAGAAAGUUUUGAAAAUAAAUUUGGGAUAAAAUAUUUUUUAGUAAGUUUUGUUUAGAUAAUUCAAGAAAAAAGUGGUUUAUUAACUUUUCUUAAAAAAUAACAUUCUUCUUUCUUUUUUGAAUUGAUCAUUUUUUUUAGAAAUAAAAUUGUUAGAUUCUAUUUUUUGUAAAUGUUUAAGAAAUUCUAAAAAAUUCUUUAAAAAUAAAAUGACCUUUCUACCACAUUCCUUGUAAUAAAUAACUGUUUUUUUAUACAUAUUGUAAAGUAAAAAAAGAAGUCUUUGUUUAGUUAACCUAAGAAGACAUUCCUACUUUUCUUUGUGUUGAGAGUCACCUAAAUGGAAUAAAAUAUUCAAUAUCAUAGGAGAGUAAAAAGUAUUAUAGAAAUGAUUUUGUUGAGAGAGUUAUCUAAAUGGAAUGAGAUAUUGGUAGGUGAAUAAAAUAUUAUGGUGAUUGUAAUAGUUGACUUAGUGAGGGGAGGAGAAGUGUAUGCUUCUUUGUUUAUUCUAUAAAAACAAUAAUUUUAGUAGUUGAAAACGUGUAUGAAAUGACUGAAAAUAUUUUCUGAAAAAUAAGAAAAUAAUAAAUGGAUAAUAGCUCAUUUCCUAAAAAUCUUUGAUAAAUUAAAAUAACUUGUAGUUAAAAUAUAUUCUUGUGAAAGUAUUUAAAAAUGAACCAAUAUAUUAAUAAUUGUUAUUUUGUUUAAAAAUAAUUUAAGAGUAAAAAAAUAAUACUGAGUUCAAAUAUGACUACUUUGUUAUGAGAUUCAUUAAAUAAAUAAUUGUUGAUUUUACAGUUAUUGCAUCAAAGGUUUUACUCGUUUAAUGAAUUGUACAUAAUUUCAUACUUUCAAUUAUUGUGAUAUUAAUGUUAUUCUCAUUUGAUUUCAGUUUGAUGACAAAUAAAACAUAUUCUCAAGUAGAAUUUGAUGAAAUUAGAGAAGAAUAGAUUACUUUUGUGUUAUAACUAAUCAUGAAUCAUAUUGAUGUAUCGUGAUCAUUCAUGGUAAGUCCCUUAGUUGUUAUAUGAUUGAAUUUUCCAUUGGUAUUGUAUAACAUUACUUAUUCUUUACGGACUAUUUUUAUACCAAAAUGAGAAAAAGGAAAAAGAAAAAAAAACAUUAGUACUUAGAUUUGUUUAUUGUUUAUAACAUCACAUUUUUAUUUUCAAUAAGAACUCUAAAACUCAUUAAACUAUGAAAUGCAGGUAUACACUCUUGGGAGGACAAUAUGAAGAAUAAAAAGAAAGGAGAAAGAGGCAACAAGAUUUAGGUUUUUAGAUAUGACUCUUAUGUCAUACAUUAUAGGACAUAAACAUUACUUUAUUUGGAAUUGAGAAUUUUGGGUUUUUGGAUGCAACUCUUGUGUCAUUUUAUGGUUAGCCGGUUUUAUGCAUAUGAAAUGCAAGUAUACAUGAAUGUUGGGAAGCUUAACAUUUCUAAAUCAUGUUUUAAUGUGUAUUCACUUUUCUUUUUUAGUUUUGGUGGGUUUGAUGUGUUUGAUGUACUAUCAUUUUGUGAACAUUUGAUAUAUAAAUAUUAUUGGAUGAUGUAAUAUGUUACAAAUUAAUUCAUAGGCACUAUGAAAAUAUAAGUUAAAUGUAAUAUGAUUAUCAUAUUUAUGGACAAUUUACACAGGUUGGUCUUAUUUAUUAAUAAGCAUUACAAAAAUCUACAAACUAAUCAACAAAAAACAACCAUAUCUUCCAUAAUCAUUUACAAUGAUGCGACACCAUAAAUUAAAGGUGAUACAUUUAACGUGACACCAUAACUCAAAGAUGAUGCAUUUAAUAUGACAUCUUAUAUAUCUCAUACAACUCUAUAUCAAAUUAAGCAUCACUAAAAAUAUAUGGUGUCUCUUCUGAAUGUGUCACCAUUUAUCUGCUUUGGUGUUGCUUCCAAAUACGUCACCAAUUGAUACCCUCUAUGGUGUCAGUGGAUAAGGUGACGCUAUGUUGUAGUGACACCCUAUGUUUAUAGUGACUUAUUAUAAAUGUCACCAUAUAUCUUUUUCCUUGUAGUGUAAAAAAAGAGAGGAUAAUGUCAUUAAAAAACUGAUUGCUAUGUGGCUAUGCCUGCCAGUAGAUGGCUGAAAACUAAGUUCUAUUCUUUUCGAUAGUUGAGAGAUUCAAUGGCAACUAUCGUCGUAUAAACAAUGUUUCAUAAAUUACUUUUAAAUUUUGACAGCAAAGACUAAAAUUGUAAAACCAUAAAAAAUUUAUUCCAUUCCCAAAUUUUUUAAAAUAAAAUUGAAAAUAAUAAAUUAACGCCCAUGACUGUUUUCACAUCUUAUUCUCAUUUCUAUCAAUGGAAUCAUCGUAAGCAUCUUAUCUGUAAAUAUGGCCUAGAGCCAUAAAGCUGCCUUUUCUUUAGUCCUAGAGCCAUUUCAUGAGCUAAUAGUAGUCUUUCCUUAGCAUUUCCAGCCCAAAGCUCCCAUUUCCUUAGGCCUAGAGACGUUUUCAGCCCAGAGCUGCUGUUUCUUUCGGCCUAUAACCAUUUUCAGCCCAAAGCUUCCUUUCCUUGGCAUAUUAGCCCGAAGCUUCUAUUUCUUUAGGCCUGGAACCAUUUCAACCUAGAACAUUUGUUUCUUUGGGCCUUGAGCCCCUUUCAACCCAGAACUGUCAUUUCUUCUAAAUAACUUCUCUUUUAAAAGACUUCAAUUUGUUUUUCAAGUCACAAAUUUUGAGGCUUUGUUCCAGGUUUGAAGAAGCUGGUAAAAAUCUUCUAUUUAACAUUUCAACAGUGAAUCGAAUUAAAUAAAUAAAUAAAUAAAUCUUGACGACAUAAAGUAGGACAUGGCAUAGUUUGAAACACAUAAUUUUCACCAUUCAAAUGCAAAACAUAUUAACUAAUUUCAAAUGCUAUGUGUUGUUUCCUUCUACAUUUUCUCUUUAUUUUUUUUUCGUAUUUUUCUUCAAAUUUUUUGAAAACCAAACAGAGCCUAAAAGAAAAGAUAAUUUUACUUAUUUUGAAAUUUCCUUAUAUAUAGCUUAUAUGGAAAGUUGUUUCGUGUUAACUUAAUGAAGCAUUUAUAAUAUUAAGAUCGCCCUUUCAUAAUCAUGAGUUAACCUUAGUUUCAACUUCUACAAGAGGCUAAAUGAAAAAAGCUAUCACAGAGAAGGCCUCAGCCAAUGAGUGGAAAAUACAAUUUUAUUAAUACUUGAUACCAAAAAAAAAAAAAAAAGGGAUGAUUUUACAUUCAAACCGAUGAUUUAUUUCUGUUGAAGUGCAGUCUCCAUAUGCACAUGUGACUGCAUUUACAGGAUAAAGAAAGACAAGGAAAUUAACAAUGUUGGACUUACUGGAAAAUCAUACAAAUUAUUGAAGGAGGACCUUAGCUAGGCUGACUGUCUCCUAAAUUGCCCAUCUUUUAUAUAUCUUUGCAAUCAUGCAUCUCAUCAUCAGCUUUGAUUUUAGAUGGUGAGGAUGUGAAAGUAACAGGAAGCAGUGGACGAUUGUUCACAGUGAGGCUUAGCACAUCAGCUCUCGAAUAAUGUCCUACCACAUCGAACUGAAACUUUGCUUUAGGAAUCUCUCCACGAACAUCUGCAUAUCAAGUGAUCAUCAAAAUAUUUGAGCAGCCCGUGAUAAAUAUCAUAGAGUAUCAAGUCUUCCAUAAAACCAUGUUUGCAGUCCUUUUAAACCUAAAGAAUUGACUCAUUUGCCUUAUCUGCAUACUGAAAUAUUUGGAUAUACAAUUGGAGAAGUUAGGGCCAUACCAAGAUCAGCUGUGAAGAGGCCUUCUCCUUCAUAAUUCGGUCCUGCUAGAAUUUCGCCAUGGGGCGAAAUGAUGACACUACCUCCAGCCCAAACAAUAGAAUCUGGAGUGACAUCUUCUUCUGUAGGACUGUAAAGAUACUCAGGUGGAGGUGGGUAAUCUUUCCUCCGACAGAACUGGAUGGGUGAAAGAACAUAGCAUCCACCCUCAAUAGCGAUGUGUCUCAUUGUAGCUACCCAUUUAUCCCCAGAAUCGGCAGUAGGAGCACAAUAUAUCUCAAUACCUAUAUAUAUG
rnacentral:lncRNA from 1 species